rnacentral:lncRNA from 1 species
AUAAAUAUUUAAUAUGUAAAUGGUAGGUAACAAAUCCAAACACAAAAUUGUGCAAGCAACCCACUAGCUAGUUUUAUUGAAUAUUAAAAUAACAUAGUUGAUUUCUAAAACAUACAAAAAUUAUUAUCUCAUCAACGCAUAAUUAUUUUGAGAACCAUAAGGUUGAGAUUUAUCCACCCAAAAACUAUUGUGUUGUUGUUGCUGGUGUGCAAUUAAUCUUGCAGGGACAGUUGAUGAAGCAUUCUCCAAGAUCUGGCCAGCACAAGUUAUCUAUUUGACAGCAGAAUUCCCGUCCUGGGAGCUGGUGCCCAUCUUUAUAACAAGGGGGUCUAGUUACAUGGCUUACUUUGCUCAUCAUGUUUCUCCCCUUGUUGUUUAUGAUUUCACCUAAUUAACAUAAAAUAAAGAAUAUACUUAUCAUCUCAUCAUAUAAACAAUAAAAGUCCACAAUAUCAAUACCACCAAAAAAUCGAGUUGUUAAUUACCAUAUGUGCCUCCAAGACAAGUCAAACACACCACAAGAAGAAAAGAAAGUAGCACAAGUCCUUGCACAUUGUUCCUCGUGAACUUGGUCAUCGUCACUAAGGAAUAGAGGCUAUUAAUGGGUGGUACUCUUUUAAGUGGAGUUGAUGAGUGUAUGACCGUGAAAUGCUUGCUCCAUGAAUGGUUCAUAUAUAUAUAUAGGAAAAGCUUCUCCGUGUUGAUGUGUGAAGUUAUAGAAAAUAUUAAUGCUUGGAGUUAUGGCUUGUGUGAAUUUCCAAUUUUAGUUUCACUUCUAAAGAUUCAUGGUUCCUUCUAGAGUAUUUUUCUCAAAUUUAUGCUUUGUCAUAGCAUGUAAGUUACUUUAAUGCCCCCUCUAGAAUUGAUCGCUCAUUGUUUUCAAGGGGUAGAAUUGACCUCUUAGAAUGGGUAGUAAAAAACUGGUGCAUGGCAAUAUUAUGUUUAAGGCAUUGAUAAUAAUUGGUAUAAUAUCAAUAAUUCCUAUAUAUAUGAUGCCUUAUCAAUAAAACUAUUAAUUUCUGUCUUGGUAUAAGAGAACAAGACUCAUCCACUUAACAUUGGACUUGUUUUUUAAUGUAUGUAAGCAAUUGUUCUUAAGUAUAUCAACAAGUUACAGAUACAUUUUUUUUACUUUUAUUCCAUGAACAUAGAUUAAUUAUGGGAUGGCCAUUUUCUAAAUAUAAGAUGAUGAUUUAUUUUCAUAUACAUGAACAUUUUAUAUCAAGGUACUUGAGCAUUUUUUACAUUUUUCUAUACACAAAAUUUUCUCCAAUAUUAAGUCGAUUUUUUUAAAUAGAUUAGUUUCCCCAAAACUUUCUUUAUUAGAAUUGUGAAAAUGUCGCACUUGCCCAGCUAGGGAAAAUUUCGUUAGGCAGAGCUGCCCAACUCUCGGAACUCCCUAUAAGUUCCUCCUUGCCGCUACCAACCUUCCCUUCAGACAGCGCAUGCCUGGCUGGUCCGACCCAUUGACGACACGAAUGGACACCACCGAGUGGGAGAGUAGGCGUUGAGCCAAUCCACUUUAGCAACAAUUUUUUCAUUUUUGGAAAAUAUCUUUGCAAAUUGAACAAGCAUUGAUAAAUGCGAAGUUUUUUUUGAACAUAUUCUAAAAUUUAAAAUUUCUUAAAACCCCAAUUAUGUUUGGAAUUUCAUACAUUCUUCUGAAAAAAUGAACACUUUUGGAAAUACUUAACAUUAUUUGAAAACUAAGACCUUUUCUUGGAGAAACAACAAUUUUAUGAAAAACGUGUUAGUUUUAUAAUUUGUAGAAUGUUUUUCAAAGUUAUGAUUUUUAAGAACACAAACAAUUUUUUAAAUUUCGAACAAAAUAUGAGAAUCGGAACAUUUCCCGAAAACUUGAAUAUUUUCUAAAUUUCAAAUUUCCACACAUUUUAAAAAAAGGAGUCUUUUUGAUAAAGAUAAUAAGAAAAAUAAAACAAUGAAAAAACAAAUAAGAAAAACUGUAACAUCCUAAUUUUCAAUUUGGAUGUUAUAAAUAGAUCAGCAGAUGCAUAUCAUAUUUAUUCUUUCUUUUGGUUGAGAUCCUAGAGAUCUUAAGCAACUCAAGGACCCAAGGAGAGAGUUGGAGGUUUCACAAAAUUCAUAUUUGAAUUUAUUUCAAAUUUGAGGGAAGGAUCAAUUUGAUUUUAUUAUUUUUCUCUCUAAUUUUUUCCAAUAAUAAAAAUACAUGCGAGAAGAUAAUAUGACUUCUUCAACCUAAGAUAAAUAUUGGAGAAAGAGUUUUAAAAUCAACUUAUGAUUUUAUUAGAAUUUUAUUUGGAUUAGAAAAAUAUUGCAUUUUUUAAAAUUGCAUCUUAGUCCAGAAAAAUGUUUAUCUUGUCCUAAAUAUUAGGUUUGGACGGUGAGAAUCAUUUCUGGAAUUUUUAGAUUUUUCUUUAUAAUUUAUAAGGAUUUUUCUUUCGGGCAAAAUUUAUUUCUAAAAAAAAGUUAUUUCCGCCCGAAUGUGCCGAAGGCCUAGCCGAGCCGGCCCAGAAGCAGCGCCGCCGCCAUCCCCGCGCGGUAGUCCGCCCUGCUGCCGCCAGCGUGCCGCUGGCCAAGUUCUAGGCGGGCACGCCUCCCGAGGCCGCCCCCUUCCCCAAGACGAGGUCGAGCCCCUUCCUUAAAUAGCGCGUCGCCCCGCCACCUCUCCUCCACACCGCCGCCGCCUCCCACCACCAGCAGCAGCAAUAGCCCCGCGCCGCCGCUGCUGCGCCGCUUUCCGCCGCCUGUGACGCCCCCGAUUCAAUCGUACACUAAUCAUACAUGUAAAUAUGUACGAUCAAGAUCAGGGACUCACGGGAAGAUAUCACAACACAACUCUAAAAAUAAAAUAAGUCAUACAAGCAUCAUAAUACAAGCCAGGGGCCUCGAGUGCUCGAAUACAAGUGCUCGAUCAUAGACGAGUCAGCGGAAGCAACAAUAUCUGAGUACAGACAUAAGUUAAACAAGCUUGCCUUAAGAAGGCUAGCACAAACUGGGAUACAGAUCAAAAGAGGCGCAGGCCUCCUACCUGGGAUCCUCCUAAACUAAUCCUGGUCGUCGUCAGCGGCCUGCACACAGUAGUAGGCACCUCCAGUGUAGUAGGAGUUGUCGUCGGUGGCGUAUGGCUCUUGGGAUCCAACGUCUUGUUGCGGCAUCCGAGAAGAAGAGGAAAAUGGGGGAAAAGAGGGAGCAAAGCAACCGUGAUUACUCAUCCAAAGUACUCGCAAGCAAGGAGCUACACUACAUAUGCAUGGGUAUAUGUGUAAGGAGGCAAUAUCAGUGGAAUGAAUUGCAGAAUGCCAGAAUAAAAGGGGGAUAGCUAGUCCUAUCGAAGACUACGCUUCUGGCAGCCUCCGCCUUGCAGCAUGUAGAAGAGAGUAGAUUGAAGUCCUCCAAGUAGCAUCGCAUAGCAUAAUCCUACCCGGCGAUCCUCCCCUCAUUGCCCUAUGGGAAAGCGAUCACCGGGAUGUCUCUGGAACUUGUAUGGAUGUGUUUUAUUAAGUAUCCGAUUCUAGUUGUCAUAAGGUCAAGGUACAACUCCAAGUCGUCCUGUUACCAAAGAUCACGGCUAUUCGAAUAGAUUAACUUCCCUGCAGGGGUGCACCACAUUUCCCAACACGCUUGAUACCCUUCGGCCGGACACACUUUCCUGGGUCAUGCCCGGCCUAGGAAGAUCAACACGUCGUAGCCCCACCUAGGCACAACAGAGAGGUCAGCACGCCAGUCUAACUCCUAUGGCACAGGGGUUUGGGCCCAUCGCCCAUUGCACACCUGCACGUUACGAGGGCGGCCGGAAGUAGACUAGCCCCCUUAAUACAAGUGCAGGCUUACGGUCCAAUCCGGCGCGCGCCGAUCAGUCGCUGACGUCAAGAAGGCUUCGGCUGAUACCACAACGUCGAGUGCCCAUAACUGUUCCCGCGUAGUUGGUUAGUGCAUAUAGGCCAGUGGCCAGACUCAGAUAAAAUACCAAGAUCUCGUUAAGCAUGUUAUUAUGAAGUAACCCCGAAGGCCGACUUGGGCCAGGCCCACCUCUCUCCUAGGUGGCCUCAAACUGCCCUGUCGCUCCACCACAAAGAUCCACACACAGGGCCGUCGGGAAAGUAUGCCCUUUCAUCCCCCAAUUCAUGAAUCAACCGCGGGUACUCAACGAGCCGACACGACUUUAGUCACCAUCUGUAUAGCAUGUAUAUAUGUAUAGUAUAAACCCGUGAUCACCUCCCGAGUGACCACGGCCUGAUAGUAUAGCAAGGCAGACUGACAAGAAUGUAGGGCCACAGAUGAUAAACUAGCAUCCUAUACUAAGUAUUUAGGAUUGCAAGUAAGGUAUCAACAGAUGUAGCAACAAUGACAGGCUAUGCAUCAGAAUAGGAUUAACGGAAAGCAGAAACAGGCUACACUACUCUAAUGCAAGCAGUAUAGAGGAGAGUAUGCGAUAUCUGGUGAUCAAGGGGGGGGGGCUUGCCUGGUUGCUCUGGCAAGAAGGAGGGGUCGUCAACUCCGUAGUCGUACUGGGUGCUAGUGUAAGAAACAAUUAAUAUAGUGCAAACAUAAGCAUGACGAUAUAAGACAUGAAAAUGAGCGGUGCUAGGUGUGGCCUAACGAGGUAGUAGGCGAUACCGGCUAAAGGGGGAAACAUCCGGGAAAGUAUCGUCGGUGUUUCGCGUUUUCGGACAGAUGAACCGGAGGUGAAAUGUUGCAGGUUUGCUAUGCUAGGGAUGCGUGGUGGACUAACGAGAUGUGUAUUCGGAUUUGUCUUGUUGUUCUGAGCAACUUUCGUAUACAAAGUUUUUCCAUCCGAGUUACGGAUUAUUUAAUAUUAUUUUUUAAAGAUUUAAAUCAAUUUAUAAAUUAUUAGUAUUAAUUAAAUUCGAAAAUGGCAUUACUGCAUCGGCAUGACGUCAGCAUGACAUCAUUAGUCAACAGAGGUGUUGACUAGGUCAAGCUGACGUGUGGGUCCCAUCUGCCAUUGACACAUUGCCCUAACUAACAAACUAGUUAGUUUAAUUAAAUAUUUAGGUUAAUUAAGUUUAGUUAUUUUAACUAAACAUGAUAAAUUAAGUUAACUAAUUAGUUAAUUAAUUAAUUAACCAAUUUUAUUAUUAUUAUUUUAUCUUAUUAUUAUUAUUUUUUAAACGUUCUGGGGGUGGGGCCCCCUUAUCAUAGGCCCCCGGGGACCUAGUGGAGUGCGUUAACGGGCGCCGGGGCAUUGCGGGCGUGCGCCCGAGUCCACCAUGGAAGGGGACUCCGGACAGGGGAGGGGGCGCCGCCGUGGCGGCUGGCGCCGGCUGUGGCGGAGCGGUGUGGGACCGAUGGGGCAUAGGCGAUGCACGCGACGGCGCGCGCGAGCUGCAGCGGUGGAGGUGGUGGCGGGGUCGCGCGGGCGGAGCAAAGUCGCGACAGCCAGAGCGGAGUAGUGCAGCGAGCAGCACUGCUCGUGGCGUCGCGCGGGCAUAGUAAGCACGGGAGGCGGGCCGACGCAGGACCAGGCAUAGCAGCGGCGGCGCAGGGCGCGGCCAGCGCCCGUUGCGCGCGUGCUUCAAUGCGGGUAGGCACAGCCACGGCGGCGUGAGCCACGGCGGGAAGAAGGAACACGGGAGGGGGCGCAGUAGCAGCAGGCGAGAGGGGCACGCACGGGGCGACGAUGGGAUGCGACAGCGAGCGCGGUGGGGCGGUGCGCGUGCGUGAGUGCACGAUGGACGAGCGGCCGGAGCGAACAACGAGUGCGGGGAGAGGAGGAGAGGUUGGGGGCCUCAGGCAGCAGGGGUGGGGAGGACGACGGGGACAACGUGCGGCGGGGCGACGAGGUCCGGUGGCAGGAUGGACGUUGGCGAUGGCGUCCGACGAGGUGGUGGCGCGGUGGCUACGGUGACUGUGCCGGGGCGCCGUGGGCGCCCAGAUCCAGAACGGGGAGGAGGAGGUCGAGGACGGGGCGUCAGGGCAUCGAGCGACACCGGCAAGGGGCGACGGAGUCAGGGACGAUGGGGUCGGGGCGGUUUGCCCCGAUCCAGAAACCGGGAGGGGAGUGGGGGAGCGAGCGAGUGUGGGGUGAGUGGAAUCCUGGUAUCUAGGGUUUUGGGCGAUAGGAGGAUAUGGAGAGUGGGGUGGGCCGGUCUGGCGAGGGUGGGAGUUGGGCCGGGUGACCCAGUUGGCCUGGGGCUUUCCCCCUCUUUUUACUUUAUUAAUUUUUUGUUUAGUCUCCUUUUUUUUAUUCUUUUCCAUUUUCUAUUUUAUUUAUUUUAGAGCAUCAUAGCAUUUUCUAAAUAUGGGUUUUCUUCACUAUAAUUACCUAUGUAAUAUUUGGCACAAUCCGGACAUUUUAGUUUAAUUGUUUGAAAACCUUUUUGUUUGCCUGAUUUUAAAUUUGAAUUUGAAUCGGUUUUGAACUAACGCGAGAUUAGUAAUAGUAAUCAAGGUGACGUGGCAUCAUUAGCAGAGGUUCAAUGUAGCUUAAGUAUCCGGGUGUCACAAUUCUCCUCCACCACAAGAAAUCUCGUCCCGGGAUUUAAGCGGUGUAUUAAGGGGGGAGGUGCUGGUAGUGAAAAAGCUAACGAGUCUUCUCGGUCUUGGCUGCCCUUUCGAAGAGGUUGAUCCCUUUCGUUGAUGUCUUCAUUUCUCUGCUUCAAGUCACCAUGACCAAGUCGUCAUCCUUUCUUCGGGAUCUCCAUCAUCCUACGAACGCGACCAAGGGGAAAACUCUUGAAGAACGCAUCUCCGCAAAGUUGGGCAUCUGGCGGUGAACUCAAUGGGAAAUACACAAGGUACCCCACGAGUUGUAUUUCAGUGAAUUCAUUGAGUGCAAUAUACGAUGGUACCAAAGUUUCAAACGGGUAGGCAAUCAUUCGAUGACUAGACAGAAGCUGGAAUGGGGGUUUGAACAAUGAGAAUAACAUGGCAUUUGAUUCCAAGAGGAAUAAUGGUAUAGCAUUUAGCUCGUGAAUCACAUACGAAGCCAGGUGCAAAGGAUACAUUAGAAUCCGGGUUGUAAAGAAGAGUCAGGUUUCGAUCCAGUGGACCUGUGGGUUAUGGGCCCACCAUGUGGGUUGACAGUAGGAAGGGUGGUGACAUCUUGCACAGCCGCAACAGGGAGGCAUGUCAGGGCAACAAUUGUCAGUAACAAGGACGGGGAACGAAGAGAGCAAUUUUCCUGCUUGUUGAACAGGUGAACCAAUUGGCAAAGUUAUCACCCAUCGGUGGUUACCGGAAUGUCAUCAACAAUAGUAACAUGGUCUUACAAACAGAGUGGUACAACAAGUUGCCUACCUAAGCAGGGAAUUAUCUCUGCUCAGUUAAGUCAGAUUUAGGAAAGGUUAAACAAAAGAAUGGAAAGGAAAACGCGAUUAUCAGAUUAAACAGAACAAUGGAAAGGAAAAUUGUGAUUACACACAAUUAUUAGGAGUAUGUCCUUCCCAUGUACAAGCAGAACAUGGAAUACAGGAUAGGAGAGCAAGUACCCAACCAUUCAGAUAAGGGGCAAGGAUUAAUCAAGAUGUUACCCAUACAACAUCGUUUGGAUAACUGACCAAGAAACAUUUAGCAUCGCGCCUUCAAUGUUCUUGUUGAUGAGCGGGGUAUCAUAGUCAUGCUUCGAGGUAGCAAUGAUAUGGGGUUCCAAUCAAGGCCAGACUUUGGAUACACAAAUGAUCCAUCAGGAGCAACUUAUAAAAUAAGUCCUACAAUUUCCUCCAGGAAGAAUGGUUAUCCUUGCAAAAGAAAUUAUAAUGAUAGGUCCUCCAGCCAGGGGUGCUAGGCAUGACAUCAUAUUACCUGGUCAUCAAAGGACCAACAUCAUAACUCCUGGAAAGUUGUCCUAACCAUAAUAUCUGACCGAGAUUCCGAUCCGAUUGGUGUCAUGAUACCUCAGACUCAGGAUGUCCGAGAAGAAAAGGCGCGACACAAAUUGAUGAAAUGACAUUGCAAGAUUCUCAGGAAAUGAACUAUGGGAGUGGGUUCCUGAAACAAUAGUUCAUCAUUAAACCAAGGAGGGGAUGAGGAGAUUGCUGAUGGGCUCAGCGACAAUUCAACGAGAAUUCCAAACAGAUGGAUUUCCACACUUAUGUGAACAAGAAGAUGAUACUUGUUAAUUCAAAUGAUAUAAUGUUGUAUGCUCGAGGAAAACAUACACCAUCAAGCAAUAGUUGUAAGGUGUGCCCGAAGUAUGACCUUAGGCAGCAGGAUCAAUGUUAGAGUGAUGAUUCAAUGACCAACAGUCUAAGAAUGAACUGUUGAUCAUUAACUUCAACGCAAUAGGGUUGCUAGAAGUACAGAACUCAAGCAGGAUCGUUGGCAUAUCGGUAUCCCGGUUAAAAACAACACGGGGACCAAGGAAGAAUGGUGAUGGUGGGAAGUAUUAUCAUACCGAGAAUUUCUAAGAGGUGGAGCAAUCCACACAACAUCCUCGACAGAAAAGACAGUAAUACUUCAAGGAAGAACACAACACUAGCUGGACAGCAAGUUGUAUUCAUAAUAUGGGCAAGUUCGCGAUGAAAGGAAGACAAGGGUUUUGUCGAUGAUAAUAAAAAUCAUCGAGGGCAAGGAGGGAAUUUCUCAUCAUGAACACAGUUGGCAUCUCAGAAGAAGUCAAAGUGUUGAAGGUGACCCGACACAUUUGCCGGGAGAUUUCAAGAGGAUGAAAUCAAACAACAACGGCAACAAGCGAGGGAAUGACGAAGUGGCAAGUUAUAGGAUCAAUAUAUAAGAUGCAAGCUCGGGACCAAAUUGCCUUUCAAGACAAGCAACAUGAUGUUGAAAGCUCGACGUAAGUCAUGCUCACACACUGAAGAUUCGUGCACCAGAGAAUGACGAGGUAGCACCGUCAAAGGUAGCAAGACCUGGAUGCAACCGAUAGUCUAGGAAUGACCAGAUUUAGUUCAGAAUUUCCUAGUAAAAAUACUAGGGGUAUUUGAUUUGUAGUGCGGAAUAAAUUCACUAGUCGGUGUCCUCGGUUGACAACAACCCAGAACCCGUAGAGUGAUUACGGCAAGGAAAGACAUUACUUCAACAAAGUUAGUAAGAUGUGGUGCAAUGGCAAGACAUCUCCGAGAUACCAGGGGCUAAUACUCGAAGGUAGAACAAGAUAGAAGUAGAACCGGGUCAUUGACCUAUGACAUUAGAUACUUCAACCUUGCCAAAAAUAGACGAGGGACUGGAAUGAAUUCCCAUCAGAUAUAUCAUAUCAGGACAACAUGGUCGGAACCAUAACUAUAAGGAAUCAAUUUCAAGAAUACCGAAAGAAUCAUACAGCUGGAUAAUCAUUUUGCAAGAAGCUUCUCAGAUGGUCUACAUCAUUUUCAUGGGCAUGAACACAAAGUUCAAGGUCGACUCCCACUUCUUUAAUGCAUAUCAUCUCAUUCACCUUUUGCUUUGAUAUAACAGUAGUGUUGAAAGUUUAUCUGGUUGAAAACCGGAAGAGUGUGACUUGUGAAAACUUUCGGGUUCUCACGAAUUAGGGGAAGGCAUAGGUUCAACCCAUCGGGCAACUUAGUAACCUAUACCACAAGUUUCAAAAGUAAAUACACAAGCUCGAAAGCAGAGCAUGGUUGUCCAGGUAGAGGAUACAAUUUACCAAAGGCACUAUGUAUCAGGGAAAGAACUCACAUGGUGAUUUAAUAUGAAGGACACUGUCGGAUAACAAUCCAACAAUGGAUAGGGCGAUCCACAACGGAGCUGAUGUGAGUAUCGGUACUCACUCGGAGGAAGAAAGAAUGCAGAGGCAUCAGAUUCAAGAAUCACCUGAUUAGUCUGAUGCUUAAAUAGAAAGAAAUUAUGGUUUCCAAAAUGAAGGAUCAGAAGCAGAUGCUCUGAUCAAGGAUGGAUAAGUUGAAAACACCUAGUUGGACAAUCAAUAAAGGUUUGAAUUGCCGAGAACCAACUCAUGUCUGGAAUGACGUCUGAGCCGGAAAGAGAAUCUUAAAAAGGAUAACAUGAUGACUGCGUGUGUACGCACACAUUGAAUCAAUAGGCUCAAAAUGACUAAGACAAGGGAUGUUAACGAGGACUACUAGUCAUAUGGAAUUAUCCAUAAUGCAAGCAGGCAAGCGUUUCAAGAGUAACAGGCUGCAGAGGAUUUUUGAAAGAUCGAAAAGUAUUCCAAAGAAUCAUGUGAGACACAUGAACAAUUGAGAAGAAUGGAUCCUUGAUAAAUGUGAGGAAAAACCCGUAAGGGUUUUCACGCGAAAUAAAACUGCAAGACAGUAAACUCAAAGGUUUUUUGGGACAACGACGAAUAUUUCGAGGCAUCAUGUAACAACAAGAGCGGCGAGGAAUGAUCAACAGAAUGACAAGUGCAUACAGAUAUCCAUAGGGAUAUAUCGGUGAUAAUGGAUUGCAACGGUGAUGAGCACAAGGGUCUCGGGAAAAUAUCAAGGGAUAUCUUCAGAAUCUUCUGAUGCAAUAAGCAAUCAUCUGGAGUGAGGGAUCUCUAGGAGAAGUAGUUACGAGAACCUAGAGUCGGCGUUAAUAAAAUCAUUUAACCCGAAUAGAGGAGAGAUCAGUGUCCCAGAGUAAAGGUCGAGGAGUAAAAGAUCCUAAUACCACCCAAUGGCGACGUGGGCCCGUGAGCCACACAGCUAAGGUAGUAAAACAGUUUUCGGCUUCUAGACUCAACUUCGGCCAAGGAGUUGGAAAGGGGAUUCCUACAGGCAGUCGGCUCUGAUACCAACUUGUGCCGCCGCCGAUUCAAUCGUACACUAAUCGUACACGCAAAUGUGUACGAUCAAGAUCAAGGACUCACGGGAAGAUAUCACAACACAACUCUAAAAAUAAAAUAAGUCAUACAAGCAUCAUAAUACAAGCCAGGGGCCUCGAGGGCUCGAAUACAAGUGCUUGAUCAUAGACGAGUCAGCGGAAGGAACAAUAUCUGAGUACAGACAUAAGUUAAACAAGCUUGCCUUAAGAAGGCUAGCACAAACUGGGAUACGAAUCGAAAGUGGCGCAUGCCUCCUUCCUGGGAUCCUCCUAAACUACUCCUGGUCGUCGUCAGCGGCCUGCACGCAAUAGUAGGCACCUCCAGUGUUGUAGGAGUCAUCAUCGCCGAUGUCGUCUGGCUCCUGGGAUCCAACAUCUGGUUGCGGCAUCCGAGAAGAAGAGGAAAACGGGGGAAAAGAGGGAGCAAAGCAACCAUGAGUACUCAUCCAAAGUACUCGCAAGAAAGGAGCUACACUACAUAUGCAUGGGUAUAUGUGUAAGGAGGCAAUAUCAGUGAACUGAACUGCAGAAUGCCAGAAUAAGAUGGGGAUAGCUAGUCCUAUCAAAGACUACGCUUCUGGCAGCCUCCGUCUUGCAUCAUCUAGAAGGGAGUAGAUUGAAGUAUCAUCGCAUAGCCUAAUCCUACCCGGCGAUCCUCCCCUCGUCGCCCUAUGGGAAAGCGAUCACCGGAAUGUCUGUGGAACUUGUCUGGAUGUGUUUUAUUGAGUAUCCGGUUCUAGUUGUCAUAAGGUCAAGGUACAACUCCCAGUCGUCCUAUUGAAGAUCACGUCUAUUCAAAUAGAUUAACUUCCCUGCAGGGGUGCACCACAUUUCCCAACACGCUUGAUCCCCUUUGGCCGGACACACUUUCCUGGGUCAUGCCCGGCCUCGGAAGAUCAACACGUCGCAGCCCCACCAAGGCACAACAAAGAGGUCAACACGCCGGUCUAACUCCUAUGGCGCAGGGGUCAGCACGCCCUGCCUGUUCCGUUCACCACCCCUAGUGACCAGUGUUUAGCCCCAACGUCUGUCCCACUAGGUCCCAGCCCCAUUUCAUUGGUUAAUUUUAUGUAUAAUAGUGUGAUAAGAUAGUGAGGUGUAUGCAUAUCUAUAACCGUAUAUCAUACUUCUGAUUGUAGUGUAAGACAGAGAGGUGUAAUCUUGCCUUUUUACUUCAGAGAGAUAAUUCGAUCACUUUAAGUUGUUGCAUGCUGUCAUAUGCACUAUGCUUAUGUUAUUUGCUACUAAACCAAUAGUGGAAUAUAGUUUUAUGUUUCAUGUAUUGUUUGGUGGCUUCUCAAUUUGUGCAUGAAAACAAACAUUGCUUCCGAGUGACUCUUCAUUAGGCUCUUGUUUUAUUCAUGGGUGAUGGAACAAUGAAUGCAAAGAUAAGCUUCCUUUGAUUUGGUUGCUCGGUUGACAAGAAUAUGCAUUCCUUUGUAUACCACCUUACCUCUCCUGUGAUGCUUUCUACAUUGUAGAUUCCCUGUAUUAGAUAAGGGCCAGUACUAGGGUUGAUGAUUUAGUACAGAAAUCAUUGCAUUCCAUAUAUCUCACAGUUUAUUUGUAUCAGAUUCAUGUGAGGCGGUCCCUAUGAAGUACAUGGACGAGACAGAUGGAUUACGCCAUCUAUUAGUAUGCUUAGUGAUUCUGUAGUUGGCUCUUUUUAUUAUGUUCAUGUUCUUAUUAACUCCUCUUAUGUGUUCUCGCAAUUGGUAUCGAACUUCAUGUCGAAUGGCUAUCUUUUGUGGUCGUAUGAACGGGUCGAGCUUGAUCCUGCCUUAUAAAUUGAUGUUGUCUUGUGCUCCAUUACGUUUUACUUUUAUCACAAUUGAAUGUUUCUUUAUUUUAUUAUUAUCCUGUAUAAGUGCAAAUGCUAUAUCUGGGUUCCUACUGACAUGGUGUUACAUGCUUUGGCAAAGUGCUUGGACCGGCACCCUCGCGCCAGGGCGCGAUCCUGAUCUAGUGUAUCAUGUAGCAAGCCAUGAGCCGAGGGUUGCUACAUGAUCAAUUGCUGACUAGGCAGUGUGUUUUCUUCAUUUUGGGCAGAUCACAAGUGUUUGACACCUCUCUCUACAUUGGGUAUCCUUUUCCACUUGAAUUUUAAAAUGCGCAGAAUGUGCUUUCCUUGUUGUUGCCUCGUCAUUCCAGCAUGGAAUCAAAGCAAAACUGAUAUUACUACCUUUAAAAAUUCUCUCACUGUCUAUGUCCAUAACAUGCCCAUUGGACUGCACGGCAGAAGUGAAGGUGUGUGCCUAGCUGGCGGAGCAGACGCACUCAUGUGACCUCUGAUCUAAGAACGACUUGUACUCUGUUGUGAGCCCAUGGUGCGUGUGGGUUGGAACGCUGCUUAGGAAAUCUAGACUUAUUUUGCAGGCAAGCCAAGAUGAGAUCUGUAGCCCAUGUGAUUUCCAUCAAAAUCACGGCCAGUUCAACUCUGGUUCGAAUCCAAAUAAAAAAAUAGACCAGCAGUCCUAGAUGGAUAUGUCCAUCGCUAAAAAACGCAGUUGUUGAAAGAGUCAAUAUGACUUGUAGCUAGAGUACGCCAACACCCCUCACUUCUUCUACAUGCACUAAACAAACCCUAGCUUAUCCGACUCAAUUUGCUUUAAGGUUUAUGUGUGAAAGAAGUCGUGUUAAAACAGAACACCACACUCUUCAACCUGAGAAAUCAAUAGUCAAUUUACCUAUGGAUAUUAAAUCUAUAUACAUCGUACUUGAUGUGUGAAGUUGAUAAUACUUAUUAAUAAUAUUUUAAAUUACAAUAUUUGGUGCUUCACAGCCUGUGAUGAAAUUAUUGUUCACCCAUCCAAUGCAGUAAAAAGUACGUGCGAGAGAGAGAGAGAGAGAGAGAGAGAGAGAUUAAAGUACAUUUUGUUCUGAUGUCCACCAUAGUUCCACGAUCAGUACACCUAGGAGGAGACAAUCAAAAUAUGGACAGAACAUAAAUAUUUAAUAUGUAAAUGGUAGGUAACAAAUCCAACUACAAAAUUGUGCAAGCAACCCACUAGCUAGUUUUAUUGAAUAUUAAAAUAACAUAGUUGAUUUCUAAAACAUAAAAAAAUUAUUAUCUCAUCAACGCAUAAUUAUUUUGAGAACCAUAAGGUUGAGAUUUAUCCACCCAAAAACUAUUGUGUUGUUGUUGCUGGUGUGCAAUUAAUCUUGCAGGGACAGUUGAUGAAGCAUUCUCCAAGAUCUGGCUAGCACAAGUUAUCUAUUUGACAGCAGAAUUCCCGUCCUGGGAGCUGGUGCCCAUCUUUAUAACAAGGGGGUCUAGUUACAUGGCUUACUUUGCUCAUCAUGUUUCUCCCCUUGUUGUUUAUGAUUUCACCUAAUUAAUAUAAAAUAAAGAAUAUACUUAUCAUCUCAUCAUAUCAACAAUAAAAGUCCACAGUAUCAAUACCACCAAAAAAUCGAGUUGUUAAUUACCAUAUGUGCCUCCAAGACAAGUCAAACACACCACAAGAAGAAAAGAAAGUAGCACAAGUCCUUGCACAUUGUUCCUCGUGAACUUGGUCAUCGUCACUAAGGAAUAGAGGCUAUUAAUGGGUGGUACUCUUGUAAGUGGAGUUGAUGAGUGUAUGACCGUGAAAUGCUUGCUCCAUGAAUGGUUCAUAUAUAUAUAGGAAAAGCUUCUCCGUGUCGAUGUGUGAAGUUAUAGAAAAUAUUAAUGCUUGGAGUUCUGCCUUGUGUGAAUUUCCAAUUUUAGUUUCACUUCUAAAGAUUCAUGGUUCCUUCUAGAGUUUUUUUCUCAAAUUUAUGCUUUGUCAUAGCAUGUAAGUUACUUUAAUGCCCCCUCUAGAAUUGAUCGCUCAUUGUUUUCAAGGGGUAGAAAGUACCUCUUAGAAUGGGUAGUAAAAAACUGGUGCAUGGCAAUAUUGUGUUUAAGGCAUUGAUAAUAAUUGGUAUAAUAUCAAUAAUUCGUAUAUAUAUGAUGCCUUAUCAAUAAAAUUAUUAAUUUCUGUCUUGGUAUAAGAGAACAGAAUUUAAAAUUCAACAAGACUCAUCCACUUAACAUUGGACUUGUUUUUUAAUGUAUGUAAGCAAUUGUUCUUAAGUAUAUCAACAAGUUACAGAUACAUUUUUUAAAUAUAAGAUGAUGAUUUAUUUUCAUAUACAUGAACAUUUUAUAUCAAGGUACUUGAGCAUUUUUUACAUUUUUCUAUACACAAAAUUUUCUCCAAUAUUAAGUCGAUUUUUUUUAAAUAGAUUAGUUUCCCCAAAACUUUCUUUAUUAGAAUGGUGAAAAUGUCGCACUUGCCCAGCUAGGGAAAAUUUCGUUAGGCAGAGCUGCCCAAUUCUCGGAACUCCCUAUAAGUUCCUCCUUGCCGCUACCAACCUCCCCUUCAGACAGCGCAUGCCUGGCUGGUCCGACCCAUUGACGACACGAAUGGACACCACCGAGUGGGAGAGUAGGCGUUGAGCCAAUCCACUUUAGCAACAAUUUUUUCAUUUUUGGAAAAUAUCUUUGCAAAUUGAACAAGCAUUGAUAAAUGCGAAGUUUUUUUUGAACAUAUUCUAAAAUUUAAAAUUUCUUAAAACCCCAAUUAGGUUUGGAAUUUCAUACAUUCUUCUGAAAAAAUGAACACUUUUGGAAAUACUUAACAUUAUUUGAAAACUAAGACCUUUUCUUGGAGAACCAACAAUUUUAUGAAAAACGUGUUAGUUUUAUAAUUUGUAGAAUGUUUUUCAAAAUUAUGAUUUUUAAGAACACAAACAAUUUUUGAAAUUUUGAACAAAAUUUGAGAAUAGGAACAUUUCCCGAAAACUUGAAUAUUUUCUAAAUUUCAAAUUUCCACACAUUUUAAAAAAAGGAGACUUUUUGAUAAAGAUAAUAAGAAAAAUAAAACAAUGAAAAAACAAAUAAGAAAAACUAUAACAUCCUAAUUUUCAAUUUGGAUGUUAUACAUAGAUCAGCAGAUGCAUAUCAUAUUUAUUCUUUCUUUUGGUUGAGAUCCUAGAGAUCUUAAGCAAGUCAAGGACCCAAGGAGAGAGUUGGAGGUUUCACAAAAUUCAUAUUUGAAUUUAUUUCAAAUUUGAGCGAAGGAUCAAUUUGAUUUUAUUAUUUUUCUCUCUAAUUUUUUCCAAUAAUAAAAAUACAUGAGAGAAGAUAAUAUGACUUCUUCAACCUAAGAUAAAUAUUGGAGAAAGAAUUUUAAAAUCAAAUUAUGAUUUUAUUAGAAUUUUAUUUGAAUUAGAAAAAUAUUGUAUUUUUUAAAAUUGCAUCUUAGUCCAGAAAAAUGUUUAUCUUGUCCUAAAUAUUAGGUUUGGACGGUGAAAAUUAUUUCUGGAAUUUUUAGAUUUUUCUUUAUAAUUUAUUAGGAUUUUUCUUUCGGGCGAAAUUUAUUUUUUUUAAAAAGUUAUUUCCGCCCGAAUGGGCCGAAGGCCCAGCCGAGCCGGCCCAGAAGCAGCGCCACCGCCAUCCCCGUGCGGUAGUCCGCCCCGCUGCCGCCAGCGUGCCGCCGGCCAAGUCCGAGGCGGGCACGCCUCCCGAAGCCGGCCCCUUCCCCAAGACGAGGUCGAGCCCCAUCCUUAAAUAGCGCAUCGCCCCGCCACCUCUCCUCCACACCGCCGCCGCCUCCCACUAGCAGCAGCAGCAAUAGCCCCGCACUGCCGCCGCCGCGCCGCUUUUCGCCGCCUGUGACGCCCCCGAUUCAAUCGUACACUAAUCAUACAUGCAAAUGUGUACGAUCAAGAUCAGGGACUCACGGGAAGAUAUCACAACACAACUCUAAAACUAAAAUAAGUCAUACAAGCAUCAUAAUACAAGCCAGGGGCCUCGAGUCCUCGAAUACAAGUGCUUGAUCAUAGACGACUCAGCGGAAGCAACAAUAUCUGAGUACAGACAUAAGUUAAACAAGCUUGCCUUAAGAAGGCUAGCACAAACUGGGAUACAGAUCGAAAGAGGCGCAUGCCUCCUACCUGGGAUCCUCCUAAACUACUCCUGGUCAUCGUCAGCGGCCUGCACGCAGUAGUAGGCACCUCCAGUGUAGUAGGAGUUGUCGUCGGUGGCGUAUGGCUCCUGGGAUGCAACGUCUUGUUGCGGCAUCCGAGAAGAAGAGGAAAACGGGGGAAAAGAGGGAGCAAAGCAACCAUGAGUACUCAUCCAAAGUACUCGCAAGCAAGGAGAUACACUACAUAUGCAUGGGUAUAUGUGUAAGGAGGCAAUAUCAGUGGAAUGAACUGCAGAAUGCCAGAAUAAGAGGGGGAUAGCUAGUCCUAUCGAAGACUACGCUUCUGGCAGCCUCCGCCUUGCAGCAUGUAGAAGAGAGUAGAUUGAAGUCCUCCAAGUAGCAUCGCAUAGCAUAAUCCUACCCGGCAAUCCGUCCCUCGUCACCCUAUGGGAAAGCGAUCACCGGGAUGUCUCUGGAACUUGUAUGGAUGUGUUUUAUUAAGUAUCCGGUUCUAGUUGUCAUAAGGUCAAGGUACAACUCCAAGUCGUCCUGUUACCGAAGAUCACGGCUAUUCGAAUAGAUUAACUUCCCUGCAGGGGUGCACCACAUUUCCCAACACGCUCGAUACCCUUUGGCCGGACACAAUUUCCUGGGUCAUGCCCGGCCUAGGAAGAUCAACACGUCGUAGCCCCACCUAGGCACAACAGAGAGGUCAGCACGCUAUCUAACUUCUAUGGCACAGGGGUUUGGGUCCAUCGCCCAUUGCACACGUGCACGUUGCGAGGGCGGCCGGAAGUAGACUAGCCCCCUUAAUACAAGUGUAGGCUUACGGUCCAAUCCGACGCGCGCCGAUCAGUCGCUGACGUCAAGAAGGCUUCGGCUGAUACCACGACGUCGAGUGCCCAUAACUGUUCCCGCAUAGUUGGUUAGUGCGUAUAGGCCAGUGGCCAGACUCAGAUAAAAUACCAAGAUCUCGUUACGCAUGUUAUUAUGAAGUAACCCCGAACGCCGGCCAGGGCUAGGCCCACCUCUCUCCUAGGUGGCCUCAAACUGCCCUGUCGCUCCACCACAAAGAUCCACACACAGGGCCGUCGGGAAAGUAUGUCCUUUCAGCCCCCAAUUCAUGAACCAACCGCGGGUACUCAACGAGCCGACACGACUUUAGUCACCAUCUGUAUAGCAUGUAUAUAUGUAUAGUAUAAACCCAUGAUCACCUCCCGAGUGACCACGGCUUGAUAGUAUAGCAAGGCAGACUGACAAGAAUGUAGGGCCACAGAUGAUAAACUAGCAUCCUAUACUAACUAUUUAGGAUUGCAAGUAAGGUAUCAACAGAUGUAGCAACCAUGACAGGCUAUGCAUCAGAAUAGGAUUAACGGAAAGCAGAAACAUGCUACACUACUCUAAUGCAAGCAGUAUAGAGGAGAGUAUACGAUAUCUGGUAAUCAAGGGGGGGGGGCUUGCCUGGUUGCUCUGGCAAGAAGGAGGGGUCGUCAACUCCAUAGUCGUACUGGGUGCUAGUGUAAGAAACAAUUAAUAUAGUGCAAAGUUGCAAACAUAAGCAUGAAGAUGUAAGACAUGAAAAUGAGCGGUGCUAGGUGUGCCCUAACGAGGUAGUAGGCGAUACCGGCGAAAGGGGGAAACAUCCAGGAAAGUAUCGUCGGUGUUUCGCGUUUUCGAACAGAUGAACCGGAGGUGAAAUGUUGCAUGUUUGCUAUGCUAGGGAUGCGUGGCGGACAAACGGGAUGUGUAUUUGGAUUUGUCUUGUUGUUCUAAGCAACUUUCAUAUACAAAGUUUUUCCAUCCGAGUUACGGAUUAUUUAAUAUUAAUUUUUAAAGAUUUAAAUCAAUUUAUAAAUUAUUAGUAUUAAUUAAAUUCAAAAAUGGCAUUACUGCAUCAGCAUGACGUCAGCAUGACAUCAUCAGUCAAUAGAGGUGUUGACUAGGUCAAGCUGACGUGUGGGUCCCAUCUGCCAUUGACACAUUGCCCUAACUAACAAACUAGUUAGUUUAAUUAAAUAUUUAGGUUAAUUAAGUUUAGUUAUUUUAACUAAACAUGAUAAAUUAAGUUAAUUAAUUAGUUAAUUAAUUAAUUAACCAAUUUUAUUAUUAUUAGUAUAAUUUUAUCUUAUUAUUAUUAUUUUUUAAAUGUUUUGAGGGUGGGGCCCCCUUGUCAUAGGCCCCUGGGGACCUAGUGGAGUGCGUUAACGGGCGCUGGGGCGCUGCGGGCGUGCGCCUGAGUCCACCAUGGAAGGGGACUCCUGCCAGGGGAGGGGGCGGCUGUGGCGGAGCGGCGUGGGACCGAUGGGGCGUAGGCGAUGCACGUGACGGCGCGCGCGAGCUGCAGCGGUGGAGGUGGUGGCGGGGUCGCGCGGGCGGAGCAAAGGUGCGACAGCCGGAGCGGAGUAGUGCAGCGAGCAGCACUGCUCGUGGCGUCGCGCGGGCACAGUAAGCACGGGAGGCGGGCCGACACAGGACCAGGCAUAGCAGCGGCGGCACAGGGCGCGGCCAGCGCCCGUUGCGCGCGUGCUUCGUUGUUGGUAGGCGCAGCCACGACGACGUGAGCCACGGCGGGAAGAAGGAACACGGGAGGGGGCGCAGUAGCAGCAGGCGAGCGAGGCGCACACGGGGCGAUGAUGGGCAGCGACAGCGAGCGCGGUGGGGCGGUGCGCGUGCGUGCGUGAACGACGGACGAGCGGCCGGAGCGAACAACGAGUGCGGGGAGAGGAGGAGAGGCCGAGGGCCUCACCGCGGUUGUAGGGUCUUAGGCAGCGGGGCGUGGGGAGGACGACGGGGACGACGUGCGGCGGGGCGACGAGGUCCGGCGGCAGGGUGGACGUAGGCGAUGGCGUCUGACAAGGUGGCAGCGCGGUGGCUCCGGCGACUGCGUCGGGGCGCCGUGGGCGCCCAGAUCCAGAACGGGGAGGAGGAGGUCGAGGAUGGGGCGUCAGGGCGUCGAGCGACACCAGCAAGGGGCGACGGAGUCAGGGACGAUGGGGUCGGGGCGGUUUGCCCCGAUCCAGUAACCGGGAGGGGAGUGGGGGAGCGAGCGAGUGUGGGGUGAGUGGAAUCCUGGUAUCUAGGGUUUCGGGCGAUAGGAGGAUAUGGAGAGUGGGGUGGGCCGGUCGGGCCAGGAUGGGAGUUGGGCCGGGUAACCCAGUUGGCCUGGGGCUUUCCCGCACUUUUUACUUUAUUAAUUUUUUGUUUAGUCUCCUUUUUUAUUCUUUUCCAUUUUCUAUUUUAUUUAUUUUAGAGCAUCAUAGCAUUUUCUAAAUAUGGGGUUUCUUCACUAUAAUUACCUAUGUAAUAUUUGGCACAAUCCGGACAUUUUAGUUUCAUUGUUCGAAAACCUUUUUGUUUGCCUAAUUUUUAAUUUGAAUUUGAAUCGGUUUCGAACUAACACGAGAUUAGUAACAGUAAUCAAGGUGACGUGGCAUCAUUAGCGGAGGUUCAAUGUAGCUUAAGUAUCCGAGUGUCAUAAUUCUCCUCCACUACAAGAAAUCUCGUCGCGAGAUUUAAGCGGUGUAUUAAGGGGGAAGGUGCUGGUAGCGAAAAAGCUAACGAGUCUUCUCGGUCUUGGCUGCCCUUUCGAAGAGGUUGAUCCCUUUCGUUGAUGUCUUCAUUUCUCUGCUUCAAGUCACCAUGACCAAGUCGUCAUCCUUUCUUCGGGAUCUCCAUCAUCCUACGAACGCGACCAAGGGGAAAACUCCGGAAGAACGCAUCUCCGCAAAGUUGGGCAUCUGGCGGUGAACUCAAUGGGAAAUACACAAGGUACCACACGAGUUGUAUUUCAGUGAAUUCGUUGAGUGCAAUAUACGAUGGUACCAAAGUUUCAAACGGGUAGGCAAUCAUUCGAUGACUAGACAGAAGCUGGAAUGGGGGUUUGAACAAUGAGAAUAACAUGGCAUUUGAUUCCAGGAGGAAUAAUGGUAUAGCAUUUAGCUCGUGAAUCACAUACGAAGCUAGGUGCAAAGGAUACAUUAGAAUCCGGGUUGUAAAGAAGAGUCAGGUUUCGAUCCAGUGGACCUGUGGGUUAUGGGCCCACCAUGUGGGUUGACAGUAGGAAGGGUGGUGACAUCUUGCACAGCCGCAACAGGGAGGCAUGUCAGGGCAACAAUUGUCAGUAACAAGGACAGGAAACAAAGAGAGCAAUUUUCCUGCUUGUUGAACAGGUGAACCAAUUGGCAAAGUUAUCACCCAUUGGUGGUUACCGGAAUGUAAUAAACAAUAGUAACAUGGUCUUACAAACAGAGUGGUACAACAAGUUGCCUACCUAAGCAGGGAAUUAUCUCUGCUCAGUUAAGUCAGAUUUAGGAAAGGUUAAACAAAAGAAUGGAAAGGAAAACGCGAUUAUCAGAUUAAACGGAACAAUGGAAAGGAAAAUUGUGAUUACACACAAUUAUUUGGAGUAUAUCCUUCCCAUGUACAAGCAGAACAUGGAAUACAAGAUAGGAGAGCAAGUACCCAACCAUUCAGAUAAGGGGCAAGGAUUAAUCAAGAUGUUACCCAUACAACAUCGUUUGGAUAACUCACCAAGAAACAUUUAGCAUCGCGCCUCCAAUGUUCUUGUUGAUGAGCGGGGUAUCAUAUGAAGGAAAUAUGCCCUAGAGGCAAUAAUAAAGUUAUUAUUUAUUUCCUUAUUUCAUGAUAAAUGUUUAUUAUUCAUGCUAGAAUUGUAUUAACCGGAAACAUAAUACAUGUGUGAAUACAUAGACAAACAGAGUGUCACUAGUAUGCCUCUACUUGACUAGCUCGUUAAUUAAAGAUGGUUAUGUUUCCUAACCAUAGACAUGAGUUGUCAUUUGAUUAACGGGAUCACAUCAUUUGGAGAAUGAUGUGAUUGACUUGACCCAUUCCGUUAGCUUAGCACUUGAUCGUUUAGUAUGUUGCUAUUGCUUUCUUCAUGACUUAUACAUGUUCCUGUAACUAUGAGAUUAUGCAACUCCCGUUUACCGGAGGAACACUUUGGGUACUACCAAACGUCACAACGUAACUGGAUGAUUAUAAAGGAGUACUAUAGGUGUCUCCGAAGGUACAUUUUGAGUUGGCGUAUUUCUAUUUGUCACUCCGAUUGUCGGAGAGGUAUCUCUGGGCCCUCUCGGUAAUGCACAUCACUAUAAGCCUUGCAAGCAAUGUGACCAAUAAGUUGGUUACGGGAUGAUGUAUUACGUAACGAGUAAAGAGACUUGCCAGUAACGAGAUUGAACUAGGUAUUGGAUACCGGCGAUCAAAUCUCGGGCAAGUAACAUACCGAUGACAAAGGGAACAACAUAUGUUGUUAUGCGGUUUGACCGAUAAAGAUCUCUGUAGAAUAUGUAGGAACCAAUAUGGGCAUCCAGGUUCCGCUAUUGGUUAUUGACCGAGAAUAGUUCUAGGUCAUGUCUACAUAGUUCUCGAACCCGUAGGGUCCGCACGCUUAACGUUACGAUGACAGUUUUAUUAUGAGUUUAUAAGUUUUGAUGUACCGAUGUUUGUUCGGAGUCCCGUAUUUGAUCACGGACAUGACGAGGAGUCUCGAAAUGGUCGAGACAUAAAGAUUGAUAUAUUGGACGACUAUAUUCGGACACCGGAAGUGUUUCGGACGUUGUCGGAGAAAAACGGAGUGCCGGAGGGUUACUGGAACCCCCCGAGGAGAGAUAAUGGGCCACAUGGGCCUUGGUGGAAAGAGAGAGGGGCGGCCAGGGUGGGCCGCGCGCCCCUCUCCCUCUGGUCCGAAUUGGACUAGGAGGGGGUGGGGGCGGCGCCCCCCUCUUUCCUUCCCCCCUCUUCCCCUUCCUUCCCCCUCCUUGUAGGAGUAGGAAAAGGGGAGUCCUACUCCUACUAGGAGGAGGACUCCUCCUCCUUGGCGCGCCCACAAGGGCCGGCCGGCCUCCCCCCUCCCUCCUUUAUAUACAGGGGCAGGGGGCACCCCAGGACACACAAGUUGAUCUACGGAUCGUUCCUUAGCCGUGUGCGGUGCCCCCCUCCCCCAUAUUCCACCUCGGUCAUAUUGUCGCGGAGUUUAGGCGAAGCCCUGCGCCGGUAGAACAUCAUCAUCGUCACCAUGCCGUCGUGCUGACGGAACUCAUCCUCGAAGCUUUGCUGGAUCGGAGCCCGGGGAUCGUCAUCGAGCUGAAUGUGUGCUGAACUCAGAGGUGCCGUACGUUCGGUGCUUGGAUCGGUCGGAUCGUGAAGACGUACGACUACAUCAACCGCGUUGUCAUAACGCUUCCGCUUACGGUCUACGAGGGUACGUGGACAACACUCUCCCCUCUCGUUGCUAUGUCAUCACCAUGAUCUUGCAUGUACGUAGAAUUUUUAUGAAAUUACUACGUUCCCCAACAGUGGCAUCCGAGCCUAGGUUUUAUGCGUAGAUGUCGUAUGCACGAGUAGAACACAAGUGAGUUGUGGGCGAUACAAGUCAUACUGCUUACCAGCAUGUCAUACUUUGGUUCGAUGGUAUUGUGAGAUGAAGCAUCCCGGACCGACAUUACGCGUACGCUUACGCGAGACUGGUUUCACCGUUACGAGCACUCGUGCUUAAAGGUGGCUGGCUGGUGUCUGUCUCUCUCACUUUAGUUGAACCAAGUGUGGCUACCCCCGGUCCUUGAGAAGGUUAAAACAACACCAACUUGACGAACUAUCGUUGUGGUUUUGAUGCGUAGGUAAGAACGGUUCUUGCUCAGCCCGUAGCAGCCACGUAAAACUUGCAACAACAAAGUAGAGGACGUCUAACUUGUUUUUGCAGGGCAUGUUGUGAUGUGAUAUGGUCAAGACGUGAUGAGAUAUAAGUUGUUGUAUGAGAUGAUCAUGUUGAAGUUAUCGGCAACUGGCAGAAGCUCUAUGGUUGUCUCUUUGUUGCAUAAGAUGCAAGUGCCAAAUAAUUGCUUUACUUUAUCGCUAUGCGAUAGCAAUAGUUGCAAGAGCAAUAGUUGGCGAGACGACCAUGUGACGACACAUUGAUAUAGAUCAAGAUGAUGAAGAUCAUGGUGUCGUGCCGGUGACGAUAGAGAUCAUGACAGUACUUUGGAGAUGGAGAUCGAAGGCGCAAGAUGAUCAUGGCCAUAUCAUGUCACAUAUUUUGAUUGCAUAUGAUGUUUAUCUGUUAUACAUCUUAUUCUGUUUUGUUUGACGGUAGCAUUAUAAGAUGAUCUCUCACUAAUUAUCAAGAAGUGUUCUCCCUGAGUAUGCACCGUUGCCAAAGUUCGUCGUGCCCAGACACCACGUGAUGAUCGGGUGUGAUAAGCUCUACUUCCAUCUACAACGGGUGCAAGCCAGUUUUGCACACGCGGAAUACUCAGGUUAAACUUGACGAGCCUAGCAUAUGCAGAUAUGGCCUCGGAACAUGGAGGCCGAAAGGUCGAGCGUGAAUCAUAUAGUAGAUAUGAUCAACAUAAUGAUGUUCACCAUUGAAAGCUACUCCAUUUCACGUGAUGAUCGGUUAUGGUUUAGUUGAUUUGGAUCACGUGAUCACUUAGAGGAUUAGAGGGAUGUCUUUCUAAGUGGGAGUUCUUAAGUAAUAUGAUUAAUUGAACUUAAAUUUAUCAUGAACUUAGUCCUGGUAGAAUUUUGCAAAUUAUGUUGUAGAUCAAUAGCUUGCGUUGUUACUCUCAUAUGUUUAUUUUGAUAUGUUCCUAGAGAAAAUUGUGUUGAAAAAUGUUAGUGGCAAUGAUGCGGAUUGGAUCCGUGAUCUGAGGUUUAUCCUCAUUGCUGCGCAGAAGAAUUAUGUCCUUGAUGCACCGCUAGGUGAAAAACCUAUUGCAGGAGCAGAUGCAGACGUUAUCAACGUUUGGCUAGCUCAAUAUGAUGACUACUUGAUAGUUUAGUGCACCAUGCUUAACGGCUUAGAAUCGGGACUUCAAAGACGUUUUGAACGUCAUGGACCAUAUGAGAUGUUCCAGGAGUUGAAGUUAAUAUUUCAAGCAAAUACCCGAGUUGAGAGAUAUGAAGUCCCCAACAAGUUCUAUAGCUAAAAGAUGGAGGAGAAUCGCUCAACUAGUGAGCAUGUGCUUAGAUUGUUUAGGUACUACAAUCGCUUGAAUCAAGUGGGAGUUAAUCCUCCAGAUAAGAUAGUGAUUGACAGAAUUCUCUAGUCACCACACCAAGUUAGUAGAACUUUGUGAUGAACUAUAGUAUGCAAGGGAUGACGAAAACGAUUCCCGAGCUCUUCGUGAUGUUGAAAUCGACGAAGGUAUAAAUCAAGAAAGAGCAUCAAGUGUUGAUGAUUGACAAGACCAGUAGUUUCAAGAAAAGGGCAAAGGGAUAGAAAGGGAACUUCAAGUAGAAUGACAAGCAAGUUGUCACUCCCGCGAAGAAGCCCACAGCUGGACCAAAGCCUGAAACUGAGUGCUUACACUGCAAAGGAAAUGGUCACUGGAAGCGGAAAUGCCCUGAAUAUUUGGUGGAUAAGAAGGAUGGCGAAGUGAACAAGAGUAUAUUUGAUAUACAAGUUAUUGAUGUGUGCCUUACUAGUGUUUAUAGUAGCCCCUGAGUAUUUGAUACUUGUUCAGUUGCUAAGAUUAGUAACUCGAAACAGGAGUUAUAUAAACAGAGACUAGUUGAAAGGGAAGUGACGAUGAGUGUUGGAAGUGGUUCCAAGAUUGAUAUGAUCAUCAUCGCACACUCCCUAUACUUUCGGGAUUAGUGUUAAACCUAAAUAAAUGUUAUUUGGCGUUUGCAUUGAGCAUGAAUAUGAUUUGAUCAUGUUUAUUGCGAUACGGUUAUUCAUUUGAAGUUAAAGAAUAAUUGUUAUUCUGUUUACAUGAAUAAGACCUUCGAUGGUUAUACGCCCAAUGGAAAUAGUUUGUUGGAUCUCGAUCGUAGUGAGACACAUAUUCAGAACAUUGAUGCCAAAAGAUGCAAAGUUAAUAAUGAUAGUGCAACUUAUUUGUGGCACUGCCGUUUAGGUCAUAUUGGUGUAAAGCGCAUGAAGAAACUCCAUAAAAGAUGGAUUUUCGGAAUCACUUGGUUAUGAAUCAUUUGAUGCUUGCGAACCGUGCCUUUUGGGCAAGAUGACUAAAACUCCGUUCUCCGGAACAAUGGAACAAGCUACUGACUUAUUGGAAAUAAUACAUACCGAUGUAUGCGAUCCAAUGAGUGUUGAUGCUCGCGGCAAAUAUCAUUAUUUUCUGACCUUCACAGAUGAUUUCAGCAGAUAUGGGUAUAUCUACUCAAUGAAACAUAAGUCUGAAACGUUUGAAAAGUUCAAAGAAUUUCAGAGUGAAGUUGAAAAUCAUCGUAACAAGAAAAUAAAAUUUCUACGAUCUGAUCAUGGAGGAGAAUAUUUGAGUUACGAGUUUGGUCUACAUUUGAAACAAUGCGGAAUAGUUUCACAACUCACGCCACCUGGAACACCACAACGUUAUGGUGUGUCCGAAUGUGGUAACCGCACUUUAUUGGAUAUGGUGCGAUCUAUGAUGUCUCUUACUGAUUUACCAUUAUCGUUUUGGGGUUAUGCAUUAGAGACAACUGCAUUCACGUUAAAAGGGCACCAUCUAAAACCGUUGAGACGACACCGUAUGAACUAUGGUUUAGCAGUAAACCUAAGCUGUCGUUUCUUAAAGUUUGGAGUUGCGAUGCUUAUAUGAAAAAGGUUUUCAACCUGAUAAGCUCGAACCCAAAUCGGAGGAAUGCGUCUUCAUAGAAUACCCAAAGGAAACUGUUGGGUACUCCUUCUAUCAUAGAUCCAAAGGCAAAACAUUCGUUGCUAAGAAUGGAUCCUUUCUAGAGAAGGAGUUUCUCUCGAAAGAAGUGAGUGGGAGGAAAGUAGAACUUGAUGAGGUAACUGUACCUGCUCCCUUAUUUGAAAGUAGUUCAUCACAGAAAUUUGUUCCUGUGACUACUACACCAAUUAGUGAGGAAGUUAAUGAUGAUGAUCAUGAAACUUCAGAUUAAGUUACAACAGAACCUCGUAGGUCUUCCAGAGUAAGAUCCGCACCAGAGUGGUACGGUAAUCCUGUUCUGGAAGUUAUGUUACUAGACCAUGACGAACCUACGAACUAUGAAGAAGCGAUGGUGAGCCCAGAUUCCGCAAAAUGGCUUGAGGCCAUGAGAUCUGAGAUAAGAUCCAUGUAUGAAAACAAAGUAUGGACUUUGAUUGACUUGCCCAAUGACCGGCGAGACAUUGAGAUUAAAUGGAUCUUCAAGAGGAAGACGGACGCUGAUAGUGUUACUAUCUACAAAGAUAGAAUUGUCGCAAAAGGUUUUCGACAAGUUCAAGGUGUUGACUAUGAUGAGAGUUUUUCACUCUUAUCUAUGCUUAAGUCUGUCUGAAUCAUGUUAGCAAUUGCCGCAUUUUAUGAAAUCUGGCAAAUGGAUAAACAAAACUGCAUUCCUUAAUGGUUUUCUUAAAGAAGAGUUGUAUAUGAUGCAACCAGAAGGUUUUGUCAAUCCUAAAGGUGCUAACUAAUUGUGCAAGCUCCAGCGAUCCAUCUAUGGACUGGUGCAAGUAUCUCGGAGUUGGAAUAUACGCUUUGAUGAGUUGAUCAAAGCAUAUGGUUUUAUACAGACUUUUGAAGAAGCCUGUAUUUACAAGAAAGUGAGUGGGAGCUCUGUAGCAUUUCUAAUAUUAUAUGUGGAUGACAUAUUGUUAACUGGAAAUGAUAUGGAAAUUCUGGAUAGCAUGAAAGGAUACUUGAAUAAGAGUUUUUCAAAGCAAGACCUUGGUGAAGCUGCUUACACAUUGAGCAUCAAAAUCUAUAUAGAUAGAUCAAGACGCUUGAUAAGAUUUUUCAAUGAGUACAUACCUUGAUAAAUUUUUGAAAUAGUUCAAUAUGGAACAGUCAAAGAAGGAGUUCUUGCCUGUGAUGCAAAGGUAUGAAGUUGAGUAAGACUAAAAACCCGACCAUGGCAGAAAAUAGAAAAGAAUGAACAGUCAUUCCCUAUGCCUCAGUCAUAGGUUCUAUAAAGUAUUCUAUGCUAUGUACUAGACCUAUUGUAUACCUUGCUCUGAGUUUGGCAAAGGAAUACAAUUUUGAUCUAAAAGUAGAUCACUAGAACAGCGGUCAAGAAUAUCCUUAGUGAGGACUAAGGAGAUGUUUCUCGAUUAUGGAGGUGAUAAAAGAGCCAGUCGUAAAAAGUUACAACGAUGCAAGCUUUUACACCAAUCCAGAUGACUUUAAGUCUCAAUCUGGAUACAUAUUGCAAGUGGGAGCAAUUAGCUAGAGUAGCUCCGUGCAGAGCAUUGUGGACAUAGAAUAUUUGCAAAAUACAUACGGCUCUGAAUGUGACAGACUCGUUGACUAAACUUCUCUCAUGAGCAAAACAUGAUCAUACCUUAGUACUCUUUGGGUGUUAAUCACAUAGCCAUGUGAACUAGAUUAUUGACUCUAGUAAACCCUUUGGGCGUUGAUCACAUGACGAUGUGAACUAUGGGUAUUAAUCACAUAUAGAUGUGAAUAUUGGUGUUAAAUCACAUGGUGAUGUGAACUAGAUUAUUGACUCUAGUGCAAGUGGGAGACUGAAGGAAAUAUGCCCUAGAGGCAAUAAUAAAGUUAUUAUGUAUUUCCUUAUUUCAUGAUAAAUGUUUAUUAUUCAUGCUAGAAUUGUAUUAACCGGAAACAUAAUACAUGUGUGAAUACAUAGACAAACAGAGUGUCACUAGUAUGCCUCUACUUGACUAGCUCGUUAAUUAAAGAUGGUUAUGUUUCCUAACCAUAGACAUGACUUGACCCAUUCCGUUAGCUUAGCACUUGAUCGUUUAGUAUGUUGCUAUUGCUUUCUUCAUGACUUAUACAUGUUCCUGUAACUAUGAGAUUAUGCAACUCCCGUUUACCGGAGGAACACUUUGGGUACUACCAAACGUCACAACAUAACUGGGUGAUUAUAAAGGAGUACUACAGGUGUCUCCGAAGGUACAUGUUGAGUUGGCGUAUUUUGAGAUUAGGUUUUGUCACUCCGAUUGUCGGAGAGGUAUCUCUGGGCCCUCUCGGUAAUGCACAUCACUAUAAUCCUUGCAAGCAAUGUGACCAAUAAGUUGGUUACGGGAUGAUGCAUUACGUAACGAGUAAAGAGACUUGCCGGUAACGAGAUUGAACUAGGUAUUGGAUACCGAUGAUCAAAUCUCGGGCAAGUAACAUACCGAUGACAAAGGGAACAACGUAUGUUGUUAUGCGGUUUGACCAAUAAAGAUCUUCGUAGAAUAUGUAGGAACCAAUAUGGGCAUCCAGGUUCCGCUAUUGGUUAUUGACCGAGAAUAGUUCUAGGUCAUGUCUACAUAGUUCUCGAACCCGUAGGGUCCGCAUGCUUAACGUUACGAUGACAGUUUUAUUAUGAGUUUAUAAGUUUUGAUGUACCGAAGUUUUUUCAGAGUCCCGGAUGUGAUCACGGACAUGACGAGGAGUCUCGAAAUGGUCGAGACAUAAAGAUUGAUAUAUUGGACGACUAUAUUCGGACACCGGAAGUGUUCCGAACGUUGUCGGAGAAAACCGGAGUGCUGGAGGGUUACCGGAACCCCCCGGGGAGAGAUAAUGGGCCACAUGGGCCUUGGUGGAAAGAGAGAGGGGCGGCCAGGGUGGGCCACGCGCCCCCUCUCCCUCUGGUCCGAAUUGGACUAGGAGGGGGGGCGGGGCGGCGCCCCCCUCUUUCCUUCCCCCUUCUUCCCCUUCCUUCCCCCUCCUAGUAGGAGUAGGAAAAGGGGAGUCCUACUCCUACUAGGAGGAGGACUCCUCCUCCUUGGCGCGCCCACAAGGGCCGGCCGGCCUCCCCCUCCCUCCUUUAUAUACGGGGGCAGGGGGGCACCCCAGGACACACAAGUUGAUCUACGGAUCGUUCCUUAGCCGUGUGCGGUGCCCCCCUCCACCAUAUUCUACCUCGGUCAUAUCGUCGCGGAGUUUAGGCGAAGCCCUGCGCCGGAAGAACAUCAUCAUCGUCACCACGCCGUCGUGCUGACGGAACUCAUCCCCGAAGCUUUGCUGGAUCGGAGCCCGGGGAUCGUCAUCGAGCUGAACGUGUGCUAAACUCGGAGGUCCCGUACGUUCGGUGCUUGGAUCGGUUGGAUCGUGAAGAGUACGACUACAUCAACUGCGUUGUCAUAACGCUUCCGCAUACGGUCUACGAGGGUACGUGGACAACACUCUCCCCUCUUGUUGCUAUGUCAUCACCAUGAUCUUGCGUGUACGUAGAAUUUUUUUGAAAUUACUACGUUCCCCAACAUCAUAGUCAUGCUUCGAGGUAGCAAUGAUAUGGGGUUCCAAUCAAGGCCAGACUUUGGAUACACAAAUGAUCCAUCAGGAGCAACUUAUAAAAUAAGUCCUACAAUUUCCUCCAGGAAGAAUGGUUAUCCUUGCAAAAGAAAUUAUAAUCAUAGGUCCUCCAGCCAGGGGUGCUAGGCAUGACAUCAUAUUACCUGGUCAUCAAAGGACCAACAUCAUAACUCCUGGAAAGUUGUCCUAACCAUAAUAUCUGACCGAGAUUCUGAUCCGAUUGGUGUCAUGAUACCUCAGACUCAGGAUGUCCGAGAAGAAAAGGUGUGACACAAAUUGAUGAAAUGACAUUGCAAGAUUCUCAGGAAAUGAACUAUGGGAGUGGGUUCCUGAAACAAUAGUUCAUCAUUAAACCAAGGAGGGGAUGAGGAGGUUGCUGAUGGGCUCAGCGACAAUUCAACGAGAAUUCCAAACGGAUGGAUUUCCACACUUAUGUGAACAAGAAGAUGACACUUGUUAAUUCAAAUGAUAUAAUGUUGUAUGCUCGAGGAAAACAUACACCAUCAAGCAUUAGUUGUAAGGUGUGCCUGAAAUAUGACCUUAGGCAGCAGGGUCAAUGUUAGAGUGAUGAUUCAAUGACCAACAGUCUAAGAUUGAACUGUUGAUCAUUAACUUCAAAGCAAUAGGGUUGCUAGAAGUACAGAACUCAAGCAGCAUCGUUGGCAUAUCGGUAUCCUGGUUAAAAACAACACGGGGACCAAGGAAGAAUGGUGAUGGUGGGAAGUAUUAUCAUACCGAGAAUUUCUAAGAGGUGGAGCAAUCCACACAACAUCUUGGCAGAAAAGACAGUAAUACUUCAAGGCAGAACACAACACUAGCUGGACAGCAAGUUGUAUUCAUAAUAUGGACAAGUUCGCGAUGAAAGGAAGUCAAGGGUUUUGUUGAUGAUAAUAAAAAUCAUCAAGGGCAAGGAGGGAAUUUCUCAUCAUGAACACAGUUGGCAUCUCAGAAGAAGUCAAAGUGUUGAAGGUGAUCCAACACAUUUGCCGGGAGAUUUCAAGAGGAUGAAAUCAAACAACAACGGCAACAAGCGAGGGAAUGACGAAGUGGCAAGUUAUAGAAUCAAUAUAUAGGAUGCAAGCUCGGGACCAAAUUGCCUUUCAAGACAAGAAACAUGAUGUUGAAAGCUCGACGUAAGUCGUGCUCACAGACUGAAGAUUCGUGCACCAGAGAAGGAUGAGGUAGCACCGUCAAAGGUAGCAAGACCUGGAUGCAACCGAUAGUCUAGGAAUGACCAGAUUUAGUUCAGAAUUUCCUAGUAAAAAUACUAGGGGUAUUAGAUUUGUAGUGCGGAAUAAUUUCACUAGUCGGUGUCCUCGGUUGACAACAACGCAGAACCCGUAGAGUGAUUACGGCAAGGAAAUACAUUACUUCAACAAAGUUAGUAAGAUGUGGUGCAAUGGCAAGACAUCUCCGAGAUACCAGGGGUAAUACUCGAAGGUAGAACAAGAUAGAAGUAGAACCGGGUCAUUGACCUAUGACAUUAGAUACUUCAACCUUGCCAAAAAUAGACGAGGCACUGGAAUGAAUUCCCAUCAGAUAUAUCAGAUCAGGACAACAUGGUCGGAACCAUAACUGUAAGGAAUCAAUUUCAAGAAUACCGAAAGAAUCAUACAGCUAGAUAAUCAUUUUGCAAGAAGCUUCUCAGACGGUCUACAUCAUUUUCAUGGGCAUGAACACAAAGUUCAAGGUCGACUCCCACUUCUUCAAUGCAUAUCAUCUCAUUCACCUUUGGUUUGAUAUAACUGUAGUGUUGAAAGUUUAUCUGGUAGAAAACCGGAAGAGUAUGACUUGUGAAAACUUUCGGGUUCUCACGAAUUAGGGGAAGGCAUAGGUUCAACCCACCGGGAAACUUAGUAACCUAUACCACAAGUUUCAAAAGUAAAUACACAAGCUCGAAAGAAGAGCAUGGUUGGCCAAGUAGAGGAUACAAUUUACCAAAGGCACUAUGUAUCAGGGAAAGAACUCACAUGGUGAUUGAAUAUGAAGGACACGGUCGGAUAACAAUCCAACAAUGGAUAGGGCGAUCCACAACGGAGCUGAUGUGAGUAUCGGUACUCACUCGGAGGAAGAAAGAAUGCAGAGGAAUCAGAUUCAAGAAUCACCUGAUCAGUCUGAUGCUUAAAUAGAAAGAAAUUAUGGUUUCCAAAAUGAAGGAUCAGAAGCAGAUGCUCUGAUCAAGGAUGGAUAAGUUGAAAACACCUAGUUGGACAAUCAAUAAAGGUUUGAAUUGCCGAGAACCAACUCAUGUCCGGAAUGACGUCUGAGCCGGAAAGAGAAUCUUAAAAAGGAUAACAUGAUGACUGCGUGUGUACGCACACAUUGAAUCAAUAGGCUCAAAAUGACUAAGACAAGGGAUGUUAACGAGGACUACUAGUCAUAUGGAAUUACCCAUAAUGCAAGCAUGCAAGCGUUUCAAGAGUAACAGGCUGCAGAGGAUUUUUGAAAGAUCGAAAAGUAUUCCGAAGAAUCAUGUGAGACACAUGAACAAUUGAGAAGAAUGGAUCCUUGAUAAAUGUGAGGAAAAACCCGUAAGGGUUUUCACGCCAAAUAAAACUGCAACACAGUAAACUCAAAGGAUUUUCGGGACAACGACGAAUAUUUCGAGGCAUCAUGUAACAACAAGAGCAGCGAGGAAUGAUCAAGAGAAUGACAAGUGCAUACAGAUAUCCAUAGGUAUAUAUUGGUGACAGUGGAUUGCAAAGGUGAUGAGCACAAGGGUCUCGGGAAAAUAUCAAGGGAUAUCUUCAGAAUCUUCUGAUGCAAUAAGCAAUCAUCUGGAGUGAGGGAUCUCUGGGAGGAAGUAGUUACGAGAACCUAGAGUGGGCGUUAGUAAAAUCAUUUAACCAGAAUAGAGGAGAGAUCAGUGUCCCAGAGUAAAGGUCGAGGAGUAAAAGAUCCUAAUACCACCCAAUGGCGACGUGGGCCCGCAAGCCACACAUCCAAGUUAGUAAAACAGUUUUCGGCUUCUAGACUCAACUUCGGCCAAGGAGUUGGAAAGGGGAUUCCUAUAGGCAGUCGGCUCUGAUACCAACUUGUGACGCCGCCGAUUCAAUCAUACACUAAUCAUACACGCAAAUGUGUACGAUCAAGAUCAGGGAAUCACAGGAAGAUAUCACAACACAACUCUAAAAAUAAAAUAAGUCAUACAAGCAUCAUAAUACAAGCCAGGGGCCUCGAGGGCUCGAAUACAAGUGCUUGAUCAUAGACGAGUCAGCGGAAGCAACAAUAUCUGAGUACAGACAUAAGUUAAACAAGCUUGCCUUAAGAAGGCUAGCACAAACUGGGAUACGAAUCGGAAGUGGCGCAUGCCUCCUGUCUGGGAUCCUCCUAAACUACUCCUUGUCGUCGUCAGCGGCCUACACGCAAUAGUAGGCACCUCCAGUGUUGUAGGAGUCAUCGCCGUUGAUGUCGUCUGGCUCCUGGGAUCCAACGUCUGGUUGCAGCAUCCGAGAAGACGAGGAAAACGGGGGAAAAGAGGUAGCAAAGGAACCGUGAGUACUCAUCCAAAGUACUCGCAAGAAAGGAGCUACACUACAUAUGCAUGGGUAUAUGUGUAAGGAGGCAAUAUCAGUGAACUGAACUGCAGAAUGCCAGAAUAAGAUGGGGAUAGCUAGUCCUAUCAAAGACUACGCUUCUGGCAACCUCCGUCUUGCAUCAUCUAGAAGAGAGUAGAUUGAAGUAUCAUCGCAUAGCCUAAUCCUACCCGGCGAUCCUCCCCUUGUUGCCCUGUGGGAAAGCAAUCACCGGGAUGUCUGUGGAACUUGUGUGAGUGUGUUUUAUUGAGUAUCCGGUUCUAGUUGUCAUAAGGUCAAGGUACAACUCCCAGUCGUCCUGUUGAAGAUCACGUCUAUUCAAAUAGAUUAACUUCCCUACAGGGGUGCACCACAUUUCCCAACACACUCGAUCCCCUUUGGCCGGACACACUUUCCUGGGUCAUGCCCGGCCUCGGAAGAUCAACACGUCGCAGCCCCACCUAGGCACAACAAAGAGGUCAGCACGCUUGUCUAACUCCUAUGGCGCAGGGAUCAGCACGCCCUGCCUGUUCCGUUCACCACCCCUAGUGACCAGUGUUUAGCCCCAACGUCUGUCCCACUAGGUCCCAGCCUCAUUUCAUUGGUUAAUCUUAUGUAUAAUAAUGUGAUAAGAUAGUGAGGUGUAUGCAUAUCUAUAACCGUAUAUCAUACUUCUGAUUGUAGUGUAAGACAGUGAGGUGUAAUCUUGCCGUUUUAGUUCAGAGAGAUAAUUCGAUCACUUUAAGUUGUUGCAUGCUGUCAUAUGCACUAUGCUUAUGUUAUUUGCUACUAAACCAAUAGUGGAAUAUAGUUUUAUGUUUCAUGUAUUGUUUGGUGGCUUCUCAAUUUGUGCAUGAAAACAAACAUUGCUUCCGAGUGACUCUUCAUUAGGCUCUUGUUUUAUUCAUGGGUGAUGGAACAAUGAAUGCAAAGAUAAGCUUCCUUUGAUUUGGUUGCUCGGUUGACAAGAAUAUGCAUUCCUUUGUAUACCACCUUACCUCUCCUGUGAUGCUUUCUACAUUGUAGAUUCCCUGUAUUAGAUAACGGCCAGUGCUGGGGUUGAUGCUUUAGUACAGAAAUCAUUGCAUUCCAUAUAUCUCACAGUUUGUUUGUAUCAGAUUCAUGUGAGGCGGUCCCUAUGAAGUACAUCGACGAGACAGAUGGAUUACGCCAUCUAUUAGUAUGCUUAGUGAUUCUGUAGUUGGCUCUUUUUAUUAUGUUCAUGUUCUUAUUAACUCCUCUUAUGUGUUCUCGCAAUUGGUAUCGAACUUCAUGUCGAAUGGCUAUCUUUUGUGGUCGUAUGAACGGGUCGAGCUUGAUCCUGCCUUAUAAAUUGAUGUUGUCUUGUGCUCCAUUACGUUUUACUUUUAUCACAAUUGAAUGUUUCUUUAUUUUAUUAUUAUCAUAUAUAAGUGCAAAUGCUAUAUCUGGGUUCCUACUGACAUGGUGUUACAUGCUUUGGCAAAGUGCUUGGACCGGCACCCUCGCGCCAGGGCGCGAUCCUGAUCUAGUGUAUCUUGUAGCAAGCCAUGAGCCGAGGGUUGCUACAUGAUAAAUUGCUGACUAGGCAGUGUGUUUUCUUCAUUUUGGGCAGAUCACAAGUGUUUGACACCUCUCUCUACAUUGGGUAUCCUUUUCCACUUGAAUUUUAAAAUGCGCAGAAUGUGCUUUCCUUGUUGUUGCCUCGUCAUUCCAACAUGGAAUCAAAGCAAACCUAAUAUUACUACCUUUAAAAAUUGUCUCGCUGUCUAUGUCCAUAGCAUGCCCAUUGGACUGCACGGCAGAAGUGAAGGUGUGUGCCUAGCUGGCGGAGCAGACGUACUCGUGUGACCUCUGAUCUAAGAAUGACAUGUACUCUGUUGUGAGCCCAUGGUGCAUGUGGGUUGGAACGCUGCUUAGGAAAUCUAGACUUAUUUUGCAGGCAAGCCAAGAUGAGAUCUGUAGCCCAUGUGAUUUCCAUCAAAAUGACGGCCAGUUCAACUCUGGUUCGAAUCCUAAUAAAAAAAUAGACCAACAGUCCUAGAUGGAUAUGUCCAUCGCUAAAAACGCAGUUGUUGAAAGAGUCAAUAUGACUUUUAGCUAGAGGACGCCAACACCCCUCACUUCUUCUACAUGCACUAAACAAACCCUAGCUUAUCCAACUCAAUUUGCUUUAAGGUUUAUGUGUGAAAGAAGUAGUAUUAAAAUAGAACACCACACUCUUCAACCUGAGAAAUCAAUAGUCAAUUUACCUAUGGAUAUUAAAUCUAUAUACAUCGUACUUGAUGUGUGAAGUUGAUAAUACUUAUUAAACAUAUUUUAAAUUACAAUAUUUGGUGCUUCACAGCCUGUUAUGAAAUUAUUGUUCACCCAUCUAGUGCAAUAAAAAGUACGUGCGAGAGAGAGAUAGAGAGAGAGAGAUUAAAGUACAUUUUGUCCUGAUGUCCACCAUAGUUCCACGAUCAGUACACCUAGGAGGAGACAAUCAAAAUAUGGACAGAACAUAAAUAUUUAAUAUGUAAAUGGUAGGUAACAAAUCCAACCACAAAAUUGUGCAAGCAAGCCACUAGCUAUUUAUUGAAUAUUAAAAUAACAUAGUUGAUUUCUAAAACAUACAAAAAUUAUUAUCUCAUCAACGCAUAAUUAUUUUGAGAACCAUAAGGUUGAGAUUUAUCCACCCAAAAACUAUUGUGUUGUUGUUGCUGGUGUGCAAUUAAUCUUGCAGGGACAGUUGAUGAAGCAUUCUCCAAGAUCUGGCCAGCACAAGUUAUCUAUUUGACAGCAGAAUUCCCGUCCUGGGAGCUGGUGCCCAUCUUUAUAACAAGGGGGUCUAGUUACAUGGCUUACUUUGCUCAUCAUGUUUCUCCCCUUGUUGUUUAUGAUUUCACCUAAUUAACAUAAAAUAAAGAAUAUACUUAUCAUCUCAUCAUAUAAACAAUAAAAGUCCACAAUAUCAAUACCACCAAAAAAUCGAGUUGUUAAUUACCAUAUGUGCCUCCAAGACAAGUCAAACACACCACAAGAAGAAAAGAAAGUAGCACAAGUCCUUGCACAUUGUUCCUCGUGAACUUGGUCAUCGUCACUAAGGAAUAGAGGCUAUUAAUGGGUGGUACUCUUGUAAGUGGAGUUGAUGAGUGUAUGACCGUGAAAUGCUUGCUCCAUGAAUGGUUCAUAUAUAUAUAGGAAAAGCUUCUCCGUGUUGAUGUGUGAAGUUAUAGAAAAUAUUAAUGCUUGGAGUUAUGGCUUGUGUGAAUUUCCAAUUUUAGUUUCACUUCUAAAGAUUCAUGGUUCCUUCUAGAGUUUUUUUCUCAAAUUUAUGCUUUGUCAUAGCAUGUAAGUUACUUUAAUGCCCCCUCUAGAAUUGAUCGCUCAUUGUUUUCAAGGGGUAGAAUUGACCUCUUAGAAUGGGUAGUAAAAAAUGGGUGCAUGGCAAUAUUAUGUUUAAGGCAUUGAUAAUAAUUGGUAUAAUAUCAAUAAUUCCUAUAUAUAUGAUGCCUUAUCAAUAAAAUUAUUAAUUUCUGUCUUGGUAUAAGAGAACAGAGUUUAAAAUUCAACAAGACUCAUCCACUUAACAUUGGACUUGAUUUUUAAUGUAUGUAAGCAAUUGUUCUUAAGUAUAUCAACAAGUUACAGAUACAUUUUUUUUUACUUUUAUUCCAUGAACAUAGAUUAAUUAUGGGAUGGCCAUUUUAUAAAUAUAAGAUGAUGAUUUAUUUUCAUAUACAUGAACAUUUUAUAUCAAGGUACUUGAGCAUUUUUUACAUAUUUCUAUACACAAAAUUUUCUCCAAUAUUAAGUCGAUUUUUUUAAAUAGAUUAGUUUCCCCAAAACUUUCUUUAUUAAAAUGUCGCACUUGCCCAGCUAGGGAAAAUUUUGUUAGGCAGAGCUGCCCAAUUCUCGGAACUCCCUAUAAGUUCCUCCUUGCCGCUACCAACCUCCCCUUCAGACAGCGCAUGCCUGGCUGGUCCGACCUAUUGACGACACGAAUGGACACCACCGAGUGGGAGAGUAGGCGUUGAGCCAAUCCACUUUAGCAACAAUUUUUUCAUUUUUGGAAAAUAUCUUUGCAAAAUGAACAAGCAUUGAUAAAUGUGAAGUUUUUUUUGAACAUAUUCUAAAAUUUAAAAUUUCUUAAAACCCCAAUUAUGUUUGGAAUUUCAUACAUUCUUCUGAACAAAUAAACACUUUUGGAAAUACUUAACAUUAUUUGAAAACUAAGACCUUUUCUUGGAGAACCAACAAUUUUAUGAAAAACGUGUUAGUUUUAUAAUUUGUAGAAUGUUUUUCAAAGUUAUGAUCUUUAAGAACACAAACAAUUUUUGAAAUUUCAAACAAAAUAUGAGAAUCGGAACAUUUCCCGAAAACUUGAAUAUUUUCUAAAUUUCAAAUUUUUACACAUUUUUAAAAAAGGAGACUUUUUGAUAAAGAUAAUAAGAAAAAUAAAACAAUGGAAAAACAAAUAAGAAAAACUGUAACAUCCUAAUUUUCAAUUUGGAUGUUAUACAUAGAUCAGCAGAUGCAUAUCCUAUUUAUUCUUUCUUUUGGUUGAGAUCCUAGAGAUCUUAAGCAACUCAAGGACCCAAGGAGAGAGUUGGAGGUUUCACAAAAUUCAUAUUUGAAUUUAUUUCAAAUUUGAGGGAAGGAUCAAUUUGAUUUUAUUAUUUUUCUCUCUAAUUUUUUCCAAUAAUAAAAAUACAUGCGAGAAGAUAAUAUGACUUCUUCAACCUAAGAUAAAUAUUGGAGAAAGAAGUUUAAAAUCAAAUUAUGAUUUUAUUAGAAUUUUAUUAGAAUUAGAAAAAUAUUGCAUUUUUUAAAAUUGGAUCUUUGUCCAGAAAAAUGUUUAUCUUGUCCUAAAUAUAUGGUUUGGACGGUGAAAAUUAUUUCUGGAAUUUUUAGAUUUUUCUUUAUAAUUUAUUAGGAUUUUUCUUUCGGGCGAAAUUUAUUUUUUUAAAAAAGUUAUUUCCGCCCGAAUGGGCCGAAGGCCCAGCCGAGCCGGCCCAGAAGCUGCGCCGCCACCAUCCCCGCGCGGUAGUCUGCCCCGCUGCCGCCAGCGUGCCGCCGGCCAAGUCCGAGGUGGGCACACCUCCCGAGGCCAGCCCCUUCCCCAAGACGAGGUCGAGCCCCAUCCUUAAAUAGCGCGUCGUCCCACCACCUCUCCUUCACACCGCCACCGCCUCCCACCACCAGCAGCAGCAAUAGCCCCGCGCCGCCGCCGCCGCACCGCUUUCUGCCGCCUGUGACGCUCCCGAUUCAAUCGUACACUAAUCAUACAUGCAAAUAUGUACGAUCAAGAUUAGGGACUCACGGGAAGAUAUCACAACACAACUCUAAAAAUAAAAUAAGUCAUACAAGCAUCAUAAUACAAGCCAGGGGCCUCGAGUGCUCGAAUACAACUGCUCGAUCAUAGACGAGUCAGCGGAAGCAACAAUAUCUGAGUACAGACAUAAGUUAAACAAGCUUGCCUUAAGAAGGCUAGCACAAACUGGGAUACAGAUCGAAAGAGGCGCAGGCCUCCUACCUGGGAUCCUCCUAAACUACUCCUAGUCGUCGUCAGCGGCCUGCACGCAGUAGUAGGCAUCUCCAGUGUCGUAGGAGUUGUCGUCGGUGGCGUAUGGCUCCUGGGAUCCAACGUCUUCUUGCAGCAUCCGAGAAGAAGAGGAAAACGGGGGAAAAGAGGGAGCAAAGCAACCGUGAGUACUCAUCCAAAGUACUCGCAAGCAAGGAGCUACACUACAUAUGCAUGGGUAUAUGUGUAAGGAGGCAAUAUCAGUGGAAUGAACUGCAGAAUGCCAGAAUAAGAGGGGUAUAGCUAGUCCUAUCGAAGACUACGCUUCUGGCAGCCUCCGCCUUGCAGCAUGUAGAAGAGAGUAGAUUGAAGUCCUCCAAGUAGCAUCGCAUAGCAUACUCCUACCCGGCGAUCCUCCCCUCGUCGCCCUAUGGGAAAGCGAUCACCGGGAUGUCUCUGGAACUUGUAUGGAUGUGUUUUAUUAAGUAUCCAGUUCUAGUUGUCAUAAGGUCAAGGUACAACUCCAAGUCGUCUUGUUACCGAAGAUCACGGCUAUUCGAAUAGAUUAACUUCCCUGCAGGGGUGCACCACAUUUCCCAACACGCUCGAUACCCUUUGGCCGGACACACUUUCCUAGGUCACGCCCGGCCUAGGAAGAUCAACACAUCGUAGACCCACCUAGGCACAACAGAGAGGUCAGCAGACCGGUCUAACUCCUAUGGCACAGGGGUUUGGGCCCAUCGCCCAUUGCACACUUGCACGUUGCGAGGGCGGCCGGAAGUAGACUAGCCCCCUUAAUACAAGUGCAUGCUUACGGUCCAAUCCGGCGCGCGCCGAUCAGUCGCUGAUGUCAAGAAGGCUUCGGCUGAUACCACGACGUUCGAGUGCCCAUAACUGUUCCCGCGUAGUUGGUUAGUGCGUAUAGGCUAGUGGCCAGACUCAGAUAAAAUACCAAGAUCUCGUUAAGCAUGUUAUUAUGAAGUAACCCUGAACGCCGACCAGGGCCAGGCCCACCUCUCUCCUAGGUGGCGUCAAACUGCCCUGUCGCUCCACCACAAAGAUCCACACACAGGGCCGUCGGGAAAGUAUGUCCUUUCAGCCCCCAAUUCAAACAACUGCGGGUACUCAACGAGCCGACACGACUUUAGUCACCAUUUGUAUAGCAUGUAUAUAUGUAUAGUAUGAACCCGUGAUCACCUCCCGAGUGACCACGACCUGAUAGUAUAGCAAGGCAGACUGACAAGAAUGUAGGGCCACAGAUGAUAAACUCGCAUCCUAUACUAAGUAUUUAGGAUUGCAAGUAAGGUAUCAACAGAUGUAGCAACAAUGACAGGCUAUGCAUCAGAAUAGGAUUAACGGAAAGUAGAAACAUGCUACACUACUCUAAUGCAAGCAGUAUAGAGGAGAGUAUGCGAUAUCUGGUGAUCAAGGGGGGGGCUUGCCUGGUUGCUCUGGCAAGAAGGAGGGGUCGUCAACUCCGUAGUCGUACUGGGUGCUAGUGUAAGAAACAAUUAAUAUAGUGAAAACAUAAGCAUGACAAUGUAAGAUAUGAAAAUGAGCAGUGCUAGGUGUGCCCUAACGAGGUAGUAGGCGAUACCGGCGAAAGGGGGAAACAUCCGGGAAAGUAUCGUCGGUGUUUCGCAUUACUGCAUCAGCAUGACGUCAGCAUGACAUCAUCAGUCAACAAAGGUAUUGACUAGGUCAAGCUGACGUGUGGGUCCCAUCUGCCAUUGACACAUUGCCCUAACUAACAAACUAGUUAGUUUAAUUAAAUAUUUAGGUUAAUUAAGUUUAGUUAUUUUAACUAAACAUGAUAAAUUAAGUUAAUUAAUUAGUUAAUUAAUUAAUUACCAAUUUUAUUAUUAUUAUUAUUUUAUCUUAUUAUUAUUAUUAUUUAAACGUUCUGGGGUGGGGCCCCCUUGUCAUAGGCCCCUGGGGACCUAGUGGAGUGUGUUAACGGGCGCCGGGGCGCGGCGGGCGUGCGCCCGAGUCCACCAUGGAAGGGGACUCCGACCAGGGGAGGGGGCGCCGCCGUGGCGGCUAGCGCCGGCUGUGGCGGAGCGGCGUGGGACCGAUGGGGCGUAGGCGAUGCACGUGACAGCGCGCGCGAGCUGCAGUGGUGGAGGUGGUGGCGGGGUCGCACGGGUGGAGCAAAGGCGCGACAGCCGGAGCGGAGUAGUGCAGCGAGCAGCACUGCUCGUGGCGUCGCGCGGGCACAGUAAGCACGGGAGGCGGGCCGACGCGGGACCAGGCAUAGCAGCAGCGGCGCAGGGCGCGGCGAGCGCCCGUUGCGCGCGUGCUUCAGUGCGGGUAGGCGUAGCCACGGCGGCGUGAGCCACGGCGGGAAGAAGGAACACGGGAGGGGGCGCAGUAGCAGCAGGCGAGCCGGGCGUGCACGGGGCGACGAUGGGCAGCGACAGCGAGCGCGGUGGGGCGGUGCGCUUGCGUGCGUGCACGAUGGACGAGCGGCCGGAGCGAACAACGAGUGCUGGGAGAGGAGGAGAGGCCGGGGGCCUCACCGCGGUUGUAGGGUCUUAGGCAGCGAGGCGUGGGGAGGACGACGGGGACGACGUGCGGUGGGGCGACGAGGUCCGGCGGUAGGGUGGACGUAGGCGAUGGCGUCCGACGAGGUGGCGGCGCGGUGGCUCCGGCGACUGCGUCGGGGUGCCGUGGGCGCCCAGAUCUAGAACGGGGAGGAGGAGGUCGAGGACGGGGCGUCAGGGCGUCGAGCGACACCGGCAAGGGGCGACGGAGUCCGGGACGAUGGGGUUGGGGCGGUUGCCCCGAUCCAGAAACCGGGAGGGGAGUGGGGGAGCGAGCGAGUGUGGGGUGAGUGGAAUCCUGGUACCUAGGGUUUCAGGCGAUAGGAGGAUAUGGAGAGUGGGGUGGGCCGGUCGGGCCAGGGUGGGAGUUGGGUCGGGUGACCCAGUUGGCCUGGGGCUUUCCCCCUCUUUUUACUUUAUUAAUUUUUUGUUAUUCUCCUUUUUUUAUUCUUUUCCAUUUUCUAUUUUAUUUAUUUUAGAGCAUCAUAGCAUUUUCUAAAUAUGGGUUUUCUUCACUAUAAUUACCUAUGUAAUAUUUGGCACAAUCUGGACAUUUUAGUUUCAUUGUUUGAAAACCUUUUUGUUUGCCUGAUUUUUAAUUUGAAUUUGAAUCGGUUUCGAACUAACGCGAGAUUAGUAACAGUAAUCAAGGUGACGUGGCAUCAUUAGCAGAGGUUCAAUGUAGCUUAAGUAUCCAGGUGUCACAAUUCUCCAACACUACAAGAAAUCUCGUCCUGAGAUUUAAGCGGUGUAUUAAGGGGGGAGGUGCUGGUAGCGAAAAAGCUAAAGAGUCUUCUCGGUCUUGGCUGCCCUUUCGAAGAGGUUGAUCCCUUUCGUUGAUGUCUUCAUGUCUCUGCUUCAAGUCACCAUGACCAAGUCAUCAUCCUUUCAUCGGUAUCUCCAUCGUCCUACAAACGCAACCAAGGGGAAAACUCCGGAAGAACGCAUCUCCGCAAAGUUGGGCAUCUGGCGGUGAACUCAAUGGGAAAUACACAAGGUACCCCACGAGUUGUAUUUCAAUGAAUUCGUUGAGUGCAAUACACGAUGGUACCAAAGUUUCAAACGGGUAGGCAAUCAUUCAAUGACUAGACAUAAGUUGGAAUGGGGGUUUGAACAAUGAGAAUAACAUGGCAUUUGAUUCCAGGAGGAAUAAUGGUAUAGCAUUUAGCUCGUGAAUCACAUACGAAGCCAGGUGCAAAGGAUACAUUAGAAUCGGGUUGUAAAGAAGAGUCAGGUUUCGAUCCAGUGGACCUGUGGGUUAUGGGCCCACCAUGUGGGUUGACAGUAGGAAGGGUGGUGACAUCUUGCACAGCCGCAACAGGGAGGCAUGUCAGGGCAACAAUUGUCAGUAACAAGGACGGGGAACGAAGAGAGCAAUUUUCCUGCUUGUAGAACAGGUGAACCAAUUGGCAAAGUUAUCACCCAUCGGUGGUUACCGGAAUGUCAUCAACAAUAGUAACAUGGUCUUACAAACAGAGUGGUACAACAAGUUGCCUACCUAAGCAGGGAAUUAUCUCUGCUCAGUUAAGUCAGAUUUAGGAAAGGUUAAACAAAAGAAUGGAAAGGAAAACGCGAUUAUCAGAUUAAACGGAACAAUGGAAAGGAAAAUUGUGAUUACACACAAUUAUUAGGAGUAUAUCCUUCCCAUGUACAAGCAGAACAUGGAUUACAGGAUAGGAGAGCAAGUACCCAACCAUUCAGAUAACGGGCAAGGAUUAAUCAAGAUGUUACCCAUACAACAUCGUUUGGAUAACUGACCAACAAACAUUUAGCAUCGCGCCUACAAUGUUCUUGUUGAUGAGCGGGGUAUCAUAGUCAUGCUUCGAGGUAGCAAUGAUAUGGGGUUCCAAUCAAGGCCAGACUUUGGAUACACAAAUGAUCCAUCAGGAGCAACUUAUAAAAUAAGUCCUACAAUUUCCUCCAGGAAGAAUGGUUAUCCUUGCAAAAGAAAUUAUAAUGAUAGGUCCUCCAGCCAGGGGUGCUAGGCAUGACAUCAUACUACCUGGUCAUCUAAGGACCAACAUCAUAACUCCUGGAAAGUUGUCCUAACCAUAAUAUCUGACCGAGAUUCCGAUCCGAUUGGUGUCAUGAUACCUUAGACUCAGGAUGUCCGAGAAGAAAAGGUGCGACACAAAUUGAUGAAAUGACAUUGCAAGAUUCUCAGGAAAUGAACUAUGGGAGUGGGUUCCUGAAACAAUAGUUCAUCAUUAAACCAAGGAGGGGAUGAGGAGGUUGCUGAUGGGCUCAGCGACAAUUCAACGAGAAUUCCAAACGGAUGGAUUUCCACACUUAUGUGAACAAGAAGAUGACACUUGCUAAUUCAAAUGAUAUAAUGUUGUAUGCUCGAGGAAAACAUACACCAUCAAGCAUUAGUUGUAAGGUGUGCCCGAAAUAUGACCUUAGGCAGCAGGAUCAAUGUUAGAGUGAUGAUUCAAUGACCAACAGUCUAAGAAUGAACUGUUGAUCAUUAACUUCAAAGCAAUAGGGUUGCUAGAAAUACGGAACUCAAGCAGCAUCGUUGGCAUAUCGGUAUCCCGGUUAAAAACAACACGGGGACCAAGGAAGAAUGGUGAUGGUGGGAAGUAUUAUCAUACCGAGAAUUUCUAAGAGGUGGAGCAAUCCACACAACAUCCUCGACAGAAAAGACAGUAAUACUUCAAGGCAGAACACAACACUAGUUGGACAUCAAGUUGUAUUCAUAAUAUGGACAAGUUCGCGAUGAAAGGAAGUCAAGGGUUUUGUCGAUGAUAAUAAAAAUCAUCGAGGGCAAGGAGGGAAUUUCUCAUCAUGAACACAGUUGGCAUCUCAGAAGACGUCAAAGUGUUGAAGGUGAUCCGACACAUUUGCCGGGAGAUUUCUAGAGGAUGAAAUCAAACAACAAUGGCAACAAGCGAGGGAAUGACGAAGUGGCAAGUUAUAGGAUCAAUAUAUAAGAUGCAAGCUCGGGACCAAAUUGCCUUUCAAGACAAGCAACAUGAUGUUGAAAGCUCGACAUAAGUCGUGCUCACACACUGCAGAUUCGUGCACCAGAGUAGGACGAGUUAGCAUCGUCAAAGGUAGCAAGACCUGGAUGCAACCGAUAGUCUAGGAAUGACCAGAUUUAGUUCAGAAUUUCCUAGUAAAAAUACUAGGGGUAUUUGAUUUGUAGUGCGGAAUAAUUUCAGUAGUCGGUGUCCUCGGUUGACAACAACCCAGAACCCGUAGAGUGAUUACGACAAGGAAAGACAUUACUUCAACAAAGUUAGUAAGAUGUGGUGCAAUGGCAAGACAUCUCCGAGAUACCAGGGGGUAAUACUCGAAGGUAGAACAAGAUAGAAGUAGAACCGGGUCAUUGACCUAUGACAUUAGAUACUUCAACCUUGACAAAAAUAGACGAGGCACUGGAAUGAAUUCCCAUCAGAUAUAUCAGAUCAGCACAACAUGGUCAGAACCAUAACUGUAAGGAAUCAAUUUCAAGAAUACCGAAAGAAUCAUACAGCUAGAUAAUAAUUUUGCAAGAAGCUUCUCAGACGGUCUACAUCAUUUUCAUGGGCAUGAACACAAAGUUCAGGGUCGACUCCCACUUCUUUAAUGCAUAUCAUCUCAUUCACCUUUUGCUUUGAUAUAACUGUAGUGUUGAAAGUUUAUCUGGUAGAAAACCGGAAGUGUAUGACUUGUGAAAACUUUCGAGUUCUCACGAAUUAGGGGAAGGCAUAGGUUCAACCCAUCGGGCAACUUAGUAACCUAUACCACAAGUUUCAAAACUAAAUACACAAGCUCGAAAGCAGAGCAUGGUUGGCCAAGUAGAGGAUACAAUUUACCAAAGGCACUAUGUAUCAGGGAAAGAACUCACAUGGUGAUUGAAUAUGAAGGACACUGUCGGAUAAAAAUCCAACAAUGGAUAGGGCGAUCCACAACGGAUCUGAUGUGAGUAUCGGUACUCACUCGGAGGAAGAAAGAAUGCAGAGGCAUCAGAUUCAAGAAUCACCUGAUUAGUCUGAUGCUUAAAUAGAAAGAAAUUAUGGUUUCCAAAAUGAAGGAUCAGAAGCAGAUGCUCUGAUCAAGAAUGGAUAAGUUGAAAACACCUAGUUGGACAAUCAAUGAAGGUUUGAAUUGCCGAGAACCAACUCAUGUCCGGAAUGACGUCUGAGCCGGAAAGAGAAUCUUAAAAAGGAUAACAUGAUGAUUGCGUGUGUACGCACACAUUGAAUCAAUAGGCUCAAAAUGACUAAGACAAGGGAUGUUAACGAGGACUACUAUUUAUAUGGAAUUACCCAUAAUGCAAGCAGGCAAGCGUUUCAAGAGUAACAGGCUGCAGAGGAUUUUUGAAAGAUCGAAAAGUAUUCCGAAGAAUCAUGUGAGACACAUGAAAAAUUGAGAAGAAUGGAUCCUUGAUAAAUGUGAGGAAAAACCCGUAAUAGUUUUCACGCGAAAUAAAACUGCAAGACAGUAAACUCAAAGGAUUUUCGGGACAACGACGAAUAUUUCGAGGCAUCAUGUAACAACAAGAGCGGCGAGGAAUGAUCAAGAGAAAGACAAGUGCAUACAGAUAUCCAUAGGGAUAUAUCGGUGACAGUGGAUUGCAAAGGUGAUGAGCACAAGGGUCUCGAGAAAAUAUCAAGGGAUAUCUUCAGAAUCUUCUGAUGCAAUAAGCAAUCAUCUGGAGUGAGGGAUCUCCGGGAGGAAGUAGUUACGAGAACCUAGAGUCGGCGUUAGUAAAAUCACUUAACCCGAAUAGAGGAGAGAUCAGUGUCCCAGAGUAAAGGUCGAGGAGUAAAAGAUCCUAAUACCACCCAAUGGCGAUGUGGGCCCGUAAGCCACACACCCAAGUUAGUAAAAUACUUUUCGGCUUCUAGACUCAACUUCGGCCAAGGAGUUGGAAAGGGGAUUCCUACAGGCAGUCGGCUCUGAUACCAACUUGUGACGCUGCCGAUUCAAUCGUACACUAAUCAUACAUGCAAAUGUGUACGAUCAAGAUCAGGGACUCACGGGAAGAUAUCACAACACAACUCUAAAAAUAAAAUAAGUCAUACAAGCAUCAUAAUACAAGCCAGGGGCCUCGAGGGCUCGAAUACAAGUGCUCGAUCAUACAAGAGUCAGCGGAAGCAAAAAUAUCUGAGUACAGACAUAAGUUAAACAAGCUUGCCUUAAGAAGGCUAGCACAAACUGGGAUACGAAUCGGAAGUGGCGCAUGCCUCCUGCCUGGGAUCCUCCUAAACUACUCCUGGUCGUCGUCAGCGGCCUGCACGCAAUAGUAGGCACCUCCAGUGUUGUAGGAUUCAUCGUCGCCGAUGUUGCCUGGCUCCUGGGAUCGAACAUCUGGUUGCGGCAUCCGAGAAGAAGAGGAAAAUGGGGGAAAAGAGGAGCAAAGCAACCGUGAGUACUCAUCCAAAGUACUCGCAAGAAAGGAGCUACACUACAUAUGCAUGGGUAUAUGUGUAAGGAGGCAAUAUCAGUGAACUGAACUGCAGAAUGCCAGAAUAAGAUGGGGAUAGCUAGUCCUAUCAAAGACUACGCUUCUGGCAGCCUCCGUCUUGCAUCAUUUAGAAGAGAGUAGAUUGAAGUAUCAUCGCAUAGCCUAAUCCUACCCGGCGAUCCUCCCCUCGUCGCCCGGUGGGAAAGCAAUCUCCAGGAUGUCUGUGGAACUUGUCUGGCUGUGUUUUAUUGAGUAUCCGGUUCUAGUUGUCAUAAGGUCAAGGUACAACUCCCAGUCGUCCUGUUGAAAAUCACGUCUAUUCAAAUAGAUUAACUUCCCUGCAGGGGUGCACCACAUUUCCCAACACGCUCGAUCCCCUUUGGCCGGACACACUUUCCUGGGUCAUUCCCGGCCUCGGAAGAUCAACACGUCGCAGCCCCACCUAGGCACAACAAAGAGGUCAGCACGCCGGUCUAACUCCUAUGGUGCAGGGGUAUGUGCCCAUCACCCGUUGCACACCUGCAUGUUGCGAGGGUGGCCGGAAGCAGACCUAGCCCCCUUAAUACAAGUGUAGGCUUACGGUCCAAUCCGGCGCGUGCCGCUUAGUCGCGGAUGUCAAGAAGGCUUCGGCUGAUACCACGACGUCGAGUGCCCAUAACUGUUCCUGCGUAGUUGGUUAGUGUGUAUAGGCCAGUGGCCAGACUCAGAUCAAAUACCAAGAUCUCGUUAAGCAUGUUACUAUGAAGUAACCGCGAACGCCGACCAGGGCCAGGCCCACCUCUCUCCUAGGUAGCCUCAAACUGCACUCUCACUCUGCCACAAAGAUCCACACAGAGGGUCGUCAGGAAAGUAUGUCCUUUCAGCCCCAAUUCGUGAAUCAGCCGCGGGUACUCAACAAGCCGACCCGACUUUAGUCACCAUCUGUAUAGCAUGUAUAUAUGUAUAGUAUAAACCCGUGAUCACCUCCCGAGUGACCACGACCCGAUAGUAUAGCAAGGCAGACUGACAAGAAUGUAGGGCCACAGAUGAUAAACUAGCAUCCUAUAUACUAAGUAUUUAGGAUUGCAGGUAAGGUAUCAACAAAUGUAGCAACAAUGACAGGCUAUGCAUCAGAAUAGUAUUAAUGGAAAGUGGCAACAUGCUACACUACUCUAAUGCAAGCAGUAUAGAGGAGAAUAGGCGAUAUCUGGUGAUCAAGGGGGGGGGCUAGCCUGGUUGCUCUGGCAAGGAGGAGGGGUCGUCAACUCCGUAGUCGUAAUGGGUAGCAGCGGCGUCGGUCUCGUAGUCUACCGGAGAGAAGAGAGGGGAGAAACAAUGAAUACAGUGCAAACAUAAGCAUGACGAUGUAAGACAUGACAAUGAGCAGUGCUAGGUGUGCCCUAAUGAGGUAGUAGGUGAUACCGGCGAAAGGGGGAACAUCCGGGAAAGUAUCCCCGGUGUUUCGCGUUUUCGGACAAAUGAACCGGAGGUGAAAUGUUGCAAAUUUGCUAUGCUAGGGAUGCAUGGCGGACUAACGGGCUAUGUAUUCGGAUUCAUCUCGUUGUUCUGAGCAACUUUCAUGUACAGAGUUUUUCCAUCUGAGUUACGAACUAUUUAAUAUUAAUUUUUAAAGAUUUAAAUCAAUUUAAAAUUAUUAGUAUUAAUUAAAUUCAAAAAUGACAUUAUUGCAUCAGCAUGAUGUCAACAUGACGUCAUCAGUUAACAGAGGUGUUGACUAGGUCAAGCUGACGUGUGGGUCUUAUCUGCCAUUGACUCAUUGCCCUAACUAACAAACUAGUUAGUUUAAUUAAAUAUUUAGGUUAAUUAAGUUUAGUUAGUUUAACUAAACAGGAUAAAUUAAGUUAAUUAAUUAAUUAGUUAGUUAGUUAUUUAAUUAAAUAAUUUUAUUAUAAUUUUUUAUAUUAUUAUUAUUAUUUUAAACAUUCUGGGGUGGGGCCCCCUUGUCAUAAGCCCCUCGGGACCUAGUCGAGUGCGUUAACGAGCGCUGGGGCGCUGCGGGCGUGCACCCGAGUCCACCAUGGAAGGGGACUCCGGCCAGGGGAGGGGGUGCGGCCGCGGCGGCUGGCGCCGGCUGUGGCGAAGCGGCGUGGGAGCGAUGGGGAGUAAACGAUGCACGCGACGGCGCGCACGAGCUCUAGCGGUGGAGGUGGUGGCGGGGUCUCGCGGGCGGAGCAAGGGCGCGGCAGUCGGAGCGUAGUAGUGCUGCGAGCAGCACUGCUCGUGGCGUCCCGCUGGCACAGUAAGCACGGAGGCGGGCCGACGCGGGGCCAGGCAGAGCAUCGGCGGCGCGGGGCGUGACUAGCGCCCGUUAUGCGCGUGCUUCGGUGUGGGUAGGCGUAGCCACGGCGGCGUGAGCCAUGUCUGGGAGAAGGGACAGGGGAGGGGGUGCAGUAGCAGCUAUCGAGUGGGGCGAUGAUUGGCAGUAACAGUGAGCGCGGUAGGGCGGUGUGCGUGCGUGCGUGCACGAUGGACGUGUGGCCGGAGCGAACGAUGAGUGUGGGGAGAAGAGGAGAGGCCGAGGGCCUCACCGGGGUUGUAGGGUCUUAGGCAGCGGGCAUGGGGAGGACGACGGGGACGACGUCCGGCGGGGCGACGAGGUCCGGCGGCGGGGUGGACGUAGGCGAUGGCGUCCGGCGAGGUGGCGGCGCGGUGGCUCCGGCGACAACGUCGUGGCACCGUGGGCGCCCAGAUCCAGAACGGGGAGGAGGAUGUCGAGGACGGGGUGUCAGGGCAUCGAGCGACACCGGCAAGGGGCGAUGGAGUCAGGGACGAUGGGGUCGGGGCGGUUUGCCCCGAUCUAGAAACCGGGGGGAGUGGGGGAGUGAGCGAGUGGGGGGGGAGUGGAAUCGUGGUAGCUACGGUUUCGGCCUAUAGGGGGAUAUGGAGAGUGGGGUGGGUCGGUCGGGCCAGGGUGGGAGUUGGGUCGGGUGGCCUAGUUGGCAUGGGGCUUUCCCCCUCUUUUACUUUAUUAUUAUUUUUGUUUAGUCUCCUUUUUUUAUUCUUUUCCAUUUUCUUUUUUAUUUAUUUUAGAGCAUCAUAACAUUUUCUAAAUAUGGGUUUUCUUCACUAUAAUUACCUAUGUAAUAUUUGGCACAAUCCGGACAUUUUAGUUUCAUUGUUUGAAAACCUUUUGUUUGCCUGAUUUUUAAUUUGAAUUUGAAUCGGUUUCGAACUAUCGCGAGAUUAGAAACAGUAAUCAAGGUGACGUGGCAUCAUUAGCAGAGGUUCAUUGUAGCUUAAGUAUCCGGGUGUCACACCACCGCCACCGCACGCCCGGGCCGCUGCCCCCUAGUCCCGCGCCGCUGCCGCCUCGUCGCCGACGCCGUUGACCGAUCUCGCCGUCGCCGCCGAUUUUCUCGUGAACCGGUAAGACCGGCCGGAACCAGUUUUAUUUUUCGGGUUUUUUUCGCUUUGGCGAGAUAGAUCGGUUUUCUUAGGGUUUUUCUUAAGUAACGAACAUCCGUUCGUUCGUUCGUUUUAAUGAACGGUUUUCACCGUAUAAGUUUUGUUAGCAAAGGGUCGCGCCGUAGGAUUUUUCCUUUUAGUUUAUUUUCGGCCAGGGACCUAUCCGUGAACAGUUUUAUCACGAUUUAGCCCCUGAUCUUUAAAGUAGCAUAACUUUUUACUCGUUUAUCCAAAUUAGAUGAAACCAACGUCUAAAUCUUCGUUCUGUUCUAUUAUUUUCAGUUUAACCAACUUAAACAUGAUUUUGAUACUGUAAAAUUUUGAGCUUAGUCCAGACUAGUAAAUGAUCUUGUCUUGUUCGUAUUUUGAGUUUUGUUUCUCGGUUUGAGAUGAAUCUUUUUCCAAACCGUAGCUAAUCACAUGUACCUAUUGUUAAGAUCUAAUCCUCAUGAUAAUAAUGUCGUGAGGUGUGACUUUUGUUACUUUAAGCCGUUUGUUUGUUUCGUGUUUGAUUUGGAAUUUUUUUCUCGGUUUUCUCGUUGCUUCGUUUGAGUGAUUGCUUAUGUAUGUUAUUGUUUGUCUAUGCAAGAUUACCCGGAGUGCGAAGCUUGUUACUACGAAUCUUUAGAGUUUGCAGAUCGUCAGCAAGGCAAGUUACACUUUGAUUAUACUCUUUCAUACCUAGUUUUUACUACGCAUUAGUUCUGCCCCUCAAAUAUUUGCAUGAGUAGGAUUGGGAACAUGUGGUUUGGUUGUAGUACUUGAGGUAGGAACCUAAUACCUUUUGAUCACCCCAGGAAUAUACGUUAUGCUUAUUUUUGCUUAGCCAUGCUUGUAGACAGGAAUUGGAUCGUGAAUCACACAUGGAAGUUUGAGAGUUAUUUAAUCCUGGUUAACAUUAAGGUGGCUACUUUAAUAUACAUUUGGGUGGAUUGGUUGCAGGCACCUGGGGAACCCAGUGUUGCCUAUUUUGGAAAAUCCUGGAGUACCCGUGUGAUUCUUCCUACGGUUAGCCACCUAGACUCAAAGGGAUCAUAAGAUCAUUCAUGCUAAAAACUUCCAUGUAUAGCCGCAUGCCAUUAUGGGCUCUGGCAUAGUUUGAGUAAGUUGCAUGAGCUCUUGAAGAGGUGGACUAGCAGAUGUAGGGGAUAGUAGGUGUACCGAUCCGCCCGGAGUAGAGAUUUACUGCUUCAGAAAGACUAUGUCUCGGUCAUCUGUUCCUCAAACAUCAUGUAGUGCGAGAAAUUCAACGGAAGAGAUCAAGUCUUGUGGGGAAAAGUGCGCAACCUCUGCAGAGUGUAUAAACUAAUCAUGGUUAGCCAUGUCCCCGGUUAUGGACAUCUUGAGUAUCUAGUACUUGAAUCUAUUGAUGUGAUCUCAUCAUGUUACUUUAAUUAAUUUGAAUUGGGUUAAUGAUGAUACUUUUAAUUGGGAUUUGAGUUGGGGUUACCUUCUCAAAUAAUGGCCAACUUGGGAGUAGUUAAAUAAAUUUAUUCCUUUGUUGUAGGGAAAUACUAGCUUUAUGCAAACUCAUAAACUUACAGCCUCCACCAUCCAAAUAUUGCAUGUAGAUAUAGUUCUUGCAUCACUUUAAAGUGUAACUCUGCCAGCAUAUUCAAUGUGUUGACCUGCACGGCUGCAGCGUCUCAUGUUGCAGACUACUCAGACGAUGAAUAAAGUGCGAUAGGUUGUUGUUUUGAACUCAGCUAUGUCGUUGGAGUUGAUGGACUCAUUUACCUUUGAAGCUUCCACUGUUAUCUAGUUUAAAUGGCUUUCAGCCAUUAUAUUUUUGUGUAAUCAUACUCUUUAUGAGGACUCUAUGUAAUAAGUGUGUGAGGACUCUGUUAUAAUUCCUCGAGUACUGUGCGUGUCAGCAUUACCAAUCCAGGGAUGGCACUGAUGCACAGAGACUUGACAGUUUGAGGUUUGGUCGAUACAAGAUGGUAUCAGAGCACACGUUGACUGUAGGACACGACCACUAGAUUAUACCACAGGAUUUCUCUUCUCUACUAAUUUCUAAUUCUCCUCUUUUCUACUCUAUAGAUGGUGGAUCCUAGUAACAAGUUCACUCAGCCGGAUGACGAUACCCCUUUCGGAAAACAUUUGAAGGAAGUCACUAAGUAUUUGAACAUUGGACUACCAAGCUGCACGGGGACUUUCUCUACAUCCGUACCAGAAGAGGAGCGCUGGAAGAUUAAAGUCUGGGUACCUGGAAGGACAUUUGCGCCAACAACGGAGCCUAUUGAUUUCUACCUGGAUGCACCAAACUGGAGUAAAGGAAAGAGCAUGGCAGCCCAUAUAACCGUUCGACGCAUAUGCGAGGUGUAUCACAAGGAGCUGGAGAAUGUCGUUUAUCAGAUAUGUGGCCACUGAGAUGACAAAUGGGAGAUGAUUCGUACCAGGAGGGAUGGAUCAAUUGCAGCCUACAUUCAAGAGAUGGGAGAUCAUAUUCGUCGAAAAGAGAAUCAACAAAUUAUCCACAUGAAGAAGAUCAAGAAACUGGUGAAGAGAAACAACGAGCUAGAAGAGGAACUCAAGUCUACAUGCGAUGGAUACGAGGAAGAGAUCACCAUACUACUGGAGAAGCAUGAAGACCUGAAGAGGAAGAUGGGAAUAUUAGUUGUGAAUAUCAAGCGAUCAACAGAGAUCCGUUCGGAGGACUAGAUCAUCCUGGACGACACCGACAUGGAUAGGGAUACAAAUGAUGACAUCGAUGAUGACUAUGUCGAUGAAGCUGGAGCAGAUAUCAUGGAGUCUUUUUCUGAUGAAAAUUUCUUGAUGACCACCAUUGUAACUAGUAGUUUUCCCUCCAAGUUGUUAGCAACGAUCGAGUUUGUAAUCAUAGGUUAGACUGAACGUGUGACUUGUGUGCUUUUGAUUGAAGUGAGUGUUUGUCUCAUGAGCAUAUGGGUAGUGAAUCUCUCUGAGACCUCAAUUCUAUUCUAUUUUCUCACCCCUUCUAACCCAUCAGAUGCCUCCGAGACAUGACAAUGGAUUAGCCUUCCCACCGGAGCUCACUCAGUUGAUCCAGCAGCAGAAUGCCUUGAUGCAGAUACUAGUUUAGAACCAGAACCAAGGUAAUAACAACAACAACCCACCACCACCACCCCCUGUUGAUCACCUAGCACGCUUUCUAAGGUUGAAUUCACCGGUGUUCUCAAGUAGCACCGAGCCAAUUGUUGCAGAUGAUUGGCUCCGCAAGAUUGGAAGAGAGCUGACCACUGUAGGAUGCACAGAUGCGGAGAGAGUGCGCGUUGCCGCACAUCAGCUUGAUGGACCCGCAUCAACUUGGUGGGAGAAUUUCACAGCCACAUACCCCAUUGACACUGUUACAUAGGAUCAGUUUCAGCAGGCUUUCCGCACUGCCCAUGUUUCAGCAGGAGCAAUGAGCAUGAAGAAGCGCGAGUUUCACAACUUGCGCCAAGGAGGGCGUACAGUGGGCCAGUAUUUGGAUGAGUUUAGCAAGUUAGCACGCUAUGCCCCUGAUGACGUAGCUACAGAUGCUGCUAUGCAGGAGAAGUUUCUGGAAGGACUGAAUGAUGAGCUGAGCAUGCAGUUGAUGGUGGCAACAUUCAAUAACUACCAGGAGUUGGUAGAUAGGGUGCUCAUGAUUGAAGGCAAGCAGUAACAGAUUGAUAAUCGCAAAAGGAAGUAUGGAUAGGGGAGGAACACUUCAGGAGCUCAGCAGAAGCCCCGCUAUUCCCCGUACUCAGGAGGACAUAACCAUAACCAUGGAGGACAUACACACAAUGGAGCUAGUUCGCGCAACCAUAGUGGCCCCAAGAAUGGCAAUGGGAAUGGAGGAAGCAACAGCAGAACCGUUCCAACCCUUCAAUGCCAGCCAAGAGGGAUCUGAGCCACAUUACCUGUUGCAAGUGCUAGAAGACCGGACAUUAUGCUACUGAAUGUCCUGAAACCAAGAAUGGAAAUGGAAACGGAGGUUCUGCCAAGAAUCCCAACCCCUUCACCAAAGGUCAGGUGAACCACGUCAGCAUGGAGGAGAUUGAGGAUCAACCCGACGUAGUUGUCGGUAAGUUUUUGAUUAAUGCAUUUACCGCACUUGUUCUUUUCGAUACUGGUGCAUCGCAUUCAUACAUAUCAUGGGGAUUUGUGGAUAAGUAUAACCUACCAACCAUAGACCUUAAGUAACCUAUGUUAGUAAGUUCCCUAGGAGCAGAGUAUAUGGAUAGUAGGGGAUGCUAUCAGUUGCCACUAACCAUAGGUAGACAUGUUUUCCCUAUCGACCUGAUUGUUCUGGAGUCACAAGGAUUGGAUGUGAUACUAGGAAUGGAUUGGCUAUCCAAGUUUGAAGGAAAUAUCAUCUGCGCCAGUAAAUCAAUUCUUCUCACCACCCCAUAAGGAAAGAGGAUCAAGUAUGUAUCCUGGCAUGUGCCGACGUGGACUCAAGUGAAUUCCUUAUCAAGAGUUGUACAGGAGGAAGUACCAGUGGUGAAGGAUUACCCCGACGUAUUUCCGGAGGAGUUACCAGACAUGCCAUCAGAUCGAGACAUUGAGUUUUUGAUUGAGCUAUUUCCAGGCACCGGACCAAUAUCAAAGAGACCAUAUCGGAUGUCCACAAAGGAUUUGGAGGAAAUUAAGAUGCAGAUAAAGGAGUUACUGGAAAAAGGUUACAUCCGACCAAGUUCAUCACCUUGGGGAGCCCUAGUACUUCUAGUGGAGAAGAAGGAUGGAUCUUUGAGGAUGGUUGUUGAUUAUCGUGCACUGAAUGAGGUGACGAUUAAGAACAUAUACCCUCUGCCAAUGAUCAAUGAUUUUUUUGACCAGUUGCAAGGAGCUAAAGUUUUCUCCAAGAUCGAUUUUCAAUCAGGUUAUCACCAGUUGAAGAUUCGAGAGGAGGAUAUACCUAAGACAACUUUUACCAUAAGGUACGGGCUAUAUGAGUAUACCAUUAUGUCAUUUGGCUUGACUAACGCGCCUGCCUAUUUCAUGAAUAUGAUGAACAAAGUGUUUAUGGAGCUUAUGGAUAAGUUCGUCGUGGUGUUCAUAGAUGAUAUAUUGGUCUACUCAAAUAAUGAAGAGGAGCAUAAGGAGCAUUCGCGUUUGGUUCUUGAGAACCUUAGAGAACAUAAGUUGUAUGCCAAAUUCAGCAAAUGCGAGUUUUCGUUAAAGGAAGUUGGAUUAACUCGGACAUGUUAUAUCCGGAGAAGGAAUAGCAGUAGAUCCUACCAAGGUUACCUCUAUAACUAAAUGGGUGGCACCCACAUGAGUUGGAGAGAUCAGGAUUUUUUUGGGACUCGCAGGUUAUUAUCGGAGGUUUAUUGAUAAUUUCUCCAGAAUUGCAAAGCCCAUGACAGAGUUAUUGAAGAAGGACACCAAGUUUAAAUGGACUGAGGAGUGUGAAGCCAGUUUUCAGGAGUUGAAGAAACAUUUGGUUACAGCCCCAGUGCUAAUUCUCCCAGACCAACGUAAGGAUUACCAAGUGUAUUGCGACGCUUCACAUCGAGGACUUGGAGUUGUGCUUAUGCAGGUAGGAGAAGUUGUUUCAUAUGCCUCACGUCAGCUUAAACCUCAUGAGCAGAAUUAUGCUACACAUGGCUUGGAGUUAGGAGUCGUAGUGCAUGCGCUAAAGACAUGGAGAUAUUUUCUCAUCGGAAACCAUUGUGAGGUAUACACGGAUCAUAAGAGUUUGAAGUACAUCUUCACGCAGAAGGAGUUGAACCUCAUGCAAAGGAUAUGGUUGGAGCUCAUAAAGGAUUAUGAUAUGAAAUUGCACUAUCAUCCCAGAAAGGCCAAUGUAGUAGUUGAUGUGUUGAGCCGCAGGAGUUAUGUCAACACGCACAUAACUGGAGGAUUCCCUAAUGAUUUAGCUGAUGAUAUUCGAGAGCUUUGCCUGGAUAUAGUUCCGAGGGGUUAUGUUGCAACAUUGGAAAUUAAGUCCACUCUUUUGGGCAAGAUCAGGGAAGCCCAGAAUACUGACAAGGAGAUUGCCGAAAUAAAGGAAAGGAUGUAAAGGAAAGGAUUUCGUGAGGAUGAGCACGACACCUUAUGGUUUGAGGAUCGCAUAUAUGUGCCUAAUGACCCCGAGAUCAGGAAGUUGAUUCUGAAGGAGGCCCAUGAUUCACCAUACUCGAUUCACCCAGGAAAUACCAAGAUGUAUUUGGAUUUGAAGGAAAGUUUCUGGUGGAUAGGAAAGAAGAAGGAUAUAGCCGAGUAUGUAGCAGUAUGUGAUGUAUGUCAGAGAGUCAAGGCAGAGCAUCAGAAGCCACAUGGAUUGCUACAGCCAUUGCCGAUACCCGAAUGGAAGUGGGAUAAGCUUGGCAUGGAUUUUAUCACUAGAUUACCCAGGACUCGUUCAGGCUAUGACUCUAUCUGGGUUGUAGUCGACCGUUUUGGAGUGUGCCCACUUCGAGGAGUGAAACGUUUUGGAGUUAAGGGAAAGCUAGUACCACAUUUUGUGAUGAAUUUUUUGAUAUAUUAUACGGUUUUUUUCGACAUCGUAUGCAAAAGAUAUGACAGUUUUACUUUUUCAUAACACUUUUUUGCAAAACAUGUCCAAAUUUAAGUUUUUAAAUUUUCCUAACUAGUAGAUGUAGUAACAUAACUACAUCUCGAAGGAUUUUAAUUUUUGAAGUUUUUAUCAUUUUCUUUUGUUUUUUACAAAACUGAAAUGCGGAUACACGGGGGGAGGGGGGUGGUAGAGUUUGAAAAUUUUCCUUUAGUCCCGGUUUGUGUCUCCAACCGGGACUAAAGGUUAGACCCAUUUUGUCCCGGUUUGUGAGACAAACUGGCACUAUAGCUUAGACCUUUAGUCCCGGUUUGUGUCACAAACCGGGACUAAAGGGGCUCGUGGGGCCCCGGCCUGAUGCCAGCCUGCCACCACCCCUUUAGUACCGGUUCAUGCCCCGAACCGGCACUAAAGGUUCAACACGAACCGGGACUAAUGCAUAGCCGUUCGAACCGGCACUAAUGGUCACAUUAGUGCCGGUUAAUUUACAAACCGGGACUAAAGGGCUGAACAUUAGACCCUUUUUCUACUAGUGUGUUAAGCAUCACAACUCCUCGCCAAACUGAAUCUACUAAGUUCCAUACAAAUUUAGCUCGAUUUAUGUACAUAUAUACAAUGUGAAGACUAUAGUGAAGUUGCUUGUUCACUAAAUUCAACACACAAUGGACAGGAUACUGUAUGCCGCCUGGUUUAUAGAUAGCUAUUAAAGUUUUAUCAUUUGAGCAUCCUCAUUCAAAUUAAUAUGUGCUAACGAUACUAUUGAGGCUUCUAAGAUUUAAGUGCCCAAACUCGACUUUUGUAGAUAAACAUAGCAGUACAAUUUUUUGCAUAGGUACACAAAAUCUUUCAACAUAUGAUUUGAUUCCAUUGUGUAAUUUGGCUGAAAAAUUUGAAUAGCAAGUGGCAUAAGAGCUAAUGCAAGGAAGAAAAUCAUGUCCCGGGCAUUUGCAUAGGCCGGCUCAAACUUGCCAAAUGUAGCAAGUUUUUUAUGCAAAUUCCAAAUGAUAUUUAAUUUAUCAAAAAUAAUGAAAUCUAGUUCAACGUUUCAGGCCUGAAGCAAACCUGAAACAUGUAUAAUUCUUAUCCUCCUAAUCUUUGCAGAACCAGCAAACAUGGGCAAUAAGAACCGAAAAAAUGAAGCCCUCUAUUUAGUCUGCAACACAUAAAUCCUUUAUGCCCAAUGUACAAAAAACAAAAUUGCAUCGAGUAAAUGUAACAGAAGAGAAAAAUAAGAGAUAUGUGCAGAAACAGAAAUCGAACAUAUCCUGGCAAACACAACAUCUCGCCGCUUAGACAAAUUCUAGACGUACUUCUGAGGUGAAGAGAGAACGUGGAUUUAGAAGGAGGAGAGCAAAGACCCAGGGAUGGGGGCAAGAAACAGAGUUCUAAUGCCUAUGGAUCUACAUCCCCUCUAGAUAUGUGUCUUGGUGUCUGAUCUCGUGGCUGUGGGGCUCGUGGUGGCCAGAGAUGCCCUGCAGCCUGCUAUGGUGCUAUAACUAAAUCAAAUGCCAUUGACAGCAUGGAGCUAUGUCAGGAGUGUGGCGGCCCUCUUGGACAUCAGCGCGCGCCGUAGGAUGCUGGUGCAUAGCGGUGGGCGCCGCUGUCGAGAUGAAGGUUGGGGGAGGUGGGAUGGGUGCCCCUGGGCAUGCUAAAUAAAGGAGGCUGGGAGCUGGCCGGGCGCCUCCAUUGGUGUUAGGCUGCUGCCAAUGCAUGGGUGCUUAGAUGAGGUGCUAUGCACAUUAAAUAGCUUAGCAACUAUACUCCCCAAUGCACAGGUGCUUAGCUUAUGGUUGCUAAGCUUGCUUCAUUUAAUGAUUUAGCAACUAAAGCUCUUCAUGUAUUGGUGGGCUUCCUUCCUUUAAAUGUUUUGCCUAGGUUCACACGCUUAGCAUUGUUUCUUCCUGGGUCACCACACUCAUCUCUCCUCUUAAAUAACUUGCCACAUCAGAUUUUUUGCCUAUGUGGAAGGCUUAGCACCUGUACAAGGUGGAGCAUUAGGAGGGGCCUUAAUGGAUUUUUAGCAAUGAAAACAUUACUCCUCGCUUGAAUACCGGUGAACGAACUCCAAUCACCCACUAUGCCGCAUCGCUGCCCAUUAAUGUGUCGCUAUCUCUUCACAUCUCCUGCACACCGCCCUUCCCAAAGCAGACGCUCUUUCUUGCGAUUUCGUUGUGCUGAGCAGGCCGAUGUUAAAUCACAGAUGAUGGCAAGCAAAUAUGUUAUGGUGAUCUUAAAUGGACUUCUUGCGGGAGAAGGGUACGAUUAAGCAUAAACCACCGAUUUUGUUACAGAGUAACAGCCCAUGAGGCAUCUUGUCCACUUAGUGCUAUUUAAAAGUAUCUUACGGCCAAAACGACCACCACGAAAUGAUCCAAUGGUUAGGAACGGUGGUGGCCUGAGAGGGCAGGAAAUUUGCUCAGGUAUAAUGUAUCUCUAUGUCCUUCCCACGGUAUUGAGCACGGACAUUUGUUGUGCUUGGACUAGCGCCCUUAACGUGCACACUAUUCGGAUAGACUUUGCUGGUUGCCACCCCCAUAUCUCUGGGACAUAGAGUAGUUGUGACUUUCACGGUGCUCGGUGAUGUACCAGCUAUUUUCAUACCCAUGUAGCAACCGCACCAAAACAGGGCACUCACACCUACAUGAACUGUUGUUUACUGACUCUGGCUUCCCCUGCACACCAGAUAGCACAUGCCAUGGUCAGUGCAACUAAAUUAGUGAUGGGAGCCCCACAAAUAAAAGGACAAAACAGAAGAGAGUGGCGUUUUGGCACAUGGGAGCACGCGUUCCUGAUUUUUAAAAUUUAUUUUAAACAUACUUUCACUACAAGAAAUAUGUCAACUUAUGACCACCACUAUUGGUCACUGAAAGGUCACAAAUUUCCAUUUAUGACCUUUUUGUGACCAAAAACAGAAGGUCAAAAGCUGGCCGUCGUAAACUGACUAUAGCGACCUUUCUUCUGGAAUGGUCAAAGACGUUUACGACCAAAAUAUUCCUACUGUGGCGUUUUGGUCACUAGCAACCUCCCCAGGCCACGUAGGCAUCCAGCGUGGCAAGCUGAUGUGGCACAAGAUUCAGCUCGGUCCGAUUUGGUGUUCUACAUGGGCCGAGCCCAUUAAUUCGGCCUUUUUAAUAUUUAUUUUUUCUGUUAAUUUUUGCUAGCUACAUGGGCCUGGCCCAACAAUUCGAUUCUCUAGACUGAUGUCUUUUGUUGUACAUUUCUUUUUUGGGCCUUGACCAUAUUUUCUAGGCCCUGGCCUUUCAACGGUCCAUUUCUUUUCAAAUUUCAGCCUUUGUUCCAACCAAUAUAUUUUAGGCCUUUUUUCAAAGCCCGAAUAGAUUUGGUGCAAUAGGCAUUUCGGCCAAUUUUCUUUUGGGCUAUAUAUUUCUUUUUCUAGCCACUUUUAGUCAAGAAAUGAAUUUCAAGUGAAUAAAAAGUAAUAUUCUGAGUUCAGCGAGCAAGUAUACAUCAAGUUCAGCGAGCAAAUAUACAUCAAAUUCCCAGCAUGUUUAGCAGUACAUCAAAUUUCUCAAGAAUAUUAGCAUUACAAAUUCAGUAAUAUAUAAAGCAAGUUGUUGACUGGGCUUCGGGCUUCUUCAAAUGUCUUCAGCCCAGAACUCCUGUAAAUGAGAGGAAUAGUCACAUGUUUAUAGUCUUAAUAUAAGCAAUAUUUGCUAACAACAAAACAGAACAAUUAAUCUAAGAACCAUGCAAGAACCUAGGUGUCCAAAUCAGAUUAUGCAACAUCGAUUGACACUAAAGACAUAAAUAGUCACCAGAUGGGCAUCAAAUCAUCACAAUAGUUUCUCGACAGAUGAUAAAAAAAGAACAGAAUGUAGAUGGCAGUGAGUUAAGGAAGCACCACAAUAACAGAAACAUGUUGUCAGUGGAAUGGAUGGUAACACAAACAUCUACUCUGCCCUGCUGUAACAAACAUGUACUUGACUCCUUACAUACACCAGUGCAAGUGUUUUUCACAUGUUACUACUUGAUUCGACUUUAUACAUAUAAAUAUACAUGACAAUAAACUUGCAUAAAGAGGCAUCUAGUCUAGCAUUAGACUAACUUACUGGUAUAAAGAGACAUGGAUAUUCAUGGUAGUUGUACUAGAAAAAACUAACUGAACCAAUGUCUCCAUAGAUAUCAUAGAAUCAGAACAGAUGAAGCUGACAACAUAAUAUAACCAGAAGUCAAUUGUAGCUACUCAUAUUUUGUGUGUCCAAGUAGGUACCGAUGAAAGUCACAAUAUCCUGUAAUUGUUGAAUGACUCGUGGUACAGCUUGCAUUGUUAAAAUGCAAUGAACCAUGAUUUUAGUUACACAUAUGGUUAAAGAAACAAACUUAAGGAUUUAGUUAGAAUCUCAUAUCACCCAUGAUCCACUGAUUUCAACUGGUAUUGUAUCUUACAAAUCGAACUGAAGAAGUUCAUUUCUAGCCCAACUAUAAUCUCAGGCCAACUAUUGUAAGAUGCAGGGAGCAGAGAGCUCACCAUGGCUGUCAUGUAGCCGACGUGGAAGAGGCAGCAUGUCCGUCCAAGCAGGAUCAGCAGCACCAGCGGACGGGUCUGGGGUUGUCGCCGCUCCUCCUUGUGGAUGCCGAGGUCGGAGACGCCGGAUCCGUACGGGCAUCCACCUCCCAUCCUUGCAAUUAAAACUUUAUAUGUGAGAAUUCAAUUUUAUCAAUCUCUGAACUCUAGUCUAGUCUGAUUCCUGAUUGGGGAUAUGAAUCAGCAGAAGAAAAUCAAGGGGCCCUGCCCUCCCACUUUCCUAGAACAAAAUGAGUACAUGAGCAACAACUAUAUAGAACUGAUGAUGCAUGUACUACCUAGGAAAGAGCCACCAGCAGUAUGAUCACUUGAAGACCGAUCUUGAUGCAUUUCGCAACCUACAUAGCACAUUCAUACUGUUAUGUUAUUGUUAUCCCCACUGGUGUCAACUACAGCCAGACAAAAUUCAGAAGUGCAGAGAUUUUUCAUUUGUGUAUGCACAAGUAGAAGGCUUACACUUGGGAAUCCAAGAUCGUAGAGCCCGAAUCCGAGGGCGAGGAGGUUCAGGGUGUGUUGGUGCUAAUGCCGGAGCUUCCGCUGGGAACUCCAGCGGCACCACCAUUGGUGGCUGGUCUCCGGCGCUUCCUUUCUUCCCGGGCAAGAAGACAGACGAGACGAGGAGGAGCAGCGGUAGUUCGAUGUGUGUUGGGUGGCCUGGCUGUAGCAUGGCGGCGGACCUGGACAUGGACCAAUUAAGAAUGAACACUGGUAAUGAGAUACAGCAAAUACAAAUGGUUCAGAAUAACACCAAGACAUUCAGUACUGCAAGAAAUUUCUGAAACUUCAGUUGCAGUAGUUGUCAAACAAAAUAUCAGUCCAGUAACCUCCAAAUUAAAUUAAAUUAUGAUGGUUUACUGCAAGUAAGACUAGCAUAUAGUAGUUUGUCUUGUACAUAAUGCUUCUAAUCAAAGUAAGCAUUGUCAUGCAUGCAAAUAUUUUAUGGAGUAUGUGACCAUUAGAAUGCAUACGUGUGUAGGGGAGCUCCCUCGGCAUCGUAGCUAUCAUGUUUUACCAAUGAAACAAAAGGUUACAGGGAGCUUUUAAGUAAAAUCUGUUUGUGCACACAGCAAAUCUGAGAAUGUGAGAUCGGUAUGCUCUCUACUAGUCUCCAGUGAGCUGAUCCUGCUAAUCUAUCUACGCAACGGUGGUGAGAGAUGGAGAUGCCAGUAGAAGGAACUAGCAACCAUACCACAUGCAAGGCCAAGACGGAUAGCACUGACAACAGGUAUGCAUCAAUGGGCAUGCAGCACAAGAUGGAUAUCUGCAAGUCUUUCUUCAGAAGAGGCAUUGUAACUAGACUACUGCUUACUACUUAACCCAAAACUGAAUCAUGAAACAAAUCUUACCAUCAAUGCACUGUAGGCAGGAUCUUUCUCAGGCAGGUACGGUGGUCAUCUCUCUUUCAGCUGGAUUUUCUUAGCCCACAGUCUGGUCGCUGAACAACCACUUCUUUAGCGUUUUCUUGUCACUGCAGGUGUGGAGGAAGUUCAUCAACAGAAGAGUACCUAAGAAGAAGAAUCAUGCAUCGGGAAUCAAUCAAAUCAACACCAAAUCGAAUCAGGAAGAAGAAUCGAGUGCUCACAUAGGUAGUUGCAGUGCUCCUGCACCUCCUCAAUGUCGUACUGCGUCAGCAUCGCCCAGGUUCAUCUUGUUGGCGUGGAACUGGUCUGCUCACGCCCAGGUGAUGCUUGUACGCGGUUUGCACAGGAGGCAGGCCUAGAUGCCCUCGUUCCACCGUGGUGAGGACGUCGCCUUCCACCAUGGUGCCCAGGCCGUCGGUGCAGAUCUGGCACACGCCCCCGGCCCCAUGCCUCGGAGACGGCGGGGACCUUUACGAAGAACUCGGAGACGGCGGGGACCUUGACGACGAACCCCGCGGCAGGAUCCCAGACCUGGUGGGAGAGGACGGCCUUGGCGCUGGUGCCGGGCGGGAGCGGCGGGUGGAGCUGCGCCGGAGUUGGUGCGGGCGCGGGGUAGCAGGUCGCGGGUGCGGCCCCGCGGAGCGAGACCCUCCUGGCCGCGGCGGCGCGGCCCUCGACGCCGCGAAAGCGGACGCCAAGAAGGGCAACCCGCCGCUGGAUCCGGGCGGGUGAGGCAGAGGCCUUGAGCGCGAACAUCGACGGCGGAGGAAGGGGACGGUGGAUGGGGGGGCUUGGAUAGGAUCUGGAGAGAAUNNNNNNNNNNNNNNNNNNNNNNNNNNNNNNNNNNNNNNNNNNNNNNNNNNNNNNNNNNNNNNNNNNNNNNNNNNNNNNNNNNNNNNNNNNNNNNNNNNNNNNNNNNNNNNNNNNNNNNNNNNNNNNNNNNNNNNNNNNNNNNNNNNNNNNNNNNNNNNNNNNNNNNNNNNNNNNNNNNNNNNNNNNNNNNNNNNNNNNNNNNNNNNNNNNNNNNNNNNNNNNNNNNNNNNNNNNNNNNNNNNNNNNNNNNNNNNNNNNNNNNNNNNNNNNNNNNNNNNNNNNNNNNNNGACCACGGGACAGAGCUAGGGUUUCGGGGACACAUCCAUGUUUGGUGCGGGCCGUUGGAUCCAGGGGAUCCGACGGUGAUUUACCCAUGAUCCGCGUGAGAGGCCCUUGGACCAAUCAGAAUGCAGUAUACAGGUAUGAUAUUUUGACCAUUUAAAUUGGUCAUAAUCGACUAAAAUUAUGUGCUAAAUCGUGUUAGCUAUUUUAUUAUGACCUGAAAAUUAAAAAAAACGUUUUAUUGCAUCAGCAAAUUUGACUAUUGUUUUCAGGAAUAAUCAUAAAUUGAAAUAAGAUAAUUAAUUUUUUAAAGAGUUAUGAGAAAUGAGUUCUUUUAAAUUAUUUUUUCAUUUUUUGAGUGUUUGAAAUGAGCUUUUUUGUGAAGGACCUACCAAAUAUUUAUUGCAAAAUUGUACCAACUCAAUUUUCUAAAAUACUAGGACAUAUUUAAUGCACAAUUGACCAAAUGGUUGGGUGUGAGAAGCUUUGAUCCACCUCUGGUGAAAAAGACAAAUUUCCAUCGAUUCAGCAGGAAGCGGGUCAAAUUUGAACUGUAGCUGCCUUCUAGUUGGCUCUUUUUUUUCCAAAAAUCAUUUCUAGAUACAUAAGUACCUAUUUAAUCAGAGAAACACUAAUAAAAUUCCAAGAUUCAACCACUAGCUAGAAACGGUCAUUCCCGCCGUUUUGACCGCAUUUUGAAAACAGGCAUAAAAAAUUCAAAAAAAAUCAAAAAAUUGGGAAACCUUCGCAUUGUGUCAUUAUAUGUGGCCAAGUUCCGAGUAAAAAUAACAAACUUGUAAUACGGCGAAUAUUUAAAAAAAGUGUUCUCAGAAACGAGCUAUCAAGUGUGAAGAUGAAUGGCUUUCAACCCAAAUGCUCAAUCUUAUGGCCACAUACAUGGCAUAGUUUGUUCAAAUGAUCUCAUAUUGUGCACAAGGGUGCAUAUUGGAAUGACAAACAAUGUUUCUUAAGGAAGUUUUCAUUUUCUUUGGACGAAAAAUUCAUUUUCCAUUUUUCGAGUGCCCGAAAAGAGAUUUUUUUGUGAACGGCCUACCAUAUAUUAGUUGCAAAAUGGUACCAAGUCAAUUUUGUAAAAUACUAGGACAUAUUUAAUGCACAAUUGACCAAAUGGUUGGGUGUCAGAAGUUUUGAUCCACCUCUUGUGAAAAAGACAAAUUUCCGACGAUUCAGCUGGAUGCGGGUCAAAUUUGAACUGCAGCUGCCUCAUAGUUUGCUAUUUAUUUUUUCCAAAAAUCAUUUCUAGGUACAUAAGUAUCUAUUUAAUCAGAGAAACACCAACAAAAUUCCAAGAUUCAACCACUAGCUAGGAACGGUCAUUCCCGCCGUUUUGACCGCACUUUGAAACGGGCAUAAAAAAUUCAAAAAAAUCAAAAAUUUGGGAAACCUUCGCAUUGUUUCAUCAUAUGUGGCCAAGUUCCUAGGAAAAAUAACAAACUUGUAAUAUGGAAAUUAUUUUAAAAAAGUGUUCUCAGAAACAAGCUAUCAUGUGUGGAGAUCAAUGGCUUUCAAGCCAAAUGAUCAAUCUUAUGGCCACAUUCAUGGCAUACUUUGUUCAAAUGAUCUCAUAUUGUGCACAAGGGUGCAUAUUGGAAUGGCAAACAAUGUUGCCUAAGGAAGUUUUCAUUUUCGUUGGACGAAAAAACCAUUUUCCAUUUUUCGAGUGCCCGAAAGGAGGUUUUUUUUUGUGAAGGAACUACCAAAUAAUUGUUGCAAAAUUGGACCAAAUCAUUUUUAUAAAAUACUAGGCCAUAUUUAAUGCACAAUUGACAAAAUGGUUGGGUGUAAAAAAAAUUGAUCCACCUCUCGUGAAAAAGACAAAUUUCCGCCGAUUCAGCUGGAAGCGGGUCAAAUUUGAACUGCAGCUGCCUCAUAGUUUGCUAUUUAUUUUUUCCAAAAAUCAUUUCUAGUUACAUAAGUAUCUAUUUAAUUAGAGAAACACCAAAAGUUUUCCAAGAUUCAACCACUAGCUAGGAACGGUCAAGCCCGCCGUUUUGACCGCAUUUUGAAACGGGCAUAAAAAAUUCAAAAAAAAUCAAAAAAUUGGAAAACCUUCUCAUUGUGUCAUUAUAUGUGACCAAGUUUCCAUUAAAAAUAAUAAACUUGUAAUACGGUAAUUAUUUUAAAAAAGUAUUCUCAGAAAUGAGCUAUCAAGUGUGAAGAUUCAUGGCUUUCAAGCCAAAUGGUCAAUCUUAUGGCCAGAUUCAUGGCAUAGUUUAUUCAAAUGAUCUCAUAUUGUGCACAAGGGUGCAUAUUGGAAUAGCAAACAAUGUUGCCUAAGGAAGUUUUCAUUUUCGUUGGACGAAAAAACCAUUUUCCAUUUUUCGACUGCCCGAAAGGAGGUUUUUUUGUGAAGGAACUACCAAAUAAUUGUUGCAAAAUUGGACCAAAUCAUUUUUAUAAAAUACUAGGCCAUAUUUAAUGCACAAUUAACAAAAUGGUCUGGUGUAAAAAAUUUUGAUCCACCUCUCGUGAAAAAGACAAAUUUCUGCCGAUUCAGCUGGAAGCGGGUCAAAUUUGAACUGCAGCUGCCUCAUAGUUUGCUAUUUAUUUUUUCCAAAAAUCAUUUCUAGUUACAUAAGGACCUAUUUAAUCAUAAAUACAUGGUUUGGUGGCGAUAUGUCGAGGUUUGGGCGGUGGCCGAGGGCCCCAACUCUAGAGCGUGUAAACUUGCAUGCCCGCCGCGUGGUCACCGCGUGACCGUGGCGUUGCCAUGUGUUCUGGGCGGCCUAGGCAUGUCUAGUGGGUUGGGCACUCCCCAGGUUGGUGCUAGGAAGAAAAUUACAACAUAAGAUUCUCACGAGGAGACCAAUCGAUGCUCAAACAUGAAUUAGCAGCCAAGUGUUUGAUUAGCGGUACGGGAAAUGUACAUGGCUAAUGGGCGUGAGUUUUGGCUGAGGAUGAUCAGUUACUAAGAAGACCGUUUUCACAAAUUUUUAGCUCAAAAGGAGGAGCCUAGGUGGUACUUGCUUUGCAAACCACCACACUGGACAUAAAAUACGAAUGUUGAAGCUCGGCUCAAAAUAAUGAAUGGAUUGAGCUGGCAUUUGGUGGAGGAUGGUUAUUUGGGCAUAGGAAAGCACUGUAGAAAAUGGAUACUAUUUGGACAUGCCAAAGUGGUAAUUCCUUCACAAACUGUUGUUCUGAACAGAAUAGGAAAAUGAAUAUUUUUGAAUUAGUUUUGAACUAGGCAAGGAAGAUUUUUACAUAUUUGAUGAAGAUAUGACCCAAGGAAUUUAUGAGAUUUUUCUGGGAAUUUUGGGAAUGACAGAAAUAUAGGUUGCUUCACAACCUAGGGCAAAAACUGCCACAUGGACAUGACACAUAGGCAAAACUGAUGAGGUGGCGCCUAGUCAUAGCAACCCACCACAAUUUACAAGGCUAUGACCAUCUAUAUUGGUCGUUAACAACUAGAAAUAAGGCAGCGGACUAGCGUUGUUUGCUUUAUGACCAUUUCGUGUAAGGAAAUUACGACCUUUCUGACCAAAAUGGUCGCAAUGGUUUAGGGUUUGGAGCCCCCCAAACAGCUUUUGACCAAUUGGUCUAAAAUGGUCAUAAAUUUAUGACCAAUUCUUCGAGGGUCACUGACAGAAGGUCAUAAGUUGACAUAUUUCUUGUAGUGUUUGAAAUGUCAAACAAAAUCAAACAAAAACUUGGCGCGUACAUCUCGAUAUUAUACAUGCUCACAAAGUUGUUUCGCGAAAAACCGAUAGCUCACGUGUCGCGUGUGAAAAAGACAAAAACCGGUGUUAAAAAAUGCUUUUCACAAGACAUCCUUUUGUCUUUUUUUACGCAAGCCACAAAAAAUGUCGGUUUUCUCCGAAACUUGACAUGCACACAUAUAAUGUCGAGAUGUAUGCGCCAAAUUUUUGUUUGGAAUUUUUUCACACGUUGAAAUACUUGUUCGUGUGCAGGAGCGCGCGCUCCCGGGAGCACCAACGGAUAUCUGCAGAAUAGAUAAGCAGAAGGCACUACACGCCAAGAAGCCACAAAUGAUUUCCUGCAUCGAUUUGGUCAUCUUAGCGUUCAAUCUAGUCUUACAAUACCUAAUCCCAAACCCAAUCUCCCACGAAUACAAGUUGUAGAUGUCGUGCGCCUCACCUAGCGAGUAGCGAGUCGAACCCAGUCCCAGUUCUGGCUUGAUUACACUCUCCCUAGACUCCUCUGCACAUUUCCAAAUCGACUGCUCGAAUACCCUGAUCCUACAUGGACAAGGCCUUCUGUCCCAUGGUGAAUUCCUGAGGCGUAACCUGCUUUUUUGGCAACAUAGUCGAUUGGAUAGAUGCAGGCUUACCUCUUUUGUCCAUCCUGGUCCUCCGGAUUGACCCUAUCAGUGGACGCGGACCGCGUCGAAGACGCCUUUUGUCACCGGCUUCCUUCGCCACCUUGCUGCCCGCACCCAGACCCAACAUUGGAGUUCCCCGGCUCAGUCGGGUGGUGAAAGUGCAACUAUCCCUAGGUGGUUUUGGUAAUUGAUAACAACAUAUAGCUCAUUGAGCUCAUGCUAUUCCAAGACUAUUAUUUCAGGAAAGCUCAAUGAAUGGCAUGGCAUGGAUGAUGAAAGUGGAUCCCUCAAAAUACUAAGGACAAAGGUUUGGCUCAAGCUCAAAAGCUCAAGACUCUUCAUUUUAUAUUUUAGUGAUCCAAGAUCACAUUGAGUCUAUAGGAAAAGCCAAUACUAUCAAGGAGGGAUGAGGUGUUGCUUAAUGAGCCUCUUGCUUCAUGUGCUUUGUGAUAUGCUCCAAAACCCUCAGCUACUUUCCCACAUCCACAAAUGACCUAAACCCAAAGCCAAAAUCGGUCACACCGAUUAUUCCAAUCCGACGCCACCGAUUCCAAAAAUCAUAGCCACUGCCACAAACCCUAAGCAAAUUGGUCUUACCGAUAGGGAUCUCGGUCUCACCGAGAUGGGAUUGUAAUCUCUCUGUUUCCCUUCGUAACAUUUCGGUCUAACCGAAGUGAGCGAUCGGUCCCACCGAGAUUGCUAUGUAAACUCUCUGUUUCCCUUUUGUAACAUUUUGGUCUCACCGAAAAGAGCAAAUCGGUUCCACCGAGUUUACCUGACCAACUCUCUGGUUAGCUUAUUACAAAAAUCGGUUUCAUCGAGUUUGUGUAAUCGUUCUUAUCAAGAUUACUUUAUGCCCUAACCCUAACCGAAUCGGUCUCACCGAUAUGCAUGUCAGUCCCACCGAAAAUCACUAACGGUCACUAGGUUUACUAAAUCGGUCCGACCGAUUGUGUUGAAUCGGUCCCACCGAGUUUGGUAAAUUGUGUGUAACGGUUAGAUUUUGUGUGGAGGCUAUAUAUACCCCUCCACCUCCUCUUCAUUCGUGGAGAGAGCCAUCAGACUAAACCUACACUUCCAACUUACCAUUUCUGAGAGAGAACCACCUACUCAUGUGUUGAGGCCAAGAUAUUCCUUUCCUACCAUAUGAAUCUCGAUCUCUAGCCUUCCCCAAGUUGCUUUCCACUCAAACCCUCUUUCCACUAGAUCCAAAUCCUAUGAGAGAGAGUUGAGUGUUGGGGAGACUAUCAUUUGAAGCACAAGAGCAAGGAGUUCAUCAUCAACGCACCAUUUGUUACUUCUUGGAGAGUGGUGUCUCCUAGAUUGGCUAGGUGUCACUUGGGAGCCUCCAACAAGAUUGUGGAGUUGAACCAAGGAGUUUGUAAGGGCAAGGAGAUCGCCUACUUCGUGAAGAUCUACCGCUAGUGAGGCAAGUCCUUCGUGCGCGACGACCAUGGUGGGAUAGACAAGGUUGCUUCUUUGUGGACCCUUCGUGGGUGGAUCCCUCCGUGGACUCGCGCAGCCGUUACCCUUUGUGGGUUGAAGUCUCCAUUAACGUGGAUGUACGAUAGCACCACCUAUCGGAACCACACCAAAAACAUUCGUGUCUCCAAUUGCGUUUGAAUCCUCCAGACCCUUCCCUUUACUUUCUUGCAAGUUGCAUGCUUUAAUUUCUGCUGCCUAUAUACUCUUUGCAUACUUGCUUGAUUUGUGUGAUGAUUGCUUGACUUGUCCUAAGAUAGCUAAAAUCUGCCAAACUCUAAAAUUGGGAAAAAGUUAAGUUUUAAUUGGUCAAAUAGUCUAAUCACCCCCCCUCUAGACAUACUUCAAGGUCCUACAAGUGGUAUUAGAUCUUUGGUCUCCAUUUGCUUUGAUUUCCAUAGCUUUUGGUGGUCAUAGCCUUGGUUUCACAACCUAGGAGAGUAUGGCGUCUAGCGAGGGAAAUUAUCACCGUAGAGGUCCUUACUUUGAUGGUACUAAUUUUGCUAGUUGGAAGCAUAAGAUGAAAAUGCAUAUUCUCGGACAUAACCCCGCCGUUUGGGCAAUUAUUUGUAUUAGCUUGCAAGGUGAAUUCUUUGAUGGGAGAGAACCGAACUGUGAAGCGAAUGCAGAAGAAUUGAAGAUGCUGCAAUACAACGCUCAAGCUUGUGAUAUCAUCUUCAACGGAUUGUGCCCCGAAGAAUUCAACAAAAUCAGCCGUCUUGAGAAUGCAAAGGAAAUUUGGGAUACUUUGAUUGAUAUGCACGAAGGUACCGAAUCCGUCAUGGAAUCCAAGUUGGAUGUGCUCCAAAGUCAGCUUGACAAGUUCAAAAUGAAGGAUGGCGAAGGUGUCGCUGAAAUGUACUCUAGGCUUGCACUUAUCACAAAUGAGAUUGCCGGCUUAGGGAGUGAAGAGAUGACCGAUAAAUUCAUCAUCAAAAAGAUCCUAAGAGCAUUGGAUGGAAAGUAUGAUACCAUGUGCACUUUGAUUCAAAUGAUGCCAAACUACAAAGAUCUCAAGCCAACUGAAGUCAUUGGAAGAAUUGUUGCUCAUGAGAUGUCACUCAAGGAUAAGGAGGAACUUCACAACAAGUCAAGUGGUGCUUACAAAGCCUCAAGUGAAGCCCCCACAUAAUCAAGUGAGAAACAAACCUUCAAUGAAGAAUUGAGCUUAAUGGUGAAGAACUUCAACAAAUUCUACAAGAGUAGAAACAAAGAAAGAAGCUCCAAGUCAAGGUCUUAUCAUGAGAAAAGAUCUUCUAGUCAAGAGCGCAAUUGCUACAAUUGUGGGAGGCCUGGACACUACUCCAAUGAGUGUACGUCACCCUACAAUAGAAGAGAAGAUUCUCCAAAAAGAAGAAGCAAAAGAGAAGAAUCACCACCAAGGGAGAGGAGGAGUAGAGAUGAUCGUUAUGAACGAAGACCCUCACGGAGAAGCAAGGAUUCGUAAAGGAAGGACAAGUCAUCAAGGAGCUACACAAAACGAAGACAUCAAGCUCAUGUUGGUGAAUGGGUAUCCGACUCCGACUCCGACAAUCACUCCGAGAGAAGCUAUCACUCUGACUCCAAACAUACUCAAGAUGAAGGUGUUGCCGGUCUAGCACUUGUGUCAACCAACUCCUACGACAUAUUUGAUUCACCAAAUGAAGGAAUUGGAAGAUGCUUCAUGGCCAAAGGUCCAAAGGUAACACAUCCUGAGUAUGUUGAUUUCAAUAGUGAUGAAGAUGACUUGCUUGUGGAUGAUGAUUUACUUGUUGACAACUCUAGUGAUGAAUACUAUGAUGAAACGUCAAUUAAUCGCUAAUCAAGAUAAAACAAAUGACAAUGAUAAGGAGAAGAUUGAGCUUCUAACUAAAGAACUAAACACUCUUAAGUUGGCUCAUGAAACUAUCUUCGAAGAUCAUCGAGAACUUUUAAGGGCUCAUGAGAAGUUACGCUUUGAAAAUCUCAAUCUUGAGAAAGAGCAUGAGUUCUUAAAAGCAAUCAAUGAUGAUCUCCGUAAGAAAAGUUCUUCUUACAUUGCCAAGCGUUUACUCUUAUCUACUUACAUGCCUCAAGUCAAGUCUAGUAACAAGUACAAGAAAGAUACUUCCUCUAGUAGUAACAAUAAUAAUGUUAAAUCCAAUAUUUUUGUUUCUAGUAGUUCUCUUGAUUCCACUAAUGAUUCUCUUAGCCAAGUUACACUUGAGCAAGAAAAUAGUUUAUUGAAGGGAAUUAUAGAGAAAGGUGUUUACAAGAGCCUUGCCGGGAGCAAGCAAUUCAAGGAAAUUGUACGCAAGCAAGGAAGACACCGGAAGAAUCAAGGUGUUGGUUUUGAACAAAAGUUCAAUGCCAAUGGAGUUGAGUGGGAAGAAGAUCAAUACCCCAAGACGAAGUUUGUUCCUCAACAAGAGAAGUAUGAUCCUACUUCCUUCAAGGGAACACAAGCUCAAGAUGAUCUUCCACCACAAGACCACAAGAACAAAGGCAAGGACAAGCUUCAAGAAGAGAUUGAUGCAUUUGAAGAAGCACCUAAAGCCUCGGUCAAGUGGAUUCCCAAGACUACGUCAAGUUCUACUUCAUCAAGCACAACUACAACUCCAAGGAUUCCCAUCAAGAUGAUGUGGAUCCCGAAGAAGAAGAACUAGAGAGUUCUUGAGGGUGACUCCGCCAACAUUCUUCACUCAUAUCUUUAUGGCAAGGACAGGUGCAAUCAACUUCCACAUCUUGCACUAGUUCAAGGAGUCACAAACCCUCAUGUUGGUAAGGCAAGGGACAAGGUAACCUAAUGUUUUCAUGGACAUCAUCUUGUGUGUGCAUCACUCUAUGUCUAUGGAUAUUCUUGUUUGUUCCUUGUGGGACUAACCCAUGUAGGUAAGUUGAAAGUGCAACUCACUCCAAAGGAUUGCUCCAAAUGAUCUACAUCAACAUUGAGCAUCCACAUCUUCAACACGUACAUGAAGUCAUGAUCGGCAAAACCCAAGGUUAGUUCAUCCCUCUAAGGGGGGAUAUCACAUCUAGGGGGAGCUUAACUCUAAGAAUUGAGUCAAAGCAACUCUAAUGGUGUGAACACAUCAAUGCAUUAUGUAAAAGUGGUAACCCCACUUGAGCUUAAACGACGAGUAUGACCUAUGAUCAAAUGUUCUCAUUUGACUCCUAAGUCAAUAUACUCAUAUAUAGAUGACCUAGUCAUCGCCAAUUGUUUGGUAGAUGCUAGAAUUGUUUGUGCAUGCUUUGCCACAUAUUUCAUUUGCCAUUUUAUUGUGUGAGCAUGUUGGUGCAUAUUUUACUCAUUCAAGGACAUCCACUUGUUGUUUUGAUUGUUUGGUUCUUUCUUCUUUUGGCCAAGUGGAUGGACAAGAAUGCAUAAGAACCUUCUCUAGCUAUCUAUGCUUUUCUUGUCUCAAACUCUAUUCAUGCUACAUCACAAAAAUUGAUCAAGUCAGAUUCGAACCACUCUAUGUGAGGAGCACUCGGAGUCCCCGAUUCGUCAUAGACUUAAACUUCCAAAACCUCUUUGUGACUCUCGGUCUGACCGAUUCCUCCAUUUCGGUCCUACCGAGAUCAUUUAGUUGAUCUGAGUUUUCAAUCUCGGUGCAACCGAUUUGAACUUUUCGGUCACACCGAGUUGCUAUAACUGAACACAGUUAUGCAUCUCGGUGCCACCGAGUUGUUCUACUCGGUCACACUGACAGGGUCGGGCUAUAUAUAGUCACGGGCAAAAUUUUGGAAAUUUCUCCGAAUCCCUUCGCUCGUGCAAUAGCUCGCUCUGCCAUCGAAGGUCUCCUUGUUGCCAGCCGCCUCCUGUCGCUGGUCUCCGCCGCCGUCAACGGAAUUCAACCCCACCGUCGCCGCCGUAGCGAGUUCAUCGCCGCACUAGGGUAUGGACUCGAUCUUUGUGAUAUCCACAUCUGAUUCCUAGCAUAGUGUACUCUUAUUGAAUCUUGCCACGAUUGAAACAAUCCUAUCCAGCCAAAGUAGUCCGUAGAGUAGAUUAGAUUCAAAUUUUUAGGGUUAGGUUUCCGCCAAAACCAUCUCGUACCCACCGAGUUGAAAAACUCAGUCUCACCGAUUUGGCUUAUGCCAUUGCACUAGUGACUCUCGGUCUGAUCGAGAAUUACUAAUCGUGCGACCGAUUUUAGGAUUCUGUGAAACCCUAGCAGUCUCGGUGCCGCCGAACUGUGACUCGGUCCAACCGAGUUCAUCAGUUUAGGUUCCAAAAACUACUUCGGUAUCACUGAGUUUGAAAAUCGGUUGAUCCGAGAUGCUUUCUGUGGAAAACUAAAACUGAAUUUUUGAAUCAUUCUUUUGCAAAAAUCUAUGCAUUUGGUGAUACUCAUCCACUCUAUCUCAUCUAUAACUCUUCACAGGGUCAACAGUCAGUUUUUGCAACAUGUCAGACCAGAGUGACAGCCAGAACAGGUCAGCAGAGCAGAUUCAGAUGAGUGAGGGCACUAGUCCCUCCAGCACUUUAGAUGAAGGGAGCAGAAGCACUCCUAGCAACCUGCCUAAGGCUGCUACCAGGCAAAGGAGAAAGAGAACCUCAGACUCAGAAGAUGAGGACUACAAAGCUGAAGAAGAUGAGGCUACUUCCAAGAAAGUGGUGCUCAAGAAGGAAUAUGGCUCAACAAAGGAUACAAAGCCAGGCAUGAAGAUCAAAAGGCCUGCAGGAAGACAACCAAUGUCCAAGGCCAGAGCAUCAACUCAACUUCCUGAAAAGCCUGAUCCCAAAGAACCAGCUGCUGAAGGAAAGAAGAGGAAGGAAAAGGUCAAGAAGACCAUGGCCAGAGUUGUUGGUCAACCUUCCAUGAUGGAAGAGGAAGAGCUUGCUGCACCAGCACCAAAGGCACCAAAGCUUAUGGGUGAUGCUAUUAGAUGAGGGGCUGCAACAACUAAGCCCAAGGAAGCACCCAAAGUUGCCCCCAAGGCCAAGUCUGCACCAAAGAGGAAUACCAGGAGUAUUCCAGCUACUGAGAAGAACAAGGCCCUAGUGCCCGAGGUUGCUGAGGAGGAAGAUGAAGGACAGGUCCUAAGGAAGCUCAAGCCUAAGAUACCAGACCACAAUGAGGCCCAUCCUGUGGCUAAGGACAACAUCAGAAAAGACUCACGAUUGAGGCUAUGGAGGAUGGUAGAUCCAUAUGCCACAAGGAGAAGAACUGCUGUUGAUUACAGGUUCCAUUCAAAGGAACAGCAGGACUUCUAUGAGACAAUCUUAUUGGACAAGAAGCCCAUUGUGUGUGAUAUGAGGUGGGUCGACUGGACCUACAUGAAGGAGAAUGAAGAGCACUAUCCUGGAGUGCAAGACAACUUUGUUGCUUAUGGAGUUGCAGAUUUUGUUGGGCAAAAGCUCACAAACUAGAAUGAUGAACUUAUCAUGCAAUUCUACUCCACAGCACAUUUUUACCUAGAUGGAAGAAUUGUUUGGAUGUCUGAAGGUACAAGGUACCAAUCCACUGUUGAAGAAUGGGAAAAACUAAUAAAUGCCCCAAAGGAAAAUGAUGAUGAUCUGGAUAUAUAUGCCAUGAAGAAAAUGGGAAACAAUACCAUGGCACACAUGUACAAGGAGAUCCCAGACAAAGCCCUAGAGACUUUCUCUUUUGGAUCAGUCCAUUUUCUGUUGUCGGGGCUGCCUACUAUCAAUUGGAUUCUGAGGCACACUCUGUUGCCCAAGUCUGGUGACCACAACAUGAUCAGAGGGCAUGCAAUCAAUAUGUUGCAUUUAUUUGUGCCAUAGAAAUUCAAAGUCAUGAGCCUUAUAGUUGAAACCAUUAAGAGGACUGCAGCAGAUCAGAAGAGGAGCUGUGCAUAUGCGCCUCAGAUUCAGGAAUUGAUCAACUCAAAGAUGGGAACUGGCAAAUAUCUAUUGGAUAGGGAACAUUUUCCACUCUAUCCAGACUUUGAAGACAAUGAGGUUGUCAUGAAUGAGGAUGAUCCAUCAUCAGUUCAAGCUCAAGAGAAAAAGGAGAAGGAAAGGAAGGAGAAGGCUGCCAAGAUGCCAACUCAAGAGGAGGCAUCUGAGUAUUUCUUGAAGAACAAGCAGGAGCAGCUUGGUUACUUGAUAGCAUCAUCUCUGAGGAUUGAGAAGGGAUUGGCCACCCUCACUCAGAAUCAGGAGAGCUUGGAGAGAAUCAUGGAACUCAAAUUUCAUGAUCUUGAUGUCAAGGUAACUGAGAUUCAAACAGUUGUGGAGAAACUGCAGGAUGACAUGCAGGAGAGGAAUGGCAAGACUACCACUAAUGUCUUUGCCAGAGUGCCUAGAGCUCAGAGGCCAGCUGUUGUGCCAGUGCCAGAUACUAGAGCAACAUCUUCAGCACCAGCUACUGCCCCUUUAUCUCCAGUGCAACCAGCUUCAGCAUCAACUCCAGCACCCUCUACAUUAACUGAAGCCUUCGUCCAAGGAGCCAUCUCUACACCACCAACUGAAGAUCAAGCCUGAGAGUCGAUCUAGCACUAUGCAUUUUCUAUGAACUUUUUGGUAACUUGUUGCCAAAGGGGGAGAAAAAUGUAUAGAUCAUAGGCUUCGAGAGAGAGAGUGUGUUGCUUUUAUUCUCUCUUGCUUUGUUGGUUUAAACUUGUUUGUUUUUGAUUGUUUGAGAUACUAUGCUUGUGAGACAUUGAUGAUCAUGUGUUUGAUCAUAAGCUACACUUAUGCAUGUUGGAUGAUAUUAUCCUAUCUAUCUUAUGUGAUCAUUCACUUUGCUUGGUGAUGAGUGCAUGUAUUCAUUACUUAUCAUUUUGAGCGCUCCACCAAGAUGUAUGUGACAUGGAAGAGUAACCCAUGAGCCUAAUUCCUUGUGCAUUUGCAGUCCAAAGCAAAUUUUAAAUUAUGCACAAAUUUAGGGGGAGCUAUUUCUUAUCACAUACUUCUCAAAGCGACGAAGUUAUUCAAUCUUAUUAUCAUUUGUCGAAGCUUUGAUCUACAUGUUGUCAUCAAUUACCAAAAAUGGGGAGAUUGAAAGUGCAACUAUCCCUAGGUGGUUUUGGUAAUUCAUAACAACAUAUAGCUCAUUGAGCUAAUACUAUUCCAAGACUAUUAUUUCAGGAAAGCUCAAUGAAUGCCAUGGCAUGGAUGAUGAAAGUGGAUCCCUCAAAAUACUAAGGACAAAGGAUUGGCUCAAGCUCAAAAGCUCAAGACUCUCCAUUUUAUAUUUUAGUGAUCCAAGAUCACAUUGAAUCUAUAGGAAAAGCCAAUACUAUCAAGGAGGGAUGAGGUGUUGCUUAAUGAGCCUCUUGCGUCAUGUGCUUUGUGAUAUGCUCCAAAACCCUCAGCUACUUUCCCACAUCCACAAAUGACCUAAACCCAAAGCCGAAAUCGGUCACACCGAUUCUUCCAAUCCAGCGCCACCGAUUCCAAAAAUCAUAGCCACUGCCACAAACCCUAAGCAAAUCGGUCUUACCGAUAGGGAUCUCGGUCUCACCGAGAUGGGAUUGUAAUCUCUCUGUUUCCCUUUGUAACGUUUCGGUCUAACCGAAGUGAGUGAUCGGUCCCACCGAGAUUGCAAUGUAAACUCUCUGUUUCCCUUUUGUAACAUUUCGGUCUCACCGAAAAGAGCAAAUCGGUCCCACCAAGUUUACCUGACCGACUGUCUGGUUAGCUUAUUACCAAAAUCGGUUUGACCGAGUUUGUGUAAUCGGUCUUACCGAGAUUACGUUAUGCCCUAACCCUAACUGAAUUGGUCUCACCGAGAUGCAUGUCAGUCCCACCGAAAAUCACUAAUGGUCACUAGGUUUACUAAAUCGGUCCGGCCGAGUCUGUUGAAUCGGUCCCACCGAGUUUGGUAAAUUGUGUGUAACAGUUAGAUUUUGUGUGGAGGCUAUAUAUACCCCUCCACCUUCUCUUCAUUCGUGGAGAGAGCCAUCAGACUAAACCUACACUUCCAACUUACCAUUUCUGAGAGAGAACCACCUACUCAUGUGUUGAGGCCAAGAUAUUCCAUUCCUACCAUAUGAAUCUUGAUCUCUAGCCUUCCCCAAGUUUCUUUCCACUCAAACCCUCUUUCCACUAGAUCCAAAUCCUAUGAGAGAGAGUUGAGUUUGGGGAGACUAUCAUUUGAAGCACAAGAGCAAGGAGUUCAUCAUCAACGCACCAUUUGUUACUUCUUGGAGACUGGUGUCUCCUAGAUUGGCUAGGUGUCACUUGGGAGCCUCUGACAAGAUUGUGGAGUUGAACCAAGGAGUUUGUAAGGGCAAGGAGAUCGCCUACUUCGUGAAGAUCUACCGCUAGUGAGGCAAGUCCUUCGUGGGCGACGGCCAUGGUGGUAGACACGGUUGCUUCUUCGUGGACCCUUCGUGGGUGGAGCCCUCCGUGGACUCGCGCAGCCGUUCCCUUCGUGGGUUGAAGUCUCCAUCAACGUGGAUGUACGAUAGCACCACCUAUCGGAACCACGCCAAAAACAUCUGUGUCUCCAAUUGCGUUUGAAUCCUCCAGACCCUUCCCUUUACUUUCUUGCAAGUUGCAUGCUUUAAUUUCCGCUGCCUAUAUACUCUUUGCAUGCUUGCUUGAUUUGUGUGAUGAUUGCUUGACUUGUCCUAAGAUAGCUAAAAUCUGCCAAACUCUAAAACUGGGAAAAGGUUAAGUUUUAAUUGGUCAAGUAGUCUAAUCACCCCCCUCUAGACAUACUUCAAGGUCCUACAGGUGGGAAUCACUGCAUAACUGGAUCGGGAUGCUCAAACCUGUUCGUAAACUUCUCCGGCAGAGGAAACCUGCAAGACACACCAUGGCUACUGGUGGUGGAAGUGGGAUGAGGGGACAAGGGUUGUACGAAGCACCAAAUCUCAAAAAUUGACAUGGAUGAGGGGGCGGGUUGAUCUGACCGGCUAACAGCAUCCAACAGGAACUCAAGCCCCGCAUCCUCCAUCGCCGACACCGUCGGAACCAGCAGAAGCCGCCGCAAUUAUGGAUGGAGUGGGCUGAUGGGAGGGCGGGUUUGGCGGACCUCCUAUGGGCGGUCUCAAUCCUCGAUUGAUCUACCAAGAAAAGUCCACAAAUUCGUCCGUGUGACGGCUCAGGUUUUUCACGUAACCCUGGGCCACGGCUCAAACAGAAAUUCUCUGUCCUGGCCCACGGAGCAUGAAAUCCUGCGCGAGUCGAGGCUCCCAUCCCUACUUAAUUGGCCCCACACACGGUCGCAUUGUUUCAUGCCGUAUACAAGACGUAUCUUCAUUAUUUGCCGGUGCAUAUUUUCUUGGGAAAAACAUCCAAUAUAUUCAACUUCAAUCAUGGCGGUAAACACUAGAUAUAAUUAAAAUUAUAUACAGAUCCGUAGACCACCUAGCGACGACUACAAGAACUAAAGCGAGCCGAAGGCGCGCCGCUGUCAUUGCCCCUCCCUUGCCGGAGCUAGGCAAAACUUGUUGUAGUAGACAGCCAGGAAGUCAUCGUGCUAAGGUCCUAUAGGACUAGCACAUCAGAACAGCAACCGCCGCCGAUGAAGAGUAGCGUAAAUCGGAAGGAUCCAACCUGAAAACACACGAACAUAGACGAACGACGAACAUAUCCAAGCAUAUCCACCAAGGACAAAUCUACCGGAGACACACAUCCACACGCCCAUCGACAAUGCUAAAUGCACCAUCAGAACUGGGGCUAGGCGAGGAGAGCCUUAUUCCAUCUUAGGGAGCAGCCACUGUAUCGUCUUCCUGAGUUGGACACAAACCCUAACAAAUCACGAAGACACAUCAAAAAACCGAGCCCUCCUCCACCGCGCUCCCAUGACCCUAAGGAAAACCGCAGAUGAGGUGGACUGGCGACAACACCGGUGGGAGGCACGGGAAUCCUAGUUGGGGAGGAGGAGGCGGCCUGAGGAGUCAUGUAAUGUCCUUUCUAGGUUCACCGGUUGGCCCCUUCUAUUCUGUCGAUGCAUACCUGACACGUCAGAACGAAUUGUUGCAAUCCCCAGGCAACAGCGAAUGCUAGAGAUUUCCGGAGCAGCUAAGCUCGAGCACUGAAUCGCUGCGUCCGGGGAGCUAGUAGCCAGACGAGAAACCGAGCGUGUGUAAAGCGCUAAACUACACUGUCCCAACAGAGCGUGCGUGUGAGUGUUGAUGUGCCAACCAACGCCAUAAGCAUGGUAGAGGAGCGCUCCUGCAACUUGUUGCCUCAAAUAGGUGGGAAAACACAUAAGGACACGCACUGGUCGGCCCAUUCAUUUCAUACUGUACCAACUCGAUGGCGAAGAUUUUUUCGGUGUUGUACACUUUCAAGCGCUUUUUUCAAUUAGGGGUUUUCUUUGUCAUAUUUUCAAAAACAUUAGAAAAACGUAUUUAUUGAAAAACUAAGUAUUGAGUUUUUAUAAUAAUUAUACAAAAUGUGAACAUUUUUAAAACAUGAAUGUUUUUCAUAAUGCUAACCAUUUUUUCAUGUUUUGAACAUUUUUUCAAAAACACCAAUAUUUUUUGAAAACACUAAAAAAUUGUGAAAACAUUCAAAUGAAAUUAUACAUUUUGAAAAAAAUAUUCAUAUAUUUAAUAAACAAGAACAUUUUUGAACAUUUUGUGAAAAACCCGAAAAAGAACAAAAGAAAACAAAAAUAAAACCAGCAAAAGAAGAAAACCUAAAAAACCGGAUUCCUUAAUGCAUCAUAAUAAUGCACGACUAUUUUUUAUGAAUAUGUCUUCGAAUCAAAAAUGUCUUUCAUACAUGUGUUUGCCUAUACCUCACUUUUAGUCAGGCAAAAGAACACAAGGCCUCAGGCCCCUGUAUUGUAACCUAGGGAUCCUUCAUUAUGCAGGAAGCCGACUUGUCCAGGGCCUCGUAGGUCGGCUUGUCCAGGGCCUCGUAGGCCUCGUAGGUCGGCUUAUCCAGGGCCAUCAAUCCGGCUCAUGGACCCAAUUAGAGAAAGGCCCGGGGGACUUGGAGUGGGUGACAGGGCGACUAGCGUCCAGGAGAACUCCUCCAACGACCAACUACGAUCGUGUAAUCCUACACCCCGACACCCAUAUAUGUGGCGGCUGGAUUAGUCAAUAGACAGAGAACCUUAGAGCUAUUUCUCAAUCCAUCGAUUAUUGUAAGCCCUAUACACGAGCAAUAUACAGAGCAGGGGUUAGGAUUUUACCUCAUACAUGAGGGUCUGAACCUGGAUAAACCCCUUCUUAUUUCCCAUUUGGUUUAAUCGCAUGGCCAGAGUACCUUAUCAAGUGAUCUGCCGGAAAUAACUCCACCACGUCAUAAAUGGGCUAGGGCCAGAUUUUUUUUCUCCUUUUCUCUUAUUUUGUUUCUACUUUUGGUUCAAUUUUAAAAAUACUGUAAAUAUAUAUAUUUGGAAAUAUUCUUCAUUAAUUAUUAAUAACAUUCACCAUGCCUGAAAUAUUGGUCAUGAAAUGUAAUUAUUUGUUUGCACAAUUUCAGAAAUUGUUCAUAUCCUUCAAAAGAAUAUUCCUAUCAUUUUUAAAAUGUUUGCAUGUUUAAAAAAUGAGUGGUUUUUUAACAAUGUUUAUUAAAAUAUAUAAAAAUUGACACUGUAAUUUGUAAAAAAGUUCAUACCAUUCAAAAAAUGUUUAACAAUUUAAAAAUGUUCAAACAUUUUAAUUUUAAGUAUUUUUUAGUAAACAAUAUUGAAAUAGAAAAAAAAAUUGACGAAAACUUAAAAGUUUAUAACAUAUAAAAAUGUUUGUAAAAUUUUCAAAUAUGUUCAUAAACACUUACGAAAUGUUUGGCACUUUUACGGAUAUGUUGAUGUCUUAAUUUUUUUGAAAACUAUCAAUGAAAUUUACAAAAAUGUUCCUAACAGCCAGAUCUGGACUCAACAAGCCCCCGCGUCCCCUCCUCUGGCGACUCGGGGGCCACCCUACCCGCGCUGCCAGCAGACCUCCCCCACCCCAUCCCCUGCUUUGCCGCCGCCGGAGGGGACGCGGGCUAAGCCGCACAUACUCCAAGGAUGGUGGCGGCGGGGCUCUCAUGGCUGGCGUUCUCGCGAAUCCGGGGCCUCUGCUCAAGAGGACGAUGGGCGUCGGUGGCCGCGUCACGCGACGGAUGCCGCUCGGUGGUCGGCGCUAAGCGCGGAUCUGGGUCGCUCUGCGCGAAGUGAGGGCGGCCGGAGCUCUGGUCGGCGUCGGGGGCACGGUGCCGGCCUCCGUGCUCCGGUGGCCCGCCCUAGAUCAAGAUGCGGCAUCCUGCCCAUGGCCUCGCCUCCUGAUGGUUCUGGGCCAGCCGCGGUUCGCGUCGGGGUGGAUCUGGAGGCUUGUUGGUGAUGCGUUUCGCUGGACUGGCUGAAUCCAAUUAGAUCGGCCCAUGGUCGUCUGGCGUGGGGCAGAGGAGGGUGGUGGUGAGUGGUGCUGGUGGAGGUGGUGGGGGGUGGUGGCAGUGCUGCUGCUGCCGAUCUUGACCUCACUGCCUUCUGUUGGCAUGCGAGCGCAUCGGUUCUGGUCUCCAACGGUUGCGCAGUGGCACACAUGGGGUGUGCCGGUGCUCCUGAUGUAUGCCUGCAGCCCGGACUAUGGUGGUUCCUAGCCUCGGGCAGUGCUCCUCUGCUCCUUGCCAGCAUGGUGCUUGGCAGGGCACGGUGGCACACACUACGUCCGGUGGCCUGCGCUCGGUUGGCUGUUGAUGGAUCUUGUGCCUAGUGCUCAUGUUUGGUCGUUGGUGGUCUCCACAGGGUGUUGUUGGCUCCGGCAGCUUCUCGUGCUUCUUUGUCUUUCGAAGGGUUCGAUGGUGGUGGUGGUCGGUUGUCGUCAUGUUGUAGGGAUGUGCUCAAACUCCGGGUGAGAACCUUACAUCGACUAUGUUGAUGUCGGCAGCAACAACGUCUAUGGCCGUCGUUUUCCUUGCAGGAGGUGCCGUUGUGGAGCUCCAGCACCUACAAUACUUUGUUUUGUGGUCUCCGGGUGAAAACCUAAGAUUGGGCUUGCCAGAUCGGAUGACGGUGUUGUGCCCUCAACAACACUACCUCCUUGGAGGCAUCAUCUUGGAGACCCAAACGACGGCUUCAGUUUGCGGCAUGUGGUUGAGGGUGGUCCGUUUGGUGGUGGUGGUGUGGCCUACUCAGGACCGAUGGUGGUGUGCUCUUCUUCAUGUGUUUCCCUCACUACAAAAAAAAGACACAUCCGUGACAUUUUGAGCCGAAUGAAUUUUUUUUCUGUCAUAUUUAUGACACUUCUAUGACGAUAAUUGUGACAAAACCCGGUAUCAUCAUAGAUGUGGUGGGCUCCUACUUCUAUGACAAAAAAUCAUGACAGAAAAUGGGCUUUUUGUCUUGGGCGGGCCGGAGACGCAGCUGCAUGACAUUCUUUGGGCCAUCCAUGACGGAAAAAACCAUGGUAGAAGUGAGGACGAGGAAAAAUUCGUCGAGUUCCCGGUUACGGUGGGAGGUCGGGGGCCGAGCGAUGCACGUUUAUCUCAUACACGUACGCGCGUGUGUGCGAGGCGUUGGCUCUAACUGAACCCGAGUGAGGCGUUGGGCUCUAACUGAAACCGAGUGAUUGCACUACAGGCUACACAUUACUGAACCCGAGCGAUCGAGCGAUGGCUUUAACUGAAGCCGAUUGAGCGAUUCCUUCGCUACUGCUGCUAACUGAAGCCAAUCGAUGCUGCCUCUGGAUGAACAGNNNNNNNNNNNNNNNNNNNNNNNNNNNNNNNNNNNNNNNNNNNNNNNNNNNNNNNNNNNNNNNNNNNNNNNNNNNNNNNNNNNNNNNNNNNNNNNNNNNNNNNNNNNNNNNNNNNNNNNNNNNNNNNNNNNNNNNNNNNNNNNNNNNNNNNNNNNNNNNNNNNNNNNNNNNNNNNNNNNNNNNNNNNNNNNNNNNNNNNNNNNNNNNNNNNNNNNNNNNNNNNNNNNNNNNNNNNNNNNNNNNNNNNNNNNNNNNNNNNNNNNNNNNNNNNNNNNNNNNNNNNNNNNNNNNNNNNNNNNNNNNNNNNNCCUCGUGGAGGCUGGAUGAACAGGACGACCCCGUGGAGGGCUGGAUGAACAGUAGAAGGUGGAGGGGUGGAUGAACAGGAGCUCGUGGAGAGGGGUGGUUGAACAAUAGCCUUUGGAGUAGCGCGCGGUGGAGGCUGGAUGAACAGGAGCUCGUGGAGGCUGGAGGAGGUCGAUGGUGGAUGAACAGUAGCCCCGUGAGGCUGGAGGAGGUCGACGGUGGAGAUGAACAGUAUCCCGUGGAGUCGUUUUGUGGUAUGCCACACCCCUCCCAAUGAACAAGACCCCCGUUUCGACCGUAGCGCUCCAACACAAGUUCGUUUCAUCCGUUUUGCGGUACGCCACACCCCUCCUGAUCAACAGGACCCCCGUUUCGACCGUAGGAGGUCCGUUUCCUCCGUUUUGCAGUACGCGAGACCCCUCCCUAUGAACAGGAUCCUGUUUCGAACGUGGCUGGUAGAACACAAGGCCGUUUCCUCCGUUCUGCGGUACACCAGGCCUCAUUUCCAUCGCCUGUUCCAUCCAAGCCGGUUGGCUCCCACACGUUCCGUUGCCUCCCGAUGAACACGACGAAUUCCGUUUCCUCCCCAUGAACACGACGCAUCCCGUUGCGUCCCCAUGAACACGACGACGACGCAGUUUCUCUGUUCCGACCCGCCAUGUGCACGAGCCCUGGCCGUACAUAUGCGUGAGUAGGCGUUCAAGACCCCACCCAUAUGUACAUAAGUGGCCAUAUUUACUUUCUUGCACCCUGGCCGUUGUACGUACGUGUACAUGCUACGUGUGCGCCUCUACUAAAACACGUGCGCGCCUCUACAUCGACCAAUAUGUACGUACACGUUCGCGACCAGAAUGACAAUGCUACGUACACUUCGACCAGGUGGGUCCCGACUGUCAGGCAAUUCCUUGCGUGCGAAGAUGUAGCUGGUGGGUCCCAGCAGUCAGGGGGUGAAUCGUUUUUUUGCCCGGACGCACUUCCUUGCGUGCGAAGAUGUAGCUAGUGGGUCCCAGAAGUCAGUGGGCGAAUCAUUUUUUUGCCUGUAAUAUGGAUGCACUUCCUUGCAUGCGAAGAUGUAGCUGGUAGGUCCCAGCAGUCCAGGGGGAAAUUUUUUUUUCACGAAAUACGGUGGCCCAUCCGGUGGGUCCCCGCUGUCAGGUGGAGGAAUAAUUAUUUUUCGCAUAAUAAAGAGGCACUUCCUUGCGGCUGCCGUGGACCCAGCUGUCAGCCUCACCACGUACAGUACUCUUCCAAUGGAAUUCGGUAGUUGACCACAUUGACCACGCCGCGCCGAGAGCACCACGGCGGUGGAUGACGGCGAGACCUAGGAAGGGAACGAAGCGGAGAUGCUACCUCUUGAGCACUGCGUUGGAUUUCCCCGAAGAGGAGAGGAUGAUGCAGCAAAGUAGCGUAAGUAUUUCCCUCAGUUUUUGAGAACCAAGGUAUCAAUCCAGUAGGAGACUACGCACAAGUCCCUCGUACCUACACAAAACGAUAGCUCCUCACAACCAAUGCGAUUAGGGGUUGUCAAUCCCUUCACGGUCACUUACGAGAGUGAGAUCUGAUAGAGAUGAUAAAUAAUAUUUUUGGUAUUUUUGGUAUAUAGAUGCAAAGUGAAAAGUAAAAGGAAAAGUAAGAACCAAGCAAGUAAUAAAGUAAUGGAGAUUGAUAUGAUGAGAAUAGACCCCAGGGCCAUAGGUUUCACUAGUGGCUUCUCUCAAGAGCAUAGAUAUUCUACGGUGGGUGAACAAAUUACUGUUGAGAAAUUGACAGAAUUGAGCAUAAUUAUGAGUAUAUCUAGGUAUGAUCAUGUAUAUAGGCAUCACGUCCAAGACAAGUAGAUCGAAACGAUUCUGCCUCUACUACUAUUACUCCACUCAUCGACCGCUAUCCAGCAUGCAUCUAGAGUAUUAAGUUAAAAACAGAGUAAUGCCUUAAGCAAGAUGACAUGAUGUAGAGGGUUAAAUUCAUGCAAUAUGAUAAAAACCCCAUCUUGUUAUCCUCGAUGGCAACAAUACAAUACGUGCCUUGCUGCCCCUUCUGUCACUGGGAAAGGACACCGCAAGAUUAAACCCAAAGCUAAGAACUUCUCCUAUUACAAGAACUACCAAUCUAGUUGGCCAAACCAAACGGAUAAUUCGAAGAGACUUGCAGAGCUAACUCAAUCAUACAUAAAAGAAUUCAGAGAAGAUUCAAAUAUUAUUCAUAGAUAAGAUGGAUCAUAAACCCACAAUUCAUCGGUCUCAACAAACACACCGCAAAAAGAAGAUUACAUCGAAUAGAUCUCCACGAGAGAGGGGGAGAACAUUGUAUUGAGAUCCAAUAAGAGAGAAGAAGCCAUCUAGCUACUAGCUAUGGACCCGAAGGUCUGAAGUAAACUACUCACACUUCAUCGGAGGGGCUAUGGUGUUGAUGUAGAAGCCCUCCGUGGUGCAUGCCCCCUCCGGCGGAGCUCCGGAACAGGCCCCAAGAUGGGAUCUUGUGGAUACAGAAGGUUGCAGCGGUGGAAUUAGGUUUUUGGCUCCUCCCCUGAUCGUUUGGGGUACGUAGGUAUAUAUAGGAGGAAGGAGUAUGUCGGUGGAGCAACAGGGGGGCCACGAGGCAGGGGGCGCGCCCUAGGGGGGGGGCACCCCCGACCCUCGUGACCGACUCUUUUGUUCCUUGGAGUAGGGUCCAAGUCUCCUGGAUCAUGUUCGGUGAGAAAAUCACGUUCCCGAAGGUUUCAUUCCGUUUGGACUCUGUUUGAUAUUCCGUUUCUUCGAAACACUGAAAUAGGCAAAAAACGGCAAUUCUGGGCUGGGCCUCCGGUUAAUAGGUUAGUCCAAAAAUAAUAUAAAAGUGGAAAAUAAAACCCAAUAUAGUCCAAAACAGUAGAUAAAGUAGCAUGGAGCAAUCAAAAAUUAUAGAUACGUUGGAGACGUAUCGGGCAUCCCCAAGCUUAAUUCCUGCUCGUCCUCGAGUAGGUAAAUGAUCAAAAGAGAAUUAUUGAUGUGGAAUGCUACCUAGCAUAAUUCUCAAUGUAAUUUUCUUUAUUGUGGCAUAAAUGUUCAGAUCCAAAUGAUUCAAAAUAAAAGUUCAUAUUGAUAAAAGAAAUAUUAACACUUCAAGCAUACUAAUCAAAGUAAUCAUGUCUUCUCAAAAUAACAUGGCAAAAGAAAGUUCAUCCCUACAAAAUCAUAUAGUUAGGCUAUGCUUCAUUUUCGUCACACAAAGAUGUUCCCAACUUCUAUACCCCCGAUGACAAGCCAAGCAAUUGUUUCAUACUCAAAUAAUCUCAAACUUCUUCAACCUUCACGCAAUACAUGAGCUUGAGCCAUGGAUAUAGCACUAUGGGUGAAAUAGAAUAUGAUGAUGGGGAUUGUGUGGAGAAGACAAACAAGGAGAAAGUCUCACAUUCACGAGGAUAAUCAACAGGCUAUGGAGAUGCCCAUCAAUUGAUGUCAACAUGAGGAGUAGGGAUUGCCAUGCAACGGAUGCACUAGAGCUAUGAAUGCUCAACAAAAGUAAAACUAGUGGGUGUGCAUCCAACUCGCUUGCUCAUGAAGACCUAGGGCAUUUGAGGAAGCCCAUGGUAGGAAUAUACAAGCCAAGUUCUAUAAUGAAAAAUUCCCACUAGUAUAAAAAGACAACUUAUGAGACUCACUACAUGAAGAACAAGGUGCUACUUUGAAGCACAAUAUAUGAGACUCACUACAUGAAGAACAAGGUGCUACUUUGAAGCACAAGUGUGGAAAAGAGAUAGUAGCAUUGCCCUUUUUAUUUACUUUCUUUUUUUAUUUUUUUUAUUUUUUGGGCCUUUCUUCCUUUUUUUUCUUUUUUUUCUUUUUUGGCAAUGCUCUAAUAAUGAUGAUCAUCACACUUCUAUUGAUUACAACAUAAGGAUUACAACUCGAAACUUAGAACAAGAUAUGACUCUAUAUGAAUGCCUCCGGCGGUGUACAGGGAUGGUGCAAUGAAUCAAGAGUUACAUGUAUGAAAAAUAAUGCAUGGUGGCUUUGCCACAAAUACGAUGUCAACUACAUGAUCAUGCAAUGGCAAUAUGACAAAAGUAAUGUAUGUCAUGAUGAUGAUGAUGGAAGUUGCAUGGAAAUAUAUCUCGAAAUGGCUAUGGAAAUGCCAUGAUAGGUAGGUAUGGUGGCUUUUUUGAGGAAGAUAUAAGGAGGUUUAUGUGUGAUAGAUCGUAUCGUAUCACAGGGUUUGGAUGCACCGACGAAGUUUGCACCAACUCUCAAGGUGAGAAAGGGCAAUGCACGGUACCGAUGAGGCUAGCAAAGGCGGAAAGGUAAAAGUGCGUAUAAUCCAUGGACUCAACAUUAGUCAAAAGAACUCAUAUACUUAUUGCAAAAAUUUAGAAGUCAUCAAAAAUCAAGUACUACGCGCAUGCUCCUAGGGGGAUAGAUUGGUAGGAAAAGACCAUCGCUCGUCCCCGACCGCCACUCAUAAGGAUGCACAAGCCAGGUACACUUCAUGUUUCAAAUUUUUUACACAACUUUAACCAUACGUGCAUGCUACGGGACUUGCAAACUUCAACACAAGCAUCUCAAAUUCACAAUUACUCAACUAGCACGACUUUUAUAUUAUCACCUCCAUAUCUCAAAACAAUUAUCAAGCAUCAAACUUAUCUUAGUAUUCAACGCACUCAAAAGAAAGUUUCACAUAUCUUGAAUACCAAGUAUAUUAAUAUUAAGCAAAUUACCAUGCUAUUAACGACUCUCAAGAUAAUCUAAGUGAAGCAUGAGAGAUCAAUAGUUUCUUUAAAACAAAUCCACCACCAUGCUCUAAAAGAUCUAAGUGAAGCACUAGAGCAAAAAUUAUCACGCUCAAAAGAUAUAAGUGAAGCACUAUGAGCAAAACUAUCAAGCUCAAAAGAUAUAAGUGAAGCACAUAGAGUAUUCUAGCAAAUUCCAAUUCAUGUAUGGCUCUCUCAAAAGGUGUGUACAGCAAGGAUGAUUGUAGUAAACUAACAAGUAAAGACAAAAAUAAUACAAGACGCUCCAAGCAAAACACAUAUCAUGUGGUGAAUAAAAAUAUAGCUCCAAGUAAAUUACCGAUGGAAGUAGACGAAAGAGGGGAUGCCUUCCGGGGCAUCCCCAAGCUUUGAAUUUUUGGUUUCCUUGGAUUAUCUUUGGGGUGCCAUGGGCAUCCCCAAGCUUAGGAUCUUGCCACUCCUUGUUCCAUAAUCCAUCAAAAGAAUUCACCCAAAACUUGAAAACUUCACAACACAAAACUCAAUAGAAAUCUCGUGAGCUCCGUUAGAGAAAGAAAACAAAAAACUACUUAAAGGUACUGUAAUGAACUCAUUCUUUAUUUAUAUUGGUGUUAAACCUAAUGUAUUCCAACUUCUCUAUGGAUUAUAAACUAUUUUACUAGCCAUAGAUUCAUCAAAAUAAGCAAACAACACACGCAAAACAGAAUCUGUCAAAAACAGAACAGUCUGUAGCAAUCUAUAACUAACGCAAACUUCUGGAACUCUAAAACUCCUACCAAAAUAGGAAGUCCUGUACAAUUUUUUUAUUGAACAGAAUAAAAAAGAAUCAACGCAAAAUCACGUUUCUGUGAUUUAAAAAAAUUAUAUUCGUGCGUGCAAAGUUUCUGUUUUUCAGCAGAAUCAAAUCAACUAUCAUCGUAGGUUAUCCUAUAGGUUCUACUUGGCACAAACACUAAUUAAAAUAUAAAACCACAUCCAAACAGAGGCUAGAUGGAUUAUUUAUUCCUAAACAGAAGCAAAAACAAAAAAACAAAAAUAAAAUUGGGUUGCCUCCCAACAAGCUCUAUUGUUUAACGCCCCUAGCUAGGCAUAAAAGCAAGGAUAGAUCUAGGUAUUGCCAUCUUUGGUAGGCAAUCCAUAAGUGGAUCUCAUGAUAAAUUCAUAUGGUCAUUUUAUUUUCUUUCUAGGGAAGUUUUCCAUGCCCUUCUUUAAGGGAAAUUGUAAUCUAAUAUUCCCUUCCUUCAUAUCAAUAAUUGCACCAAUCGUUCUAAGGAAAGGUCUACCAAGAAUAAUAGGACAUGAAGGAUUGCAAUCUAUAUCAAGAAUGAUAAAAUGUACGGGCACAUAAUUCCUAUUUGCAACAAUAAGAACAUCAUUAGUUCUUCCCAUAGCCUUUUUAAUAGUGGAAUCCGCAAGUGCAAGUUUAGAGAGCAAUCAUCAAAGUCGCGGAAAUCUAGCAAAUCACACAAAGUUUUGGGAAUAGUAGAGACACUAGCACCCAAAUCACACAAAGCAUGAAACUCAUAAUCUUUAAUUUUAAUUUUAGUAGUAGGUUCCCACUCAUCAUAGAGUUUUCUAGGGAUGGAAGCUUUCAACUCAAGUUUUUCUUCAUAAGAUUACAUCAAGGCAUCAACAAUGUGUUCGGUAAAGGCCUUAUUUUGACUAUAAGCAUGAGGAGAAUCUAGCACGGAUUGCAACAAGGAAAUACAAUCAAUUAAAGAGCAAUUUUCAUAAUUAAAUUCCUUGAGAUCCAAAAUAGUGGGUUUAGCAACAUCUAGGUUUUUAUUUCUUUCAAUCGCACUUUUAUCAAUUUCGUCAUCAAGAUCUAGAAACUCCGAAUUCUUAGAACGCUGUCUAGGUAAAGGAAGAUCAUAUUCAGUUUCAUGAAGAUUCAUAUUGCAAAACAAGGAUUUAAUGGGGGACACAUCAAUAACUUUUAGAUCUUCAUCUUGAUUUUCAUAGGAAUUGGAAGAACAGGCUUUAAUAAAGGCAUCUUUGGAAGCACGCAUCCUAGCGGUUCUUUCUUUGCAGUCAUCAAUGGAAAUUCUCAUGGCUUUGAGAGACUCAUUGAUAUCAUGCUUAAGAGGAAUAGACCUAAGCUUUAAAGAAUCAAUUUCAAGAGAAAUUCUAUCAACAUUCCUAGACAAAUCAUCAACUUUAAUCAAUUUCUCUUCAAGCAAAGCAUUAAAAUUCUUUUGUGAAUUCAUAAACUCUUUAACACUACUCUCAAAUUCAGAGGGCAUCUUAUUAAAAUUUCCAUAAGAGUUGUUGUAGGAAUUUCCAUAAUUAUUAGAAGGAUUACUAGGAUAAGGCCUAGGAUUAAAAUUCCCUCUAUACGUGUUGUUUCCAAAACUAUUCCUACCAACAAAAUUCACAUCCAUAGAUUCAUUACUAUUCUCAAUGAAAGUAGACAAGGGCAUAUCAUUGGGAUCAAGAGAAGUAGUUUUAGUAGCAAACAUCUUCAUAAGUUCAUCCAUCUUUUCACUCAAAACAUUGAUUUCUUCUAUAGCAUGCACUUUUUUACUAGAAGAUCUUUCGGUGUGCCAUUGAGAAUAAUUAGCCAUAAUAUUAUCAAGCAAUUUUGUAGCAUCUCCUAACGUAAUUUCCACAAAUGUGCCUCCCGCGGCUGAAUCUAAAAGAUUUCUAGAAGCAAAAUUCAAUGCAGCAUCAAAUUUUUGUAUGAUCAUCCAUAAAUUCAAACCAUGAGUAGGGCAAUUGUGAAGCAUAAAUUUCAUUCUUUCCCAUGAUUGGGCAACAUGCUCAUGAUCAAGUUGUUUAAAAUUCAUAAUAUCGUUCCUAAGAGUGAUGAUCUUAGCAGGAGGAAAAUACUUAGAGAUAAAAGCAUCUUUGCACUUGUUCCAAGAAUCAAUACUAUUUUUAGGCAAAGAAGAAAACCAAACUUUAGCAUGAUCUCUAAGUGAAAACGGAAAUAACUUCAAUUUGACAAUAUUGUUAUCCGUAUCUUUCUUCUUUUGCAUAUCACACAAAUCAGCAAAAUUGUUUAGAUGAGUAGCGGCACCUUCACUAGGAAGGCCGGUGAAUUGAUCUUUCAUAACAAGAUUUAGCAAAGCGGCAUUGAUUUCACAAGACUCAUCAUUAUUAAGAGGCAAUAGAAGUACUAAGCAAAUCAUUAUUAUUGGUAUUUGAGAAGUCACACAAUUUGGUAUUAUCUUGCGUCAUGGCAACAAGUAAUCCAACACACAAGCAAACAGAAAGGCAAAGGGAAAAGGCAAACGGGAAAAAGAGGAGGAGAUUGGGAAAGAGAGGGCGAAUAAAACGGCAAGGGUGAAGUGGGGGAGAGGAAAACGAGAGGCAAAUGGCAAAUAAUGUAAUGCGAGAGAUAGGGAUUGUGAUGGGUACUUGGUAUGGUUGACUUGCUCUUGGUGAGCCUCCCCGGCAACGGCGCCAGAAAUUCUUCUUGCUACCUCUUGAGCACUGCGUUUGAUUUCUCCGAAGAGUCGAGGAUGAUGCAGCAAAGUAGCGUAAGUUUUUCCCUCGGUUUUUGAGAACCAGGGUAUCAAUCCAGUAGGAGACCACGCACAAGUCCCUCGUACCGUGUCAAUCCCUUCACAGUCACUUACGAGAGUGAGAUCUGAUAGAGAUGAUAAAUAAUAUUUUGGUAUUUUUGGUAUAUAGAUGCAAAGUGAAAAGUAAAAGGCAAAGUAAGAACAAAGCAAGUAAUAAAGUAAUGGAGAUUGAUAUGAUGAGAAUAGACCUGAGGGCCAUAGGUUUCACUAGUGGCUUCUCUCAAGAGCAUAGAUAUUCUAUGGUGGGAGAACAAAUUACUGUUGAGCAAUUGACAGAAUUGAGCAUAAUUAUGAGUAUAUCUAGGUAUGAUCAUGUAUAUAGGCAUCACGUCCAAGACAAGUAGAUCGAAACGAUUCUGCAUCUACUACUAUUACUCCACUCAUCGACCGCAAUCCAGCAUGCAUCUAGAGUAUUAAGUUAAAAAUAGAGUAAUGCCUUAAGAAAGAUGACAUGAUGUAGAGGGAUAAAUUCAUGCAAUAUGAUAAAAACCCCAUCUUGUUAUCCUCGAUGGAAACAAUACAAUACGUGCCUUGCUGCCCCUUCUGUCACUAGGAAAGGACACCGCCAGAUUGAACCCAAAGCUAAGCACUUCUCCCAUUGCAAGAACUACCAAUCUAGUUGGCCAAACCAAACGGAUAAUUCGAAGAGACUUGCAAAGAUAACUCAAUCAUACAUAAAAGAAUUCAGAGAAUAUUCAAAUAUUAUUCAUAGAUAAGAUGGAUCAUAAACCCACAAUUCAUUGGUCUCAACAAACACACCACAAAAAGAAUAUUACAUCGAAUAGAUCUCCACGAGAGAGGGGGAGAACAUUGUAUUGAGAUCCAAAAAGAGAGAAGAAGCCAUCUAGCUACUAGCUAUGGACCCAAAGGUCUGAAGUAAACUACUCACACUUCAUCGGAGGGGCUAUGGUGUUAAUGUAGAAGCCCUCCAUGGUGGAUGCCCCCUCCGGCGGAGCUCCAGAACAGGCCCCAAGAUGGGAUCUCGUGGAUACAUUAGGUUGUGGCGGUGGAAUUAGGUUUUUGGCUCCUCCCCUGAUCAUUUGGGGGUACGUAGGUAUAUAUAGGAGGAAGGAGUACAUUGGUGGAGCAACAGGGGGGCCACGAGGCAGGGGGGCGUGCCCUAGGGGGGGAGGCGCCCCCCACCCUCGUGACCGACUCUUUUGUUCCUUGGAGCAGGGUCCAAGUCUCCUAGAUCACGUUCGGUGAGAAAAUCACGUUCCCGAAUGUUUCAUUCCGUUUGGACUCCGCUUGAUAUUUCAUUUCUUCGAAACACUGAAAUAGGCAAAAAAUAGCAAUUCUGGGCUGGGCCUCCGGUUAAUAGGUUAGUCCCAAAAAUAAUAUAAAAGUGGAAAAUAAAGCCCAAUAUAGUCCAAAACAGUAGAUAAAGUAGCAUGGAGCAAUCAAAAAUUAUAGAUACGUUGGAGACGUAUCAGGAGCCGGGGAAGACGCGGCAGUGGAUGCUCACGCAGAGAGGAGUACGAGGGUUCACUGGUUCGGCUGCACUGCCGUCACCGCAGAAUAAUAGGGGGUGUGGGUGAGUGCAGUGGAGGGAUGACCUGGCUAGCGGUGGGAGUAGUAUGGGGUCGACGAGGCCUCCGCAGCAGCACAGCCAACCACGGUAGGCAGGAGCAGGCGGCACGACCGGCGAUGCUUUAGGCGGCUGGAGCAAGAAGACCAGAGGUUGAAGAAGCACUACGGCCGUUGGAUGGACAUCGUACGGUCAAUCGAGCUAGAAUCGUGCAUAUUGACUAAGUUGACAAAGCCCUCCGUCCCUGUCAACUUAGUAUGCCCACUAUACUGGGUUCCAGCAAGCAGGGGGAGUAUUCAUUUUUUUAUGUGCGUAAUAAGGAGGCACUUCCUUGCGUGCGAAGAUAUAGCUGGUGGGUCCGAGCUGUUAGCGGCGGUAAUGUUUUUUUCAUGAAAUACAUAGGCCCUUUCGGUGGGUCCCAGAUGUCAGAUGGAGGAAUCAUUAUUUUGCGCGUAAUAAGGAGGCAUUUCCUUGCAUGCAGCAAUGGACCCAGCUGUCAGCCUCUCCACGUACAGUCCACUUCGGAUGCAUGUCGGUCGUUAACCAUGUUGACCACGCCACGCCGAGAGCACUAGGGCGGUGGACGGCGGUGAGGCCUAGGAAGUGAACGACACGGAGCCAGGGAAGACUCGGCAGUUGUUUCCCACGCGGACGGGAGUACGAUUGUACGAGGGUUUACUGGUUCGUCUGCCGUCGCCAGAGAAUAACAACGGGUGUGGGUGAGUAGAGGGAUGGCUAGGCCAGUGAUGGGAGUACGAUGGGGCGGUGAGGCCUACGCGGCAGCACAGCUAGCCGCGGGGAGGAGGGAGCAGGCAGUCCCGCCGGUGCUUGUUUGAGCGGCUGGAGUAGCAAGAGUAGAGAUUGAAGAAGCACGACGGCUGUUGGAUGGAUAUCCAACAGUCACUGCUUGUGCGUCAACCCUUUUUUAGGAAUGCCUCAAAUCUGUGGAAAACUGAUUACAGGCCAUCUGCCAUUAUAUCUAAUAAUUUACAACCCAUUUGCUAAUUCUUACAGUUGUUUUUGGAGCCCAUAUUCUUUUUGAUAGCAUUACAGCCCAUAUUGUGGCCACGGUUAAAAAAUUAUAUGAAAUUUUGCAUAUGUCGGUGUGGUCUGAACUGUUUUUAAUCCCGAAAUUUCGAGUCACAUUCAGACUGAUUUUAAAAAUAAAUGUAUAUCAAUAUAAAAUCCAAUAAAUUGUCCAUGCAUAAAAAUCAAUGCAAUUUAAAAUCUCGAAAUGAAAAAAAGAUAUUUGAAACUAAUUGCUGGUUUGAUGUGUUUUAAAAAUGUACAACCCAUUUCUCAUUACUGAUAGGCCAUUUUCUCGUCCAGCCGAAUGAAGCUCUCCUUGUCUUGAAAGAUUUGCAGCCCAACAGGCCUGAUAAAGCGACUUACUUGACAAAUCACAAAAAAACUAGGCUAGCCAUUUUUAGAAAGAAAAAAAAACUACUGGGCUGGUCUGUGGUAAACAGAAAAGAAAAGGCUGUCUAGGCAGGCCAGAGUGUCCCGCACAGCCCAGUUGACACCCUGCUUCCGUCUCAAAAACAAAUUAGAUAAAUGCCACUCCAAUUAUGGCAAUUCAUAAAAAUGCCACUGCAAUUUCCAAACUUUGAAAAAUGCCACUGCAAUUUUUGCAAACUUUGAAAAACGCCACUGCAGUUUGCAAACUUUGAAAAACGCCACUCCAGACUUCGAAAAAUGCCACUAGAAAUGACAUGAAAUGGCAUUUUUCAUAGUUUGGGAAUUGCAGUGGCAUUUCUCGGAAACACCAGAUUUGGAGUGGCAUUUAUAAAAUUAAACCAAAACAAAAAUAAUUGGGCGAUAUGCUGGGUCCCUGGUGUCAGCCGCUCGUUGUGCAAUUCUCUCGUUUAUUGACUACGUUGACAAUGGCAUCGGACCCACAUGUCAGAAAUCCACUGGGAGGAGCCAUUUUUUUAUUGGCUUGAAAUAAGGAGGCACUUGCUUGCGUACUGCCAUGACCUUGGCGGGUCCCUGCUGUCAUCCUUUCCAUGCACAAUCAUCUCCUGAUUGUGUACGCGUCAAGUUGGUAGGCCCACAAGUCAGCCUCUAAACCCGUGGAGGACAAAUACAACCCAUUUAAAAAAAUAACAUCCCAUUCCAUAUGUUCGAAUGGAAAGUUCAACAUUCAAAGCAAAGUAACAGGUCUGAUCCACAUAUAGAGUACUGAACUUCCACAUUGACAACCAUCAUAGCCAAGUUAACUAUCUACUCCCACUAAUACUCUAGUAGCAUACAAGUACUAACUUACUCUUAGCUAACUAGACGAUGCCGACCGCCAUCUGUGGUAGACGCUAAACGCCAGCACCGGCGUCCUGCGCCUCGCCUCGGACUUGCAAGAGGUGCGAUAGGGCGCGUUGCUCGCGCGCGUUGGCCCUUUCCAUGCCGGCGUGGUCCACCGAAGCUUCGGCUUCCAAGCGGGAAAUCCACUUGACGAGCUGGUAGUAAAAAUUGGCGUCGCAAACGCGUGCGUGCCCGACAGCCUCCGGGGCUAUUUGCCGGGCGCCGGCCUCCACGUAGUCGGCCCAGUUGCGGGCACUCUGCUCGUGACUCAGAGCGUCGGUGCGCUGCUGCUCUAUGUCCCGCUGGCAGCGCAAAUUGGCAAUACGCUGCUCCUCCGCCAUGCGGUCGCGCUCCAACAAGUCUUGCUCCUCCGCCAGGCGGUCGCGCUCCAACCAAUCCUCGAUCUCCGCAUUGCCAUCUAAAGACAGAUAGAAUGCCUCCUCCCUCCGUCUGCCUUCCGGUGAAAAACCGAACACUAGUUCCGGCGGUGACCGCCUCCGGCGUCGCCUACGGCGGACGGGCGGGGCAUGGCGGACGUGGCGAGCAACGUCGGGCCGGUGGGGGCUUAUGAGGACAUGGCGAGUUGGGUCACGGUGCCACCGGAGAAGGCCGGGAAAUAGUACUUAUAGGCGGAAGGUAGCGCAACGGUCAUCGGAAUUCAAUGCAUAAGCAGGCAUGGCUUAGCGCGCCAGCUUGCCAUGGAAAACUAGAGAAACUGAAAUUAUGACUGUGUCGUCCCGUCCCGUCUGGGUCACACACCGGCAUGGCGGUCAAACGAGUGCACUCGAAUCAUCUCCCUCCUUGUCAAUAAUGAUUCCACGGAUUUAAAAAGCCCGCAACAAUUAAAGCGCAUCUUCUUUUGCAUCAGUUAGCUUACUUAAUUAUGGCCGGCUGCAUGAAGGCACUUAGAAUUGCUCGCAGCUAGUACGUGGAGCAGCAUGCAACAUGUCGCAGCCGAGAGCACACAUGCAGCCACUUAAAUCGCUGGAAUUAAUUAGGCUUAAACUUCUGCAUGCCAUUAAUUAUUGCCAUGCCUUGGUCUUGCUGCUUUGCUCACGGGACUAAUAAACCUGGAGGAGGGAGUACCCUGGUUGGUGAGAGGUUUGAAUUAAGCCCUGCAAACCGGAAAGGAGGUACUAGUACGUGCAUGAUCCGCUAUUUAUUUGUGUAGGAUCGAGUAGGUCGUUUCUUGAAUUGAGCCCUGCAAAUCGGAAAGGAGGCAGUACGUGCGUGAUCUGCUAUUUAUCCAUGUAGGAUCGAGUAGGUAGGAUAGUGUAGCUUGUCAGUUUCUUCAGAGGUAGGCAUUUUUAUUCAAAAAGCUGCCACUUCGGAUCUUGCCUCGCAAAUAAAACUGCCAGGAGCGCAUUAGUAGGCUAGCUAGUGAUCGAUCAGUAACUUGUAAACACUGAGCGAACAGAAAUAAGUAACUGUUAAUGCAUCUCAAUGAUUCACAGAUCAUAUACAAAUAUGUAGCUCCAAAAGCAAAGAUCAGCCACUUCGGAUCUUGCGUCGCAACUAAAACUAACUAGUACGAUUCCCAUACAUAAGAUCAACAUGUUAAUGCAUCUCAAUGAUUCAUAGAUCAUAUACAAAUAUGUAGCUCCAAAAGCAAAGAUCUGGAAAAAACAUUUGUUCUUCCUACUAACAUGGAUGCCUCUCUUUGCCAACAUUCAGUACAGACUGAAAGACAAAUUUGUUUGUGAAGUCUACAAUUCCUCUUGCAAACGUAAGUGGUUUCACUAACAGCUGGAACCAGGAUAAUGAACCACACAUGAUGGAGGAACAUCCACUGCAAUAUGAUUUGGUCUUCUCUUGAUCACACUGCGAGAUUAUUUUCGGAAUACAAACUUUAACUUAGGCAAAAUGAUGCCCAUUGUAUAAUCAGACCAAAGCAAUGAAGCACCUAGUGUUGGCCAAUAAAUAGUACAGUACUACUUUUCUGCAGUCCAUGAAGUGACUAUCCAAUCUUUCUGUGUCUAUUUUCAAAUGGCACUGCAUGCGGUAACUAUACUAUUCUCUUGCGCAGUUCAACCAAAAUUACGGACACUUUGCUUGUUUGCCAAAUAGCAAUGGGCAGACAUCUCUGUCUACACAAAUAUCAAGCAGCUAGUAAACAUAUACCACACCUUGUAUUUUCGGUUUAAACAUGUCUCUUCCGCUUAGCAUCUAUCAUGUUCUGCACUGGACAAUCUGAUACAGUUAUGUUUUGCCCUGGACAAUUUCAUACUGAAUUGAUUUGCUGGUUCAGAGCAGAAAUAUAGUGCCUAUUCUUCAUCAGACCAAGGAUAUCCAUAUUCCCAGUGACGGAAGAGGUGAAAUUGAUACAACCGAAAUUGAGCAUCCAAUCAUUGAAUCCUGUCCUGCACCUCCAAUGUAGGUCCACCUUGCCAAUAAAUUCACUUGCAAACCACUAGUAUUACUAUCUAAUGACAGUACAAAAAGAGCAGCAAAAUAGUAGCAAACCAUGUACCUUCGUAAUGAACAGCUCAUAGUGCCACCAAUUGGAUAUAAAGGUUUGGAAGAAAACAUGCUCCUAAUGUUGAACCAGUUGGACUUUUUGUGCAGUUCCACUAAAAUCGAGCAUCCCUGUUUGCAUAGAUAUUGAAAGUGUGAUUACUAUAAAAAUGGCACUAGUUGAAGCAUAUUCUCACAAAUAUAAGCAUUCCUUCUUAAUGGAAAAGGUAGCAAGACUAUUUCUAACCACCUGUUUGAAGGAAUAAAUAAGGCAACAAUGGCUGAUGUCAGAAAGGCAUAUAUAGUUCUUUUUGAAAGAAUGAUCGACUCCUGACCUUUUCUCUUCUUUUAUGCAUAUUUUGUGCAGUUCAACUAAAAUAAAAUGCCAUCGCCACCUUGAAAAUUCAGUGACACUGUACAAAAGGAAAUGACUUAACAUUACAUCAUGAUGUCAGGUAUGUAGUCCACAGGCAUUAGAGACAAACAUACAGACCUUCUCCGAUAACAUAAUGAACAUUAAUUUUAACAAAGGUGUGACUAGCUUUACCGGGAUAAUUUGAGUGAACUCUACACCCUCUGUUCCUUAAUAUAAGACAUUUUCACGGUUCAAUUUAAAGUACCCAAACGUCUAGUAUUUAGAAAAACAGGUAGUAGUUUUCUUGAGCACAUAUCUGGGAAAGUUUGCCACACUUUAUUUAUGUCCAUACGCUAAUGCAACACCAUUCGAAUACUACAAAUAUACACUAAUCCAGUGGCUAGUGCAACAGUAGAGUAGUUAGUUUAUUACAGAGUACAGUACAAUGGUUUUACUGAACAGAUUUCAAUAAACUCUAGCACUGGAAGAUUUCUAUAAGAAUUAACAAUACAAAAUGUACAGGUAACAAGUUUCAACAUUGGUAUACUAGCUAUGCAUGAGCAUUAAACCAAAUACAAAAGUCUGAAGGUAACUAGCAUUAUUAACUAAUGACAGUAUAAAAAAUUGCAAACCAUGUACCUCCACGGUAAAUAUCAUUUCGAACUCGGGGGGACCUUAAAACUUGCUAUCCCAAUCUUGAUAAUCGAUCAAACAUAAAAACUUGAUCGAACGAAUCAAGAGAACAACCAGAGGAGGAGGUGCCUACUCUUGACCUUUCCUCUUGUCUUCAUAAUUUUUUGUGCAGUUUAACCAAAAUAAAAUGACAUCAGUGCCUUGGCAUUUUGGUGACACUGUACAAAAAAAUUAACUUAUCUCAUGAAAGUGAGGUAUGUAAUCUAUAAGCAUUAACAGUGCAAAAAUCUGAAGGUAGUAACAAGUUUCAUCGUUGGUAUACUAGUUGUGCAACAACAUUAGAAUGCCUUAGCUGAAAAAUCUUUAAUAGAUCCACAAUCAACAACUAACCCUGAAAUAAUCCAGUGACAUUAAAUGGCAUUGCUUAAAUUUAUCGGUGGCAUUAGACUGAGAGCGACAUUAGUUAAAUGUGGCAUCACUUUGGUAGUAGCAUUCCUUGACUUGACUGCUAGCAUCAUACUAACAACAAAAAAGUGGCAAUAAGAUCAUGGGAGGCCCAUUCGGACAGUGGGUGCACCAGUACGAUGUUCCUCCACGGACGCAGAGUGGUGAGGGAGGUAUGGUUGCCCAGAGCAACAAAUAUGUAGACAUCAUAUGUGAAUUACGUCCCUUUUUUGUUCUAUUUAGCCACCUCUUUCCUAUGUGAGGAAAACAAACCGAUCGACCUGGUCAUUCUCUAUUGCGUUGUCAUGCCUUUCUACCCUUCUUCAACCAAGAGACAUGAGACUCGUUCCUUAGCUACUGAUUUUCCCCUUUUCAACCUAGAUGCGGGUUCGAUGCCUACUCUCUUGGACAGUACAGUCUCCCUUCCUUUCCUUAUUCAACCCAGACAUGGAUUAGUCUGCAUGAAGUAGGGUUUCCUUUAAUAGUGCAAAUUAUGGUUUUUGUCGGUGUGGCCAGCAGAGCAGAGGAUAGCAAAUUGGGAAGAUGGUGGAGUGGAAAAAGAUCCACAUGCAACGACAUGGCAGAUGGGGCAAUAGAACAAGGGUAUGGUUCGAAAGGAGGUAGCAUACCUGAGGGUCAGCGGGAAGUGGCUUCGCUCGUGGUCGUCGUCCUCCGCACACACUAAGGCAGUGAGCUUGGGGACGGAGGCCAUCCCACGCGGGCGCUAGGUUUGAGAGGACGGCCUUGUCGUCAGUGCGUGACCUCGCUCGUCGACGAUGAGUGCGUCAACGCAGCACGUCCUUUUCUUCCCCGGCGGAUCUGUGACCACCGGUGAGGAGGGAGAGAGAGGUCGUCUUUUUUACAUCUAGAGAGAGGGUGAUAGUGUGAGAAGCAAGUAGGCAGCCCUUAUCAGGAAAGCGCUGAAGCUCCAGCCUAUAUAUCUUUUUAUACUACUAGUACUGGAGGUGGAGUAGUGGUAGAGUACUUUAUAUUUUCUCUGCAUACAGUACCAGUUAGUCAUGCUUCAAAACUGAAUGGCAUGCCAUUAAAAGAAUAAAGGUCGAUAACUAAUGCGGCACCUUGGGCCAACACGGCCAGAUUGCAUUUUGCACGAGAAAUUACACACCAUGUUUCGUUGACAUGUGGCCCCGUUCCAACAUAUUACUGAGACGACGGCGAGUCCUUUUCUACUAGUAUUUCCAAACGGACGUGUAGGACGGGGCGCCUCUUCGUGAACCGUGGAAAACUAGCAACCGUCCACCGACUCUUCGCCUUCCCCUCUCGAUUUGGAACUGCUGUCGCACACUCUUCCUCUCCCUCCUCUAUUUUCCUUCAAUCCUCCACCCUUCCUUCUGCCAUUGUUCGAUCGUCUUCUCCAUGGAGGGAACAGGCCGGAAAUGACCCCGUUAUUCUUGCCCUGAUCUGAAAGAUGACAUGGUGGAGGAACUCAUUGAUGGGUGCGACGUCAUCACCUCGGCUAGCAUGGCAUGUUCGUUCAAGACCAUUCUCUACUCAACUAAUAACAUCAUUACAAGGAACCCAAGAGUCAAGGAGCGGUUUGAUAUCCCCAAUCUUCUUCGCUAUGACCCUGAUGACUGGUGCGGGGACGACGGAGGCCUCGCCUUGUGCAAGUUGAUGCCGCUUGAUAAUGAUACGUAUGAUGUUAAGAUGCCAUUGCUUGAGGGUAAGGCUUGGGCAGGCGCAAAUGGAGAUUGGGUUGUUUACAUUGGGUCCAACUGCGAGUGGGAACUUGUGAACGUGUACACUCGUGACCGGGUUCCACUUCCAAAAAUCUCAGCAGACUGCCCAGAGGUUGAGCACAUCGGUAUUGUACGCACGUUCAAAUACGAUCAUGGUGACUGUCUUAUACGGAAGAUAGCAAAUUGUCAAGUUCCCAACCGCUCUUGGAAUUACAAGAACUAUGUUGUUGUUGCUAUCUUCGACAAGCUUGUUGCCGUCCUUCAUGGUUCGACUGGAUGGAUAUUGCUCAAAAAUCAGUUUCUGUACACAGAUGAGUACUGUGAUGCAAUUCAAUACGAGGGCCUUGUGUUUGCUUCCACCACUCAUGGCACUGUUUUUGCAUGGGAUCCUCGUAGUUUUGGUACGUUUGUCUUCCACCGUAAUUAUAAUUGUUUCUUCCACAUGCAUGUGGGUUAGCAAGUUUCCCUUUACUAAUUAACCUUCUUCUUGUGUUUCCAAGGUCCUGUGAACAUUCCACCACCUAUACUUGAAAAUUUUUAUACCAAGGGGGAGAUGACGAUGGUGAUGAUCACGAGCAUGAGGACGAGAAGAACAUAUAUACUCAGUGGCGCCUGGCAUCUAAUUCCGAUGGAUCACCUCCUCUUGUUUGUAUACAGUGCACUGAGUUUGUUACUACUGAGGGAGCAUGUGUUGUCUCCCAUGGUCGCACUCUCCGGACCUAUUCCAACACCCGUUAUAUGGUAUUCAGGAUGGAUACUAUUGUGCUAGCGCCAACACCUUAUCCCUGGUAUAGAAUUGAUAGUCUUGGAGAAAACUCGCUCUUCCUUGGACAAAACUAUCCGAUGAUGGUGAAAGGUGAUCCAACUGUUGUUGACACAAUGUUACUAGUACCAUUUAUGAGAAGCAACUGUGUCUAUACCUUGGACAUUUGGGUGGUUCCCUACCCUGGUAUUGAUAUAGUAGGCCGCUUCAGCCUGGAUGAUCAGUCCUGCGUUGGUUUUGAGAUCGACAAUAGAUGGCCCGUCCCAGAGAAUCACUUGUGGUUCAAAGCAAGCGUUUCCAACGCCGAGGAUUGGUUGAGUUGAAGUUCAUUUCAUUGCUUGUUAUUUGUUGUGUGAUGAAAACUUUAGUAUUUAUAAUGUAUCCUCAUUGUCGAUGUGGGUUGAUGACCUAUUGUAUGUAAUAAAAUGAUAUGCCUGUGAUAAACUUACUAAAUUUAUGAAUGGCUUUCGAGUUGCUUCUCUGAGUGAGUGGUGCGACGAGGAAAAAAAAUAUUUUCCGAAUACAUAAUUGUACGUGCAUUGCAACAGGUUAUCGGAUGAGGCCAAUCAACAAUAGUAGUACACUAUUUGUACUAGCUUCACAUGCUUCGCGCGUCGGGCGGGUGUUUUUACUCUAGCCAUAUGUUAAUGUGUUCACUGUACAUAACCACCAUAUCGAAUCCUCGAUACUCGUACUAUAUAAGUAGUUGGAGUAGUAGGGUGGCAUGGGCCAGAACAAGCAUUCACGUCCAGGAGUACGGCACACGCAACCACCACGACAUCCAUCUGACACCAUAUUUCUUGGAGUCCAUGUAGAGCAAUCUCUUCAACCUCGUCGUUUCUCUAACUUCAACCAUCGCACGACAAUCGAGGUGGGGGUUUGCCGAUAGUCGCUUUCCUCAGCUGCGGUCCCACUUGUAAGGCCAACUCCAACGCAUGACCCCAAACGGACCUCCGUUUUGCACGAACUCCAACGAUAAUUUAGACUAGAAAAGCAAGACCAAAGAAAACAAGAACCACAAGAAUACAUUUUACUAGAAGAUAUCCAACUUCCAUAACUGCUCCUAUAAGUUGCAUUAGUGCCUUCUCGAUGCAUUCAUUGUUGAUCUGCGGAGGCUCGAUCUUGCGUGCUUCUUUCUUCUUCGAGUGUAAGGAAGUAGACGUUGCUUCCUCGCAUCUAGUCUCAUGGCUAGCCUCUAUUCUAGUAGGAGUAUCAACAAGUGCACUAGUCUCAUCUCUAGCCUCUAUGCUAGCUAAAAGUGCUAGAACAUCUACUAAAUUGCACUCUAUCAAUAUAUCCGAUGUCCUCUUCCUCCCAAUACCAAAACUUGCAUCCAUUCUACUCCCUCCAUUCCACAAUGCAUGCCUUCUAUUUGUCAAAAUAUAGAUGUAUCUAGACAUGUUUUCGUAUAUAGGUACAUCCAUUUUUGGACAAAUGGAAGUCAAGUAUUUUGGAACGGAGGGAGUACACAAUAAAAUUUUAAACUAGUCUAAUCCGAGAGCACAACCGAAGAUUUGGUCGGGUUCUUCCUCCUUUUGCCGACACAUGGAACAUUGAUAACCCACAAGUGUAGGGGAUCGCAACAGCUUUCGAGGGUAAAGUAUUCAACCCAAAUUUAUCGACACAAGGGGAGCCAAAGAAUAUUCUUGAGUAUUAGCAGUUGAGUUGUCAAUUCAACCAUACCUAGAUAACUUAGUAUCUGCAGCAAAGUAUUUAGUAGCAAAGUAGUAUGAUAAUAAAGGUAACGGUAGCAAAAGUAAUAUUUUUGGGUUUUGUAGUGAUUGUAACAAUAGCAGCGGAAAAGUAAAUAAGCGAAACACAAGAUGUGAAAAGCUCGUAGGCAAUGGAUCAGUGAUGGAUAAUUAUGUACGAUGCGAUUCCUCAUGUAAUAGCUAUAACAUAGGGUGACACAGAACUAGCUCCAGUUCAUCAAUGUAAUGUAGGCAUGUAUUCCGUAAACAGUCAUACGUGCUUAUGGAAAAGAACUUGCAUGGCAUCUUUUGUCCUACCCUCCCGUGGCAGCGGGGUCUUAGUGGAAACUAAGGGAUAUUAAGGGCUCCUUUUAAUAGAGAACCGGAACAAAGCAUUAGAACAUAGUGAAUACAUGAACUCCUCAAACUACGGUCAUCACCGAGAAGUAUCCCGAUUAUUGUCACUUCAGGGUUGUCGGAUCAUAACACAUAAUAGGUGACUAUAGACUUGCAAGAUAGGAUCAAGAACACACAUAUAUUCAUGAAAACAUAAUAGGUUCAGAUAUGAAAUCAUGGCACUCGGGCCCUAGUGACAAGCAUUAAGCAUAGCAAAGUCAUAGCAACAUCAAUCUCAGAACAUAGUGGAUACUAGGGCUCAAACCCUAACAAAACUAACUUGAUUACAUGAUAAAUCUCAUCCAACCCAUCACCGUGCAGCAAGCCUACGAUGGAAUUACUCAUGCACAACAGUGAGCAUCAUGAAAUUGGUGAUGGAGGAUGGUUGAUGAUGACGACAGUGACGAAUCCCCCUCUCCGGAGCCCCGAACGGACUCCAGAUCAGCCCUCCCGAGAGAGAUUAGGGCUUGGCGGCGGCUCCGUAUCGUAAAACGCGAUGAAACUUUCUCCUUGAUUUUUUUCUCUGCGAGACGGAAUAUAUGGAGUUGGAGUUAAGGUCCGCGGAGCCUCAGGGGGCCCACGAGACAGGGGGGCGCGCCCAGGGGGAGGGUGCGCCCCCACCCUCGUGGACAGGGUGUGGGCCCCCUGGUCUUGAUUCUUUUGCCAGUAUUUUUUAUAUUUUCCAAAAAGUGCCUCCGUAGAUUUUCAGGACAUUUCGAGAACUUUUGUUUUCUACACAUAAAACAACAUCAUGACAGUUCUGCUGAAAACAGCGUCAGUCUGGGUUAGUUUCAUUCAAAUCAUGCAAGUUAGAGUCCAAAACAAGGGCAAAAGUGUUUGGAAAAGUAGAUACAUUGGAGACGUAUCAGACAUCCAGCAUCUAGGUCGUGUCAUGUAAGAAAAUAGAGUGGUAGUUGAAGCCACGUGAUGUGCAUCUUGGGUUAAACUGUAAAUAGAAUCUUACUACUCUUGAGUAACUCCAAAAGCGGCCACCAAAGAUCUUUAUUGGAUUUGUUUUCAUCACCAGCACGUCGAGGUGAAAGAUGUGCAUGUUCAGUGGGUCCUCUUGCGUUUUCAUUGACAUGUGGGACCGCAUGUGAGCAAACAGACGAUGGGCUCCGUGCAUCGACUGGCUAGCUGAGAAGAGAGAUAGAGGAGGGCUGAGCACGGACUCCAGGAAAUUUGUUCUACAUACCUUGAUAUAGGCUCGAUAUACUGGGGUGGCAUGGGCCAUAACUAGUAUUCACGUCUAGCAGUACGGCACACGCCACCCACACGAGUCCCAUCCGACACCAAUUUUCUUGGAGUCCGUGCUACAGCCAUCUCUUCUCCCUCCUAUUUUCUCAGCCAUCGCGCGGUGGGCGGGGUGGGGGUUUGCCGAUAGUUAGUUUGAUCAACUGCGGUCCCACUUGUAACUGAAAAUGCAACACCGCACACAUUCCCCCUUGAGCAGCGUGCCGGACCAACCGUGUGGGGGUGCUAUGCGAACACGGGAGGCUUUUCCUUUCGAACUCAUAACUGGUAAAAUUUGGUUCUGCUCCAUGGCGCGACCGAUAGAUAGAAAAUAACGAUUUUACCUAGAGUAAUGAGAAGUUUCACUACUAGGGAAAAUCCUAUACACAGAAUCUUACUAGUAGCGAGGGUUAAAAACCCUCGCUACUGCUACUUACUAGUAGCGCAGGUUUUUAAACCUCGCUACUACUAAGUUGAUAGCAGUAGCGCGGGCUUUUAACCCUCGCUACUACUAAGCGGUCUCUACCAUGCCCCCCGGGACAUGCCAUAGUAGUAGCGCGGAUUUUUACCCCUCGCUACUACUAAGUUGAUAGUAGUAGCGCGGGUUUUUAACCCUCGUUACUACUAAGCGGUCUCUACCGUGCCUCCCUCAGACAUGCCAUAGUAGUAGCGAGGGGUAAAGAUACCCACGCUACUACUGAGCGUAUCCCUCCCUUGCCGCACCACUGCCACCCCGAUCCUAAAGAAAAAAAAAUUCCACUCCCACCCCACCAAACUCUCUCUCUCCAACCUCACCCCCACCCCUCAGUUGACUCAUCUACCCCACGACCACCUCGCCGCUGCCAGCACCCACGCCGGCCGGUUCCGGCGAGCUCCGGCCACGCGAAAUACGCCCCCAAGCACCCCAAGCUCCGCCCCUCCCUCCCCUCCUCCCAGAUCCGUGCCUCAAGGCCUGCACCCUUGCCUUGAGGCGGCGAGGGGGAAGGCGGCGGCGGAGAGGCAAACAGCGAGGAGGAGGAGCAGGCGACUCUUCCACCCAACGACCGCGGAGUUGUCGGUGUGGGCCGUCAGCCUCACCGAGAAGAGGAGCAGCAUGGCGACAAGGACGACGAGGGAGAGGAGGUCGUGGCUGAGGACGAGGCGCACGUACAGGUCCCUCCCGCAGGCGCUGUCGGGGCGGAAGGCAUUUCUGAUGACGAAGAAAGUGGUGAGAUUAAUCCUGAGCUGCUCCCUAGUAGCGGUGAGAAUCCUGAGCUGUUUAAGAAAUUUAGAUCUCCAAUCAUCUCACUAUCCCUCAGUUUAAUAUAUUCUAUUUCAAUCGAGGAUAUGCAAUUUUUCUUGAGUUGUUGAACACAUUGGGCCAUUGGGGUAUGCCUCCGGUUAAUUAACCUGAGCAUAAGGGAAAAUGUUUAGCCUGCGAACUUAACAUACAUGCAGUAUGCAUGUGCCCUCCAUGGCAGAAACUUCCAUUUUUUGUUAAACAAGAGUCCAUGUUGGCUGAGUUGUGGAUCAUUUAGAACCGUCUAAUUCAGUCCCUGCCUGUUUAUGAGCUUCACAUAGCCUCCCAUGAUAGUUUCUGAAGGCAGGACAGACCAUGUGGAAAUGAGAACAGAUGUACGGGCAUGGUUCUGUACAGGUGUUAGGUAAGUGUUUUUGCUGAUUGUGUGAAAUUUUGCAGGUAGUGGUAGCAUGCUAUAUUAAUGCUUUGGACGAAAUUACAUUAUUCUUCACCCCUGCUCAGCUCAGAGAGGCACCUCACCCCGUCGUCCCCUGAUCUCUGAAUCUCAAUGCUUGGACGAAAUUACAUUAUGAAACUUAUAUGCAGUAAGGCCUAGAUUGGCAGUGUAAUUUUUAAAAUACCGCAGUAUUCGAAAAAUUCGGCAUCAUGUUUAACUAGUGUGGAGCAUGCUAUGCAGAGGCCUAGUUUGCCAUGUUGAUAAUUGUGAGUUACAAACCAAGCUUUCAGUUUGAGAAAAAAGAGGUCUGGACCUCUUUUUCUAGAAGUUAGAAAAAACAUGGUAUCAGGAAUACAAGUGAAUAUGAAACUAUUGUUGUUGGUUUAGCCAAACACCUCACAGUUUUCAAAACUACAGUUUUAUAGAAAUCAUAGUAUUCUGAUUGAGCUAAGCUAGCAAUGUAUCUUCACCUGUGGGAAUCAAGGUGCAUAUGCUCCUUGUCUUUUUUCACAUUCUAGACUAGAUUGAAUAAUAGGAAUUGCCAAUCAACUGUAAAAAAAUAAAUUUAAUUACCAAUCUGCACGCACCAGACAUAUAUCUUUCUCAUCAUUUUAAACAGUAAACAUUGAUACUCCACGUAUACAUUUUCUAAGAAUUACUUCAUAUAUGUAGGCUGGCAGCGGUGUUCACAAAUCACCACGAAGAAAGUAAAGAUCUCGAGAGGAUUCCGUUUGUUUGCUCUAUGUAUUGUCUUUCGAAGCGCGCGCAGGAAAAAACACACACAAAAAUGCUAGUUCAUUUUACUGCCUUUUGUAGCAAAAGAAAAUGAAAAACACAAAAAAUGUUUGUUCCUCUGCCUUUUGUAGUAAUGGAGAAUGAAAGUCACAAAUUUUUUUUGGAGGAGUGGUCUCUAUGAUUUGGGGGUAGUGGCCCGGGUUUGGUCGGGCUCGAAUUCUCUGCUAUGGGUUUGGAGGAGUAAUGUUUCUGGUUCUGCAGAUAUUCAAGCUCUGGCGGACGGAGUGUCUGUGCGUGAGCAGCGAGACGGCGGCUAAGGCUAGCGUGGAAGAGGUUAGUUUUAGCAUCUAGUUCUGCAUCAUGGCUGUAAACUGAACUUGGUUCAUUUAAAAACUGCACUGUCCAAUUUGGACAGCAAGCUUAGAUCUGAAAAAUGAGUUAGCUAGGCUUAGAAUUUUGAGUGGCCCCUUUACAUAAGUUUUAGAUAAAGUUCCAAGGUUUCUUUAGAGUAUUUAUUUGUGUCGUUUGGAUGUAUGGUUUGAGAGCAGCCAUCAAUUUAGUUUGUUGUCCCGAAAUAUAUGUUCCUGGGUACAGUAUUUUGAUAUGGGAGAUUAGGCCCUGUUAGAGGUGGUAUUAAAAUAAAGUUACAACAUGAAAAUUUUAGAGGCUGUUCUGUAGAUACUUAAACACAUAUCACUUGUCAGGUUUCGUUCGUUAUAUUAAAUACUAUGAAGUUAUCAAAGUGGGCUUUACUAUGUUGGACAUAAUUUUAUGUUUGGACUUGGGUGAAUGUAACCAGACUUAUACUCUCAGAUUUUGUCAUAGUUGAUGGUGUGAGGACUUAUAAUGUGAUAAAGUAUAUACGUUGUUGCAACACCAAAAUCGGUGAAAUAUAUUUCCUUUUUUUUCUGCCGAUGACAUCUCCAUAAAGUAAGGAUUUAGAUAACAUCAUAUGUUCAGAGUUCAGUUCUUUUCUUAUCUAAAACUAACAUACAAUGGGCAUGAUGGAUGUUGCAGGUUCAUUGAUGACAACCAAGGGUUCAUGCUCGGAAACGACUACAUCUUGCUCCAUGUUGUCGGCUCAGCUAGAGUCCUUAAUCAUGCGGAGAUGGGACACGUCGAUUGUUAGAGUACACUUGACAGGUGCAUUUUGUGAAAUUCUAGCCACAAGAUUGAUAGCAUGCUUGCCUGCUUGUUCUUUUCAGUUCAAAUAAAUGUUCCUUUUCUUGUUGAAUCCAAAGUAGCUAGCGGAGAUAAGUGGAAAGGUUGUUGAUUAUCCCAAAGUUCUUGGACCAUUUAGUUUGAAUAGCCAGUGAGGAAAUAAGCAUAUAUUUUUGGCAUGAGCCCCUUUAAAUUGCUAGAUGAGAAAGAAUCUUAACUUAAUUAAUGGGUCUUGUGAAUUGGAAUAUACCAUUUAGUUGAACUGAUGCAAUUUGCGUACUAACAAGUUUUCACUUUCUCGACAUGGGCGCAGGGGUGAUCGACGCUGACUAGCGCAGCCGGUGGGCGCUGUGCUCUUGAACCACUCAGAGGCGGACUUCUCCGUGAAGCUGGUGGCCAUUUCGCUUAGAUGAUUGUCGAGGUGAUUUCGACGCCGGAGAUCGCCGAGGUGGAGGACCUCGACGCCACCGUCCGGGGGAGGGAGGAUUCGGGUACACCGGCGUCUAAGCUCCGAGCCUUGGUAGAUACAUCUACGGAAGUUGUCUGUUUAGGUUGGUGAUGGAACACCAGGGAAGGUACCCACCUUUCGAUGAUCAUUAUGUGUGUGUCUGAAGUUAAAUGGAAUCUUGAGAAUGUUAUGUGACGUUGGUUUGAUUUGCACUGGACGUAUUGCCAUCCAUGAAUACUACAUCUAACUUUUAUUUUUUUAAUUCCUAAAUUAUUAGUAGUAGCGUGGGAAACAAAUGAGCGCUACUAGCUAGUAAUUAGGUUAGUAGUAGCGUGGGAAAUAAGAAAUGAGCGCUACUAGUAGUUAGGUUAGUAGUAGCGUGGGAUAUAAGUGAGCGCUACUGGUAGUUAGGUUAGUAGUAGGCUAGUAGCGCGGGUGCACCCGCGCUGCUACUAACUUUUAGCUGUAGCGCGAUACUAGUAGCGCGAGUACCCGCGCUACUAGUAGCAUUUUACCCGCGCUGCUAGUAGCCUUUUUCCUAGUAGUGUGGUUCUGGCGCCGUUCAUGCAUGGAGUACGUACAAAAAUUAUGAAGUUGAUGCGAACGGUAAGAUAAUUACUAGUAGUACCAUAUACUACUACAUGGAUUUGACAAAAAGAUAAAAAUACAUACGGAUCCAUCAACGACAUCCUCAUGCCCUAGUGCGCCAGGUCACCAACCGACGUGUGAGGAGUAGCGGCGUUGGCAGCGAGCUCAACGUGCUUCUGAACAAUGCCGUCCAUGGUUGCCCUGCGGUCCAAGAAGGCCAGCAUCCUAUCGUCCUCCUCUUGCAUGUAGUAGUCCUUGUGGACGAUUUGCGCGUAGAAAUGGGUGAUUAUGUCGAUGGUGUCUUGCUGCGCCAGGCGAUGCGCGGCGAGCGCGACCUUGAGGUGGACAUUCUCCGGCGUGACGGCGGGCAGUCGCAGGGCCACCAGUGCGUCGAAUAGGUUUUCACCAUAGUGGCCGUUGAGGGUGGCGGGCAUCGCAGAGCCUGGACGCAUUGGCUGGAGGCGUACGUCAAAGUCGUCCGCGAGCUUCUUGACGACGGUGAACUUGUCGAGGAAACCGACGAGGACCUCAUCGAACAAGGAUACGAAGCUGUCGUCCAAGCGGCCCCUCGCCCUAGCGGCCUCAAGCAAUACCUGGAGACAUUCCUCGGUGUCGGGCCAUAGGCCGGCGUCAUGGACCAUCUGGCACAGCCGGCUGAUGCUCGCGCUCAUCACCUCCAUGGGUCUAGCUUAGCUUCUAGUCAACUGACCUUGCGAUUCGAGUGAUCACUCUUGCCACUGGUUAGCGUGCGUAGGUGCGUAGGAUUUCGUACAACUCCUCGGCCCUCUACUGCACCUGCCUUUGGCUAUAUGAUAGGUGGGCCAGCCACCCCUUGGGCCCACGUGUCAUUCACCCGAAUGCAGUUGCAGUAAGUCAAUGAAGCUACGUCCCCCUCCGUGCCGGUGCAGUAUAGUCAUCUCACCGGACCUCUAGUUGGGGCCAACCGAGAGAAGUUUGAUGUUUACUGGUUUAUUGGUCCCCUUUGCAUUUUGCGCCAAGUUUUGACCUUUGAUUUAACUAAUAAAAUGUUAAUGCAUGUAAACAAAAAUGUUGUGUAAGUCACCUUACGAAAACCAAAUAAUCCCAAAACACUUAGGCACGGUGCACUAACUCCCUCCUUGUUUCUUAUUUCAUGACAUAUCAACAAAUGAGAGAUGUGGGCCAUGCAUGCUUUCAAUGACUUGAGACUACCAAACAUGACAUGCAUUGUUUAGUUCAUUGCAUGUAAUCUAUUAGUUAGCAAAAAGACAUUAAGUUCUCUCGCCGAUAGGAAUAAAACAAUACACCAUGUAUUUAUUUACAGAGGGAGUAGUACAUUUUUUGUGACAUGCAUUACUAGAUAUUGCUAGUCAAAUACUAAAAUCUAGAUGGACGUGGUAGUACUCCUAAAUCCAGACGGUGGUGCUACUAGUACUAGUAGUAGUACUACCAAUGUAGUAGGAGUACUAGCACUGUACUACCCGUUGGUCAAAUUAUUACGUGCCACUCCUCACAGUGAAGUGACAAGACCCUGCGCCGGAGAUGACACCUGAGUGUAGGCGUCGUGUUGGUCAUACCAUAGUCAGCCUCACCGUCUGUAGUCACUAUCAUCAUGGCUAUAGAGCUAGCCUGCUUACAACUAGCCCUGUUCGACAUAAUUUCCCAUGCAUUGCACGAAACACCAAUAUUGGGGGUGGACAGCGCCGGCAGCGGCCAUCGCGCCACAUUUUUCCACGGCCUUCUAGAUGUGGUGGGGAGGAGAUAAGGCUGAUUGUGAGAGACAAGGAGUUGUUUGUAAAUAGGGAACAAGUGCGGGCAUCUUUUUGCAAAAAUGGAGAUGUUUGGUUUGUAUGCGUCAGAUCUAGAUCCGACGGCUAUUGGUGAAAGAUGGGAUGCACAACAUCAUCACCAACUCAGGACCUGUUUGAUUCACAGGAUUUUGAAAAUGCAUGAAUAGGACAUGACAAUAUUACAAGUUUCAAACCGAUAUUACAAAUGUUAGGAGUAAUGCUGCACCUACGAAGAGGGAAUUACUAGGAAGUUUACGUAAGAACUUUCGUUACUUUAGGUGGAUGCAGCAUUAUCAUACAAACUAAAAUCCACCACCCUGACAAGUCACUAAUGGGCAAAUAAGUUUUUGAAUCUCUGGCCACUUGAUGUUUCAAAAACAAAUUCAGCUUCUGUGAAGACUUUGUCAUUUAGGCUUAGACGCCUGCGGUGAUCAGCACGCCAUUCAUUGUUCCGCCAGAGAACGCCAAACCUCAUUACCUUGAGCACACUUUCCUCCAGAACAAAGAACCUGGCCAAUUUAAUCUCAGAUGUGCUACCUCGGUAGUCGAUCAAAUAAAUAUCUGUAAGAUGGAGAUCAAGGCAUAUUUGGAUACAAAGGAAUGGGAAGAUCUUCAGGAAUGAAACACCUUCUUUCAGGGCAUGGAGGAGGAAUUUUUUGCAGGACAUCUCUCUUUUAGCUCAUAGAAUCAAAUGUAAAUAUAGGAAUAGUUUAACCUCUUGGAUAGCUUCCUUACCCUAAUCACUUAUUUUGUAAGUAUUACUCUCUCCUCCUCUCUCUUAACUUUGUAACUUUGUACUACUUUGCUUUGAGUUUUAAUAAAAGACUGUGAGGCUGUUGCCUUGCAGUACAUAGUCAAAAAAAAGAUGGAGAUCAAGGCAUUUGAUGAGAUUUUUAUAGUGCAACACAUUUUUCACUUUUGGGUCUUUUUUUAUCUGCAAAAGAAGAGAACAUAUUAGAGCAGCUGGCUGUAUAAGAUUGUCGUGUCAUCAAGAGGUACCAAUAUCAUUCGCUCAUACGAUAGGGUUGGCUGGCUAGUGAUAUUUUUUCACUCUCUCUCUUUAUAUUUCCUCUCAUUUAACUAGGAGCACGUGAAGAGCUUGGGCAUUUGUUGCCUUCCACUAUGUGGCUGAUGCCAUAUUUCGCAAAAGUAUGCCACAUAAUACGCAUCAAUGUCAAAUCAAAAGAUUUUGGCACCGCUCUCGCGAUGUGAGAGAGUUGGCACCGCUGUGCACACAGACCUACAUGUAUAAACAAAUCAAUCAAACAACCUACACCAGCCUCUCACUCUCCCAAACAAGUGUUUUUUAUUGCCUCAGUCCUCUCUCUCACCCACGCAGUGUUUUUUCAUUGCGUGAGUUAAUUUGGCACCGGAGCAAAGUAGGUGAUCCAGAUUGGGGCACUAGGUGAGCAAUGGAGGGGCAUCGAUGCCAAAUGCAUCACAAGUAAAUUUGGCACGUGUUUUGGCCUACAUAGCCCACUUUUGUACUCCCUCCGUCCCAAAAUUCAUGUCUGAAAUUUGUCUAAAUAUGGAUGUAUCUAGUUACAUUUUAGUGUUAGAUACAUCCGUAUCUAAACAAAUGUAAGACAAGAAUUUUGGGACGGAGGGAAUACUACCUCGUAUUUAGUAUAAAAUUUUGACCAUAGAUUUACCUAAGAAAAUGCCAAUGCAUGUCACUAAAAAUUACACCAUUUGAAAUUAUGUUCAAAUAUGAAUCCAACGAUAUAGUUCUUAGUGACAUGCAUUAACAUUUUGUUAGUUAAAUCUAUGCUCUUAGUACAGCAUAAAAAUGAUGCAGGUGAUCACGUGAGAAAAAAUACUAAAAAUAUUUCUUUCGAUGCAGUGCGUAGAUGCAGUUUUGAACACUUCACUUGUCAUCAUAAUUUGGGAAAAUUACGAAAAAAUUGAGCUACGUUGUGAUUACUGUUUACUAAUAGGAAAGAAGUUUCACCUCGAUGAGUAGCUUCUCCGUGCAAGGAAAGCAUGCAAGGAAUCCAACAACUUGAUCCAGAUUGGGGCCGAUAGAUUUUAGUGCCAAGAUCUUUACUAUGCGCAUGGACUGGGUCAAGCUUGUGGGAAUCAUUUUCUGGAAGACGGUCGUAAAUACAUCAAGAAGAAAUUUAAAAAGUGAAUUUCAAGAAGACGGAGAAGAAGAUGAGUGUUGUACCUAAACGAUUACGGAUCCAAUAAAGAGUUCGGAGAAUUUGGCAAAUGAGUACACCAACACUGUCAAUUUCGGCGCGUCAAUGACCCUGAUUUUUGUUGGACCUUCUAGAUCCGAUACAAGCAAUCUCUCAAGGAAAGGCGCAUUCUCAAUAACCAUAACGUGGAACAGCUAGAGUGAUCUCUUCCCAAAUGAUGUCUUGUUGCGGGGCCAGCAAGACACAUAAAUCCAUCGGAGAUUCGUCGAGGCGAUGUGGAGGCUAAUGAACCCGUGGAUCUGCUCAAGACGAAGGUACUCGAGCGCAGUACAGCUACGGAGCAGGUGCUCCAUAACCUUCUUCGAGAUGACAACAUUGAAGAGGUCGAGCUGCUUGAGUUGAGGGAGAAGAAGGGCGGGCGCGACAUUAAUCUGGGGAAGAUAGCAGGAGCUGAAGCUGGUGCGACGCAACAUUGUCGUGAGGCGGAGCGCAGACGGCCGCAGAGAGCGACAUCGUCCAGCUUCAAAGCUGAGCUCCUUGAGCUGAUCUAGGGUGGGGGAUAAGAACCACUCGUCAAACUUGAGUUGGACCUUGUAGUUGGUACUGAACAUGCGGAUGUCAAGGCAUCUGGCUGGCCCAGGGUGCGAUGAAAGGAUCUUGGAGACUGCGGCCAUGCGUUUGCAAUCCCCGUCGCAGAGGCAGCUGUCAACGGCGAGGUUGAGGGGGACGCGGUGCCAAAGGGCGCGCGACCGACGGGAGAGCAGGGUGGUUCGCACAGCAAAUUUGGUGGGGAGGAGGCCGAUGAUGACGAGGAACAUGUUUUCAGGGAGGCUGCUGAUGAAGUCCAGGCUCACCUGAUGCGGUUUUGGCUCGAGUCACCUCUGCUUGUUGGCUGCCUCGCCGUCCAUCUCAAUUGGUGGCGACGCCGGUGUACACCGGUGCUGGUGUGUGUUGUGUGCUAGGUGUGCGUGAGUGCGUCCUUCUGUUCAUGACGCUGUGCAGUGGCGAAUUGUGCGCGAGUGCGUCCUUCACGCGCAAGAAGUGUGUCCUCAAUGUGCCCUCAAUUUACUAGCAUGCGGGGUGCUACCUCGAGUGGUUUCAACUUUGUUUACUUCACCGCAUGUCAGAUGGGCCUCUAGUUUACUUAUUUUCACCCACUGCCACAUGGGCCAGCACACGAAGAUACAGAACACGAGCUGACAAGGCAGCAUGUGGACUGGUUGACCGGUCAACUAAACAAUAUACGGAGCUAUAUGCUAACACAAUGAGCAUAUAAUCCGUCGGUAUAGAGAGUUUGAGUGUGAGGGGAGGCCCGUGAGAGAUAGCAGAGAGAGAGAGAGAAAGAGCUACUCCCACCGUUCGAUAAUGUAGUUCCAACAUUUUUUUUAAAGCCAAACUUUUCAAACUUUGACCAAGUUUAUAAAGAAAUUACUUAUAUCUACAAUACCAAAGAUAAAUGAUAGUAUGAAGUAAAUACAUGUUGUGAUGAAUCUAAUGAUCGUUCCAGAUGUAAAUGAUUUUCUCCACAUAUACCUGGUCAAACUUUUCUGAGGUUUGACUUUUCAAAACAUCCAUAUGCUUAUGGACAUGACACAGUCCCUAACUAGAGAGAGAGAGAGAGAGAGCAAGAGAGAGAGACAGAGAGAGAGAGAGAGAGAGAGAGAGAAAUAGAAAGAGUGAGUGAAAAAAGUGUGUGUGCGUGUGUGAAAGAGACAUGGACAACACAUGACAAAAGUAGAGAAAAAGCAUGCGUGUCUUAUGCAAACAUAUCACACAUGCAUCUUUGACAACGGAGGCAAGGUGAGGACAUAGUGUGUGGUUGUUUGGAACCGAGAGAGCAAGACCCCUAGCACGUGGCCAAGAGGGGUCUGACAAACAAGGGAGAGAGGUCGAGAGAGACGUACAGAGAAAAUGCAGACAUGGGGAGGAGAGAGUAUAUGUUUGUCAUACAGAGAUCCCAUGGAGAUCGCGAUGGGACUACAUGGGUGGGAGAUCGAGUGACAAGGUGUGUGCGCGAUAGAAGAUGCCCCGAGAGAUAUCGAGAUAGACGUGUGGAUGGAAGGAGACAAUACGUGUGUUCCUGAUGGCUAGUAAGAGAUAAUCAUACUUAGGAGGAGGGGGGAGUGCUUGCGCCUAUGAUGGAGUGAGGGAUUAUGGUACUUAUGGGGGUGCGUGUCACAUGGAGAGAGAACAAGGGCGGAGAGUGUUGGAUGAGUCUAUAUGUAUAGCACGAGCGAGACAUGUGUAUGUGUGAACCUGGGAGAUAUAAGGUCAGUUUGGCUUGUGUCCUGAGCAUCUUUUGCCUGGCCUGGGGUUGUGGCUUGAUUUCAUGCGCGCUUGUUUGGUUGCUACCCUGUGAAAAAGAAAGCCCGCCUGGCCUGGAUUCCCUUGCACUUUAAUUAGCCUGGCUAGACUCCAGACACUACAAGUAGCUUGGCCCAGGCGACCGAUUUCGAAUGCCUAGCCAUGCCUGGUCGUGCAGCCACGAGGAUAAAAGCAACCUAGAUGGAUAUUAGCAUUAAAUAAUUGCUGCAUGGAUUGAUUGAUGCGACGUUGAUGCUUUGCCUGGCCCAGGCACGAACCAAACGCUUCUGCACCACACAAGCCUGGCCAGGCAGAAAUAUUUUACAUCUCACGUCCACGCCAGGCAGUACUGGCCAUCAAGGCAUGAGGGUGAGGUCAGGAACCAAACUGACCAAUAAAGUUUGAAAGAGAUUGAGGAGCCCCGAUAAGGCUGAGUGGUGCGUUAGAUAGCUGAGAGGGGGAAAGAGAUAUUCCAUCCGCUCGAUAAUGUAGUGCAUGUAAAUUUUUUAGAAGUCAAACUUUGGAAACUUUGAUCAGGUUUACGCAAAUGUUAUUUAUAUCUACAAUACCAAAGAUACAUCAUACACAACUACAUAUCAUGGUGAAUCUAAUGGUAUAUGUUUGCCGUUCUAGAUGUAAUUUUUUUCUCCACGUACAUGGUCAAACUUUGUGAUGUUUGACUUUUCAAUAAAUCUAUAUGCUAUGGACCAAGGAGAGUGCCUAAGUCGAAACAGAUCAAGUGUGUGUGAAGGAGAAUGAGUAAGUGUGCAAAAAGAGUAUGUGUGUGAAAGAGAAAGUACAACAAAUGAUAAACUAGAGAGUGUGUGUGUUUUUUCGUUUCUUAUGCGAACAUAUCACGCAUGCAUCUCCGAGAUAGAAAAGCGAGGCGAGGAGAUACACAAAGAUAGCUAGUGUGUGAUUGUUUGCAACAGAGAGAGACACCCCUGUAGCACAUGUCCAAUAGAGGUCUGGCCAACAAGGAACAAAUGUCGUGAGGGACACAUGGAGGACAUGGACACAUGGGGAGGGAGAGAGGGUGUGUUUGUGAUAGAGAGAUCCCAUCGAGAUCGUGAGGGGACUAUAUGGGUGGGAGAUCGAGGGAGGUGCGUGCGUGAUAGAAAGAUGCCCCGAGAGAAAUCGAGAUAGACCAUGCACAUGUUUGUGAUGGAGACUAAGAUUAGCUAGUCAUAUACAUAUAGGGGGACUACGCGUGCCUACAAUUGAGUGAGAGACCAUCAUACUUGGCUAGCUAGGCAUGAGAUUGUGUGUGUGUGUGCGUGUGAGAUGGAGAGAGAAUGAGGUAGAGAGAUAUAGUUUUAGAUGGGCCUAUCGAGUGCGAGUGAGAUAUGCAUGUGUAUGUGUGACCCAGGUGGAUCGAGAGUUUGAGAGGGGGGAGAGCUCCGAGACGACAGAGUGGUGCGUGAGAGAGUUACGGGCAACGAGCAAAGGAAUUUGUGUGCGUACCAUGAGUGCGCCCAAGAUAUCUAGCUUGGAUUAGCUAGAGUAUCAUACAUAGUGUGCGAGAGAGACCUAUAUAUGGUGUAUAUAUAUGCAUGCGAACUAGAAUGAUCCCCCCACACACACACAAAGAGAGAGAGAGAGAGNNNNNNNNNNNNNNNNNNNNNNNNNNNNNNNNNNNNNNNNNNNNNNNNNNNNNNNNNNNNNNNNNNNNNNNNNNNNNNNNNNNNNNNNNNNNNNNNNNNNNNNNNNNNNNNNNNNNNNNNNNNNNNNNNNNNNNNNNNNNNNNNNNNNNNNNNNNNNNNNNNNNNNNNNNNNNNNNNNNNNNNNNNNNNNNNNNNNNNNNNNNNNNNNNNNNNNNNNNNNNNNNNNNNNNNNNNNNNNNNNNNNNNNNNNNNNNNNNNNNNNNNNNNNNNNNNNNNNNNNNNNNNNNNNNNNNNNNNNNNNNNNNNNGUGUCGGAUGCGUGCGACAGGAUUGAAGAUUGUCGGAGAGAGAGAGAGAGCGAGAGAGAGAGAGAGAGAGAGAAAGAGAGAGAGAGAGAGAGAGAGAGAGAGAGAGAGAGAGAACAUGAGUCUGGGAGAGGGGGAGGUCGCGUUUUAUGCAUCAAAGACUGAUAUAAACCAUGUCUCGAUAUAAACUUGCAUUCAAAUAUUUAAAUUGGAAAACAUGUUGUUUGCAAUCCACACAUGAACGGAUAUAUGCGUAUAUCAAACAAGUUCAUCAAUUUGACUUUCAACAUGUUCAUGGAGUACUAUAAUACUAUACAACACGCUACUUGAUUGAGGUGUUCAAUUUUGGAUUUAGUUCACUAUUUUGACCUAGUGAACGAGCUAUUUCAUUGAAUCGAGAUAUUUCAUUUUGGGUUUAAUUCGUGUUUUUGAGUGCGUCAACUAUUUGUCAUAUAGUAAAUCGCUAGCAAUGAGCAUGUAAAAACACAUUACUCCCAAGCAUCAUCUCUCCAUCUAAAAAAGAAGUGGCAAGCUAAUAUUUCAAAAUUUGAUUCGAAUCGACUUGGUAAGGUAGACGUGGAUGCUCGAUCUCCUAAAAUUUGAAUGAACCGUUAAACAUCAUCUACUCGGUGGAAUUCGCCCGAGCAAAUAAAUGGGAGAUGCGAAAUUACCGUCCUAUGUGGGACACACAUCUAUUGGCCCGUUGUACAUCGCGGGUAGGUUCAUAACUUCAUCCAAGCGCGCCUUCUCUUCGGCCAAAAUGACAUGUGCCGAAUAAUUCAUAAACCAUGGUCGGCAAAACACGCUCUCCUCGCCUAAAAUAGCUCGCGCCCACUAUUUCAAAACAUGCUCUCCUCGCACGAAAUUGUUCGCGCCCACUAUAGUUCAAAACACGCCCUCCUCGCCCGAAAUCGCUCCCGUCCACUAUUUGGGGAGAAGCAAAGUUACUCUACUAUCCCCGACCCUCAGUACACAGACCCAAGCCGAGAAGCCUAAAGGCAGGGGUAGAACUGUAACUCCCCCUCACAUUUCAGACAAAUGCGUCUGUAAGACAUGGUUCCACUCCCCUCACAAUUCCCCUCCCCCCCUCGCCCCCCAUUCAUACCUCGUGGGCGCAAAAUCACCUUCUCCCCAGGAAGCUCCCUUCUCCCGAGCCGCGAAACCUCAGCCCCUCCUCCAUGGCGCCCGCACCGCACCAAUUUCACAGCUGCCCUCCUCCCUAAUGCCGGAGAUGUUGUCCAUUUGCCGUCGUGCACUAGGCCGUGUGCCUCUUACUCCGUGCUGCUAGAGCUGCCUCGACGACGGCCGCGUGAACCGUACCGGAGCCGAUUCACCCCCGCCAUUGUUCAUGACGCUGGAGCGGCUCCAACUUCGGAUCCGUCCAGAGUCCAAGUGCUGCUUCCCCAUAGCCGUCGACCGUCGCGACAUUGUUGUUUCCCUGUCGCAGGUCGCCACCGCAACUGCGCCGGCAUCACUGACUCGGCAGCUGGACCUCCCUACUUCACCAUGCCACCAGAUAGGUCGCACCCUCAUCUCAAAUCACUUUAUUUAGGCGUCAGUUGUCUGAAUUUUUAUUCUGGGCCAAUCGAUUCCUAAUGGGAAGCAGCAUCCCUCGAGGCGGCGGAGCUCCCGGUUAGCUGGUGUCUAACGUAAGGGUGCGGGGCCGCAAGUUCGCCGCGGAAGCAGCACUUAGAUGGCUAAGUUUUAGAGUUGUGUGGGUUGAAGGUACUAGCGCCAUCGGAUCUGGAUGACGGGGCGUCUUUGUGGAUUGGCCCGGGGGCGGCGCAACCACGGCAGUGCGGUGGGGUGGGGAGCGGGGUUUUGGCCAGGGCCACGGACAUCGGAGGUAGGCUGCUCUGCCGUUGGUCGCUAGCUCUUCGGGGAAGAUUCCGAAUAGUGUCAGCCGGGAGGCACAAGACGACCAUCAAGCCAUCCAGCGUAGAUCGGACAAUACCAAAAUAAAAUAAAAUCAUGUGACCCCAAUUUAGUCUUCAGUCAACAGAUGUGUGACCACUCUCGUACCUUGCUGUUGAUCUCUUAGUGUAUUUCUUCAGAUCAAAGAGAUAUGUCAUUCUUAACAUUAUGCAUUAUCUGCAUCUUCAGACACACCGUCUUCCGACUCACCACAGCUGCUCCAACAAGGGAAGCAUACACCAGAAGGGAGCUAUAGUCCCCACUCAACAGUUCCCUGCAUUGAAUGCGCUUGCCCGACAUGGACAGCCACAACAACUGCAGGGCCAUCGACAAGUCAACACAUGAUGCUCACUCCUAUGGAUGGCAGCCAGAUAGGUUGUACCCUCAUCUUACUUGUGUGCAACAUUUAUGGCUUUGUUAUUCAUCUAAGCAUGGAAAAUAGAUCAUCACAUCUCACUUUAUAUUCAUGCUGAUCUCUUACGGGUCUUGUUCAGGAGUUAACGUUGUUCCAUAGUUCAGCUAAGAUACUUGUUCUUUAGGUAACGUUGUUCCAUAGUUAUCAUCUAUCAGCCAAUUCUAUCCCACAGGCUGGUGAUUAUAGUAUUAUAGCACUUCUAGUAUUACCUAUGUUGUUCUUUAAUACUUUUGUGUGCCAUCUAGUUAAUCUCGAGUACAAAUGAUACAUAUUCCAUAGCUUUCAUCUAUGUUCUCCCUUUAGUUUAUGAGACUUGUUGCUGCUAGUUAACCCUAGUCCUACUAUUUAUGUCGUCUCCUACAGGCACUCAUUACAUAAAUCUAACUACUAGUUGUCUUCCAUGCAUGUCACAUAUAAUUGCACACACUGAUAUAUCCACAAUAACCUCACGGAGCAAUGUAAAGGCCAAUAAACUUGAUGUCAAUGAUACCCAAUAUGAUGGAACUUGUAAAGGCAGUUCUUCAGAAGACUUGCAGAAAGAUAAUGAAUCCUCUUCACCCCACAAGGUCCUUACUCUAACAUGGCCUGUGAUAUGGGUACGGCAUGCAUAUAAUGUCCUGGAGUGUAUCUACUCUGUUGCAAUGCCAUGUCCUUAGCAUGCUGAUCAUGCAUGUAAAUAUGUCAUGCCUUCCUGUUUUUCAGUACCUAUUCCAUUCAUGGUAACAUGUUUUCAAAUUCAAGUACUGUCAUUCUACUCUAUCGCAAUGCCAUCGGCUUAAUUUGGACAUCAUGCUUCUGAAUAUCUUAUACAUUGUUAUUCAUCAGUAUGUACUUCAUCUGUCUACCAUACCAUGUUUUUUACAUUGAAGUGUUGUUCUAGUGCUCUGUUGCAAUGCCACCUUAGUUUCCCAAUCAUACACGUGUAUGUUGCCUUAGUUAUUUUUGUACGUAUUCCGCUAGCAUACAGUUUUACAUUCAACUAGUGUUUUUUCUUGCUAUGUUGUCCUGUCGUAUCCCUAGCUCUUACACCAUACUCCCACCGUCCGGAUUACAUGUUGACGAAAUGGAUAAAAAAGGAUGUAUCUAGAACUGAAAUACGCCUAGACCCAUCCAUUUUGUUCCGGAUGGAGGGAAUACAUGUCAAUAUGUCAUGCCUUUCUAUUCUUCAGUACCUAUUCCAUCUCUCUGCUGUAGCAUGUUUUAUAAUUAAAGCACCAUUCUUGUAGGCAUGCAAGGGGAAGACGACUAUGUUAGAAUCAGAAGGGUUACAAACAAGGCCUUUGCAAAAGAUCCAAACGCCAGGAGAUAAUAAACCAACUCCAGUUUUUAUAGAUACUGCUCCAGCACAGAGAAACCCAACUCCUACUGAUAAUAAGCAUAUUCCAGUGGCCAAAGAACUAGUCCGCUCCAGUCCAAAAAAAUAUGUCAACUACAUUCUAAGAAGCGUGUGCAUAUCCUUGCAUCAUGAAAUUUUAUAGGAUGCUGAUCAUAUUAUCUACAUGUUUCUUACCCAUCUCUCUUUUAGAAAAUAAGCUUAACAGAUAGUAGAAUUUCUGCACUGGUAUCGUAUGUGAGGAAAGAUUCUUGCAGGAAUUCUCUUUGCUCCAAUGCAGAUGUAAGUACCUGUUGUAUAUCACUAUAUUUUUACAUCAGCAUGUAUUUUGUUAAUCGGCGUGAAUCCAACCUGUAUCUGAUCUAAAUUUAGUUGUAGCAAAAUGUAUGAUUAAAGGCCACAAUGUUGAUUUUUGUAAGGAAAACUGCCUGGUAGUUUUGCAUCCUGAGCUGCAUGAGUUUACUAUCUCAUAUCAGUGGGUUCGAAUACUUUGGUUCUGCAGUGGGUUUUCAGUGUUUUGUUGUCCCAUCGUAUCCCUAUCUCUUACAUCAUACUCCCUCCGUCUGGAUUACAUGUCGCAGAAAUGGAUAAAACUGGAUGUAUCUAGAACUGAAAUACACCUAGACCCAUCCAUUUAUUUUCGGAUGGAGGGAAUACAUGUCAAUAUGUCAUGCCUUUCUAUUCUUCAGUACCUAUUCCAUCUCUGUUGUAGCAUGUUUUAUAACUGAAUCACCAUUCUUCUAUAUAAAGCAUGCAAGGGGAAGACGGCUAUGUUAGAAUCUGAAGGGUUACAAACCAGGUCUUUGCAAAAGAUCCAAACGCCAGGGAUAAUAAACCAACUCCAUUGUUCAUAUAUACUUCUCCAGCACAGAGAAACCCAACUCCCACUGAUAAUAAGCAAAUUCCAGUGGCCAAAGAACUAGUCUGCUCCAGUCCAGCAAAAGAAUGUCAACUCCAUUCUAAGAAGCGUGUGCGUAUCCUCGCAUCAUGAAAUUUUAUAGCAUUCUGAUCAUAUUUUCUACAUGUUUCUUACCCAUCUCUCUUUUAGAAAAUAAGGUUAAAUGAUAGAAGACUUCCUCCAUUUGGAUCGUAUUUGAGGAAAAUAUCUUGCGGGAAUUCUCUGUGUUCCAAUGCUGAUGUAAGUACCUGUUGUAUAUCACUAUAUUUUUACAUCAGCAUGUAUUUUGUUAAUCGGUGUGAAUCUAACCUUUAUCUGAUCUAAAAUUAGUUGUUGCAAAAUGUUAAAGGUGCCAAUGUUGAUUUUUGUAAGGAAAACUGCCUGGUAGCUUUGCAUAUUGAGCUGCAUGAGUGUACUAUCUCAUAUCACGCACAUUACUAAAUUGUAGUGCUUCUCUGGUUGCCCAUUCAUUCAUUGUGUCAAUGUUGCUUUCGUAUUACGUUACCUGGCUGAUGAUAGUUGUGCAAUAUUGUGUUAAUUUGGUGUAGGCUAGUUUCCCAAACGUUCGUUGUGUCAAUUUUUCUUUCCAAUUAUCUGACUUGGCCAAUGAUAUCAGUGCUAGUGUGUUAAUUUUGUGUAGGCUGCUGAAGAUAAGAAGACAAACUCUGAAAACAGCAAGGCAACCCCAUUGUUUCUUUCCAAUAAAUCUAGGCCAGGUAAUAUGGCAAUAACUCAUGAUUAAUCUGUUUGGUUCCCUUCCUAAUUUAUGUUAUGAUGCAGUGGUCGAGACACUCUCCACUAUCAAUAAUACAAGCCUGCCAAAAUCGCCAUCUGAAUCUGUUCAGUGUCCUCCAUCUCGAAUGCAACGGAAUAAAUGUAUGUUUGUGAACCAAUUAAUGGCUGAAGCAAUGAUGGAAAUGGUGGAUGAAUCAGAGGUGCAGAGUUGUGCGACACAACAACUGAUCAAUGUUUUCAAAGACAGUGUAGCAAAGCAGCAAGAACUUGCCCACAUGCUUAUGGGCGUCAUCUGUGCUGAGAUUGCAGAUUGUGACGUUGUAGAUGGUUAGGUUCUGCUCAUUUAUUUGCACUGGCAUCAAUCUUUGAUUGCCUAGUGGAUGUAAUUUCCUAUAAUAUAUGCUGGAUGUGCAACGUUAUUCCCCGUAUGCCGUACCUUUGCUUGAUCGGUUUUGGUCCUGUGCAUAAUUGCUCGUCAUAAUGGGCCCAAAUUAUCUAAUUUGGCCUAAAGAUAUGUACGAACUUUAGUGGGCCCAUUAAGUUAAUGGGCCGUUACUAGGCCGAAAGUUAAUUCUCGGCCCUCUUACCUCCCGGGUCGUUAACAGGCCGACAUCGAAGUGGGCAAAUGGUGGGCCCAAUUUAUUUCACGGGCAGUUAACAGGCCGUUACUAAGUUUGGGCUACAUAUGGCCCAACUAUACUGUACGCCAUUAGCAGGCCGAAAGAGACAGCGGGCUUGUACUGGACCAUGAAGAGCAUGGGCCGCUAAGAGGCCGAAUGUCAGGUCGUAUUGUAAAUGGCCCAACUAUGUUGUGGGCCUUUAGCAGGCCGAAAGAGAAAUCGGGAUGGUAUUGGACCAUGAAGGGCAUGGGCCGUUAAAAGGCCAAAAGUAAGGUCCGACUACAAAUGGCCCAACUCAUUUAUGGCCCGUUAACAGGCCUGUCGGUGUCAAAACCAGCAGAUCUCGAGUAGGGGGUCCCGAACUGUGCGUCUAGGCGGAUGGUAAUAGGAGACAAGGGACACGAUGUUUUUACCCAGGUUCGGGCCCUCUCGGUGGAGGUAAAACCCUACUCCUGCUUGAUUAAUAUUGAUGGUAUGGGUAUUACAAGAGUUGAUCUACCACGAGAUCAGAGAGGCUAAACCCUAGAAGCUAGCCUAUGGUAUGAUUGUUUUCUGUCCUACGGACUAAAACUCUCCGGUUUAUAUAGACACCGGAGAGGGCUAGGGUUACACAGAGUCGGUUACAAUGGGAGGAGAUCUUCAUAUCGUAUCGCCAAGCUUGCCUUCCAGGCCAAGGAAAGUCCCUAUCCGAACACGGGACGGAGUCUUCAAUCUUGUAUCUUCAUAGUCCGGGAGUCCUGCCAAAGGUGAUAGUCCGGUCAUACGGACACCCCGUAAUCUAGGACUCUCUCAGUAGCUCCCGAACCAGGCUUCAAUGAUGACGAGUCUGGCGCGCAAAUUGUCUUCGGCAUUGCAAGGUGGGUUCUUCUCCAACUUCAUAUACUUGUAGAAUAGUGUCCAGCUUCUGAUAAAUGUUGCGCUCCUUGGCUUCCACGCCCAAUAAAGGCCAUUUUUCACGUGUCGAACGAAUGCGAAAAGCUAAGGUAUUUUUGCAUUUUCCCCCCUAGCGACUCAAAUAAGCUGUCUAUAAAAAGAGACGGGGAUCUAGAUCCGAACCACGCCAUCUCCCCUUCACAAGCUUUCAUCGGAGCACGUCUGACCAAAAAAUCCAUCAUGGACAGCCGACGCGGCUCCUCCUCUCGCGCUCCCAGCCCCAAGCCUGGGGAUUGGGAGAGAUGCUCCAUCCCGGAUAGUGAACUCAUAGUCCUUCAAUCCAAGGGGCUCCUUUCCCCAGCAUAUAUGGUCCCAGUUCGAGCUGGGAUCGCCACUUAUAGCGGCGGAGAGCAAGCAGAGAGCAUCCCCCAUCCCUCUCGAGGAGAGCGGGUAUGCCUAGUCCCUUAUUUAAUAAGAGGACUCGGAUUUCCAAUUCAUCCGUUUCUUCGAGGGUUGCUGGAGUUCUACGGCCUCCAACUUCACGACCUCACGCCUGCCUCCAUUCUGCACAUUGCGGGCUUCGUGGCCCUCUGCGAACUAUUUUUGGGUGUUGAGGCCCAUUUCGCGCUGUGGAAGAGGUUGUUCUACCUCGUGCCCCGUUCUCAGGAGGGGUCUAUUUAUCAAGUGGGCGGAGCCGAACUAUGGCGCAUCACUGGGACCGGAUAUCUAUCCGGUACCCCUAAGAGGACGUCGGAGGACUGGCCCUCGAAGUGGUUCUAUAUAGAUGAUGUCCCUCUGCCGGACCCUGUACGGAUCGACCUCCCUGAGUUCAAUAAAGCUUCGUUGAAGAAGCGCCUGAGCUGGCGCCCGCGGAACCCUCAGAGGGAAACUGACAGGGACGUCCUUUACCGGAUGAGCCGGAUAAGGUUGUUGGCUCAUUCCGGACUGACCAUGAUCAAGGUCAUGGCCAUAUGCAUUAUGCGAGGGGUGCAGCCGCUUCAAUACAGAGCACACCCCAUGUGGGAUUUCAACGGGGAGGACGAUGCCACCCGGUGCGGUCGUAAGGGGCCAGAUUCGGCCGCCACCUUAACGAGAAUUUUAUCCGCUUUGUAUAAGGGAGAAGAAGAGGAAUUCCUCCGUGCCAACCCGGAGGGCGGAUUCUCCAUGUACAAUCCUCCAAGUUGGGUAAGUGAACAAUUUCACUUAUCUACCCGCCUUUCGAAAUUCCCAUGGUUGAGUAUUCAGUCUGGUGAUAUUAACGCAGGAGUUACGCCAGACGGUGAAGGAGACCAACAACUCUCCCCCACAGCCCGAGGACCCGGAACGGUCCCUCGACCCGGAUUCCCAAGAGGAUCCGGACUUAUGUGUGGAGUUAAUUGAUGGGGUGUUUCAUCAAUUGAGUAAGGAUAACACAUUAGUGGCCAUUACGGCCGACUAUCCUGGAUUACUUCCAGCCUCAAAGGUAGCCGAGACCGAAGUCCUGGUACUUUGAAGGAGAUCCAUCCAUGUCUUAUUUUGAAUGCUGUAGACCAAUAGUGUUUCGUUUUGCAGGGGAAAUCCUUGAGGUGGAGUGCCGGGCCCGCGAUGGGCAGCCAACAAGGGCCGCUAAAGCCAAGCGGGCAAAAAAGAAGUGCAGACCAGAUCGAGACUCUGGUGCAACGGUACGGCGUGCGAAUUUCACGCCUAGGGUCUAUGCCCUCAAGUCAUUCUAAUGCCCAUGUUCUCCUUAGGAAGAAGAGAGCCCGUCGGACUAUAUCCACCGGCCAGACUUCAAGGACGGAUCCGGAAGCAGAGGCGGACACGGGACGUGCGUCAGGUGUUCCCCCGACAGAGGAUGCAGACAGGCUAUUUGCCACCAAUUCAGAGGUGGAGAGUGCCAUGAACCACAGGCAUCGCCGGACUAUUCUUCAGGACGCAUGUUUUUCCCCGGAGGCACUAAACGCCUUUAAUAUAGGAGAUGCGUACCUCCGUGCCACUCAAAAUGGUCUAGCCAGGGCCACGGAGCAGUAUGUAAAAGACAUAUAGUGAGUAAAUCUGAUAGUUAUAUAUGUUAGUAGCCCCCGAGACUUGAAAAGUUAAGAUAACUGUUUUAAGGAUCAUAUGUUAUGCAGGGUCUUACAGAGAAGAACACACAACUGUCUUAGGAGUUGGCGGAGUGCAAGGCCCAACUCGAGGCCGCACUGCCGCUUUAGCUAUUGGCAAGGAGACCCCCUCAGGUAAUGUAUUCUCCCAAAAAAUAAUUAAAUUGCGAAGUGUGCAAUGCUAACGAUAACAAUGCAGAUGAAGCCGGAGUAAAUCCGGACAAGCAACAACUCCUACGCCAACUAAAGGCUGGCGAGAGCGUGCUGACAAGGGUGAGGCAAGAGAAGAACAAGCUUCAAGACGCCAAUACCCAGCUGGGCGAGGAACUAAAGGAUGUUCGUAUCCAGCUGUCUGUUUCCGUAAAGGAGAAUCAGCGACUCCGACGCGGCAUUUUUAGUAAGUGCUUGAGCGAAAUCUUGAAAAAAAAAAUCGGCGAAGAAGUCGAUUGACAGAGCUAUGUCUGUAGGUCUACUGUCGGGUCGUCCUGCAGAGGAAAUGCCCGGUUCAACGGGGGACCUUCUUCCCGAGUUGUUGCAACUGCACGAACAAGUUCGGCAGGCAAUGCGGGGCGUUAUCCAAGCUAUGUGGCCAUCCCUUUCCGCACCCGAAGGCUUUGGGGAGCUUGCAAAGAAGCUGGAGGGAGUGCGGCAGCGCUUCCGGUUGUGGAAGAUAUCGGCCUACCGCCAAGGUGCCAAUGAGGCCUGGGCCAUGGUGAAGACCCGGUACUCGAAGGCUGACCCAAACCACAUGGCCGAGGUCAGCCCUAUGGGUCCUGACGGAAGGGAGAUCCCUGUCAGCUUAGUAUAUGGCCAGGUAGAGCUGGCUGCAAAGUAUUCCCAACAGGACUGUAAAUUAGAUCGCCUGUUGGAUGGUAUUGAAGAAGAGUAUACCAAGUCGGAUUGACUCUGUAAUUAAAAAUGACAUAAAAAUGCCUUCUAGCCGGAUUGUAGAUCGUUUGUCAUUGCGGACAUUUUCGCUUCGACCUCCGGACCCUAUAGUCCCGAGUGUGUCCGAAUACCCUCUCGAUUAUGUAAGAAUCGGGGCAUGCAUGGAUACAAGGCGUAGGGGUCAUAAUUGCUUUAGCAGACAAGUGCCCAACUAGUUAUGUUAUAUUACAUGGUUAGUAAGAAACGUCUUCCAGGGAGAAUAGUUCCGUUAGGGGUUCCUUUCCCUGGGAGGCAUGCCCUAAAGUGCAUGUCCGGACUGCUAGAAAGAGCAGAAAAGCAUCUGGGGGAAGAUAAAUAAACAAGAAAAAUCAUCUUUUAAUUCACCAACCAAAUAUUCCCUUAAGAAUGCUAGCUUUCGGCUUCACCCAGUCUGAGGUACACAUCCGACUGACCCGGCAGUAACAAUCGCAGAGGUGCUCCCUUUACGACCUAGUCGAACGAACGGGAAUGUAGGGGUAAGCACAGGAGCCAGGCAACCCAGCUUGGCCAAAACUUAAGUCAUAUCGAUGCAUAUAAUGGUGUAUAAAAAGGUUCAUGCCGAAGUGUCACACAUGUUUUGGGCAUGAGGCCCACUUAGAUAAACUUCUGAUAAAGAAGCCCCCAGGUAGGAUGAGCGCGGGUGGCGCGUCAAGUAUGUGCGAGCAAUGCGCAAGCAAGCCCCUAAGGGCUUGGGAGAAAAAAAACAAAAAAGGGGGGAGAAGGAGAGAAAUGCCAGACAGCUAUAUGUGAAAACAUAAAAAAUGGGACAGAGGAGGGAGACGAACACGGAGUCCGGCGCUUAGGCGUAGAAUCUUCGUAGGCGUGCUGCAUUCCAUGGGUUCGGCUCGAGUCGGUUGUCCGAUGCGUUUCGCAGACGGUACGCUCUGCCAAUCAGUACUUGGUCGAUUAUGAAGGGACCCUCCCAUUUGGGCUUUAGUUUGUCUUUUUUCUUGUCCGGCAGGCCUAGAACUAGUUCGCCAACAUUGUAAGUUUUGGCCCGUACUUCUCUGCUUUGAUAUCUUCGGGCCUGUUGUUGAUAGAAUGCGGAACGGGCUUUUGCCACGUCGCGCUCCUCCUCCAACGCGUCCAAGCUGUCCUGCCGAUCGAGCUCGGCUUCUCUUUCUUCGUACAUGCGCACUCGAGGUGAGUCAUGUAUUAUGUCGCAGGGCAGAACUGCCUCUGCGCCGUAUACUAUAAAAAAUGGUGUGAAUCCGGUAGUGCAAUUCGGCGUGGUCCGCAGCCCCCAGAGUACGGAGUCAAGCUCCUCUACCCAUUGCGUGUUUGAUUCUUUGAGGGAUCGCACUAGUCUGGGUUUGAUGCCGCUCAUAAUAAGACCGUUGGCUCGUUCGACUUGACCGUUAGUUUGUGGGUGAUAGACUGAAGCAUAGUCGAGCUUGAUGCCCAUGUUUUUGCACCAGAGUUUAACUUCGUCGGCCGUAAAGUUUGUGCCGUUGUCAGUUAUGAUGCUGUGGGGGACGCCGUAACGGUGUACAACCCCGGAUAUGAAGUCUAUCACCGGUCUGGAUUCGGUCGUCUUUAUAGGCUUGGCCUCUAUCCAUUUGGUGAAUUUGUCCACCAUAACCAGUAGAUAUUUUUUCUUGUUGGUUCCUCCUUUAAGGGGUCCAACCAUGUCAAGCCCCCAGACCGCAAAAGGCCAGGCAAUGGGGAUGGUUUGUAGGGCGGUAGGCGGCAUGUGGCUUUGAUUAGCGAAUAAUUGGCAACCGACGCAUCGCUUCACUAAAUCCUGAGCGUCUGCCCGGGCCGUUGGCCAAUAAAAUCAGGUACAGAAGGCAUUGCUUAUGAGGGCCCGGGCUGCGGCGUGGUGACCGCCGAGUCCGGCAUGGAUUUCAGCCAGAAGGUUUUUCCCUUCCUCUUCGGAGAUACAUCUUUGAAGGACUCCGGUUGUGCUUUUCUUAUAAAGCUCCCCCUCGUGGACUUUGUAGGCUUUAGAUCACCGCACUAUGCGACGGGCUUCGUUUUGGUCUUCAAGAAGUUCCUGCCUAGUUAGGUAGGCUAGGAAUGGUUCUGUCCACGAGGUAAUGACUGCCAUUAUUGUGUGGGCUGACGGUGUUGUUUCGGUGGCGGAGCCACCAACUGUGUCAAAGUGUUCGGUGAGAGGCAGUGUGGUUGUGUCCGGGCUAUUGUUUCCAGACUCUCCCUCCCAUGAAACUGACGGCUUGAACAGCCUCUCAAGGAAGAUGUUGGGGGGGACGGCAUCGCGCUUCGCGCUGAUGCGUGCCAACACGUCUGCUGCCUGGUUGUUCUCCCGGGCUAUGUGAUGAAAUUCGAGCCCCUCAAACCGAGAUGACAUUUUUAAGACAGCAUUGUGAUAAGCUGCCAUUUUCGGAUCCUUGGCGUCAAAGUCUCCAUUUAUUUGGGAUACCGCGAGGUUUGAAUCCCCGCGGACCUCUAGGCGCUGAAUGCCCAUGGAGACUGCCAUCCAGAGACCAUGUAGAAGGGCCUCGUAUUCGGCUACGUUGUUGGAAUCCGUGUACAUUAUCUGAAGUAUGUAUUGUACUGUAUCUCUAGUUGGGGACGUCAGAAUGACGCCAGCCCCAGUCCAGCCAACAUUUUGGAGCCGUCGAAGUGCAUGAUCCAAUUGGAGUAUGUGUCGUACUCUUUAAGGAGCUCGGCUUCAGUCCAUUCGGCGAUGAAGUCGGCCAAAACCUGCGACUUAAUGGCUCGCCUUGGCUUCUAAGUUAUGUCUAACGGGAGGAGCUCGAUGGCCCAUUUGGCAAUCUGGCCCAUUGCGUCAUGGUUGUUUAUAAUAUCAUUAAGGGGUACUUCGGAUGCCACUGUUAUUGAACACUCUUGAAAAUAGUGUUGCAGCUUCCGGGAUGCCAUGAACACCGCGUAUGCUAUCUUUUGAUAAUGCGGGUACCGUGACUUGCAUGGAGUUAGGACAGUGGACACGUAGUAAACUAGUUUUUGGAGAGGGAACUUGUGUCCGUCCGUUUCUCGUUCGACGACGAGCACCGCGCUUACAACUUGGUGGGUUGCCGCGAUGUAUAAUAGCAUUGGUUCGCCUGUGUUGGGCGCGACCAGGACCGGAUUUGUUGCCAGUAUGGCUUUGAUUUCUUCGAGUCUGGCCGUGGCGGUAUCCGUCCACUCGAAAUGUUCGGUGCGCCGUAGGAGGCGAUAAAGGGGUAAUGCCUUUUCUCCUAAGUGGGAGAUAAAGCGUCUUAGAGCCGCCACACAUCCGGUCAAUUUUUGUAUUUGCUUGAGGUCUUUUGGGGUAUCCAAUUGUGACAGAGCUCAGAUCUUGGCUGGGUUUGCUUCAAUUCCUCUACCGGAUACGAUGAAGCCCAAGAGUUUUCCAGCUGGUACGCCGAAAACGCAUUUUUCCGGGUUGAGCUUGAUGUCAUAUGUUCGGAGAUCGUCGAACGUGAGCCUUAAGUCGUCUACUAGAGUAUCGACAUGUUUGGUUUUGACGACCACGUCAUCUACGUAUGCUUCAACUGUUUUGCCGAUCUGGUUGGGCAGACAUGUCUGAAUCAUGCGCUGAUAUGUUGCGCCGGCGUUUUUGAGCCCGAAGGGCAUCGUGUUGAAGCAGAAUGGGCCGUAUGGGCUGAUGAAUGCCGUUGCGGCUUGGUCUGACUCUGCCAUCUUGAUUUGGUGGUAGCCAUAGUAUGCAUCAAGGAAACACAAUGAGUCGUGCCCUGCGGUUGCGUCGAUGAUUUGAUCAAUUCGGGGGAGCAGGAAAGGAUCCUUUGGGCAGGCCUUAUUCAGGUCUUUGAAGUCGACACAUAGGCGCCAGGAUUUGUCCUUCUUUGGUACCAUCACCAGGUUUGCUAGCCAGUCCGGAUGUUUUAUAUCUCUGAUGAAUCCGGCUUCCAGUAGUUUUGCUAGCUCUUCUCCCAUGGCUUGUCUCCUAGGUUCGGAGAAACGCCGUAGAGUCUGCUUAAUGGGUUUAAACCCCUUUAGGAUGUUCAGGCUGUGCUCGGCCAGCCUGCGUGGGAUUCCUGGCAUGUCUGAAGGGUGCCAGGCAAAAAUGUCCCAAUUUUCUCGCCGGAAUUCUCUGAGUGCGGCAUCUACAUCGGGUUUUAGUUGUGCCCCGAUGGAUGCCGUUUUUGUGGGGUCCGUUGGAUGGACUUGGAAUUUGACUAUUUCGUCCACUGGUUUGAAAGAGGUGGACCUGGAUCUCUUAUCUAGUAUCACAUCGUCCCUGUCCACCAUGGAGCGCAGCGUAGUUAGUUCCUCAGCCGCUAGGGCUUCGGAUAAUGCCUCCAGGGCCAGUGCGGCUGUCUUGUGGCGCGGAGCGCUGUGUCCGGAUCACUUGCAAGAGUGAUGAUUCCGUUGGGUCUGGGCAUUUUGAGCUUCAUGUACCCAUAAUGAGGUAUGGCUUGAAAAAUUGUAAAUGCUUCUCGCCCUAGCAGAGCGUGGUAUCCGCUGCUGAACGGGGCCACUUGAAAUGUGACCUCCUCGGAUCUGUAAUUAUCCGGCGUGCCGAACACCACAUCCAGUGUGAUUUUUCCUGAACAGCACGCUUCCCGGCUUGGUAUUAUUCCUCUGAAGGUUGUGUUGCUUCGCUCAAUGCGACUCCAGUCUAUUUCCAUUUUUCGCAGGGUUUCCUCGUAGAUGAGGUUAAGUCUGCUACCAUCGUCCAUGAGUACCUUUGUAAGUCGUAAGCCGUCCACUAUCGGACUGAGGACCAAUGCGGCUGGUGCUCGGGCUGUCCGGAAUUUAGGUUCGUCACUGGCAUUAAAAGUAAUAGCCAUGUGUCGGUGUACUAGAGUAGGGGUACCCUAGUAUCCCGAACUUGUGCACGGGCAGUUGCAGCACCCCGCAGCAAGGCUUGCCGGGUGACCGCCAAGGUCCUCCGUGGUUCCUUUGGAGCCAUUCAAGAACAAAGUAUUCAAGACAAGGAGACAAGGCCCCGGCAAGAGGAGCUUGCCAGGAAGGCCAGCCAAGGCAUCUCAAGGAACUUGCCGCGACGCGCCACGCGUCCCGGCAAGGCCCGGUGAGCGACAAGCUUCCGGACGCGACAAGACAACGAUCGCGGCAAGGCGCUUGCCGCGGCAAACUACCACUCUGUACCCGCGCUCCAGCACAUCCACCAACGUGUCGCCCUGGGACCUUUCCAGGCGCGCGUGGCAAGAGGCUGUGCGGCCAGCGGUGCACGGUGGCAAGCGACGCUAACAAGAUUGCCAUCGUGGCAAGCAGUGGCGUCCCCGACGGUCCCUUUUUGCACUAUUUGGGCGACGUAGAUGGGCAUUUAAUGCCUUUGUCCCCUGCCGUCAGGGUUAGGUAUGAUACACUGUACAGGUAGUUGUACCAACCGCAAUUCCUUUUCCAUUUUUACCCUUGUCUACGUUGCCACCUGUCGGUGACCCCUUAAGCAUAUAAAAGGAGGCCCAUGCGCAACGUAGAGGGGGGAUCAAAAGCAGAAAAACACUCACGCUCGGUCUCGUUAGCAGCUAGUGUAUACUGUAGGACUCAGCGCUCCCGAGCAAGAACUCAAUACACUCAGACAUGCAGCAGUAGGAGUGUUAUCUCUCCGGAGAGCUCCGAAGCUGGGUAAACUGCUCGUGUGCUUCGCCUUGAUCCGCUCUUCAUGCGAUCUCCGCCCCCGCCGAACCGAAAGGGGCUCGGUCCGCCGGUCCCAUAGGUGUUCGUGGAUCAGUUUCCCCGACACCGUGUCACUCCAUGGGUUUAUUGUUGCUACUUGGUAGACUUCGGCGAGGUUGCGGAGGGUUCGUUUCCUUGCAUUGUUUGAUGCGAAGGUCUCGAAGACUGUCGACACCGUACUGGCGUUUCUGGGGUGGUGUUCUUUGGAUUCUGGAGUUAGAAGCUCCUCGCCACUUCUGGCCACCUGCCGGAGUAUCCAACAUGCUCUAAGGCUGUGAGUUGGUGUGACUUCCCCUGAACUAUGAAUUUUACAGGGUCCAUUGAGCCACCCCUCCAGUACGGUCCCAUACCCUAUAGAGGGUUUUUGUUUUUUGAUGUUUGGCUCAGGUGCCUGGCGAUAAUGCGCCCUUUUGUUUCGGACUCGUGUUGGGUUCAGGGCCGGAUUGUCCCAGAAUUUAUUUUCGGUUUUCCGAACGCUUUCUGUCGCACAGUACUUUCGUACUAUGGAUGUCAAGUAGGCGAAGGGUGUAAUUUCGCGGCGACUUAUGGCAUUGAGGAUUCCGAUGUCCGUGCAGUUGUUACAGAAGAAUGAAAUUGCUUCUUCCUCACGGCAGUCCCUUAUCCUGUUCAUAACCAGGAGGAAUCUGGCCCAAUAAUGGUGUACUGUUUCCCCGGGCGCUUGCUGUAUUUGGGAUAAAUCCCUUAUAGUUGGGUGGGCGGGUGGAUUUAAAUCCAGAACCCUGCCCGUUAGAAGAUUCAGGGGCCAAGAAGUUUCCGAAUUAGGGAGCUUGUUUUCUUGGAGAUUAUUCAAUGAAUCAGGCCUGCUACCUGACUUUAGGUUCAGGACUUGGGCAACAUCCUCCCCUCCGCGGGUAUCCGGCUUGGAGGGGUCGGGAAUCCGGACACAUCUGGUCCUUAGAGCAGGCGAAGAUGCGCUGCAUUGUUCUUCCACCACUUCAACGUGGUGGGUGACCUAGGGAGAGUUGAUCCCUCUCUAGUCGGGUUUAAGUCCGAUCUGGCCGUAAUCUGUAGCGACUCCCAGGGCGGCAAUGCGAUCGAGGAGCUCAUUCAAGGAAGAGAGCUCCGUCGGAUCUAACUGCUCGGCGAGUUCCGAGCUGAUGUGAAGAUUGCUUUCGAUGGCCUAAGAGGUCAUCGUCGACGCGCGGCUGAACAGGCGGUCAUCAAGAACCUUCCUAGCCAGAGAGUUUGACCGACAGCCAAAGCUCCUUUAGUGACAGCGCCGUCUUUAAAGACGGGGUGCGGCAUCCUUCCUGACGGUGACAGCAUAGAGGAACUCCCAAUGAAAGCACCAAUGUCGGAGUCAAAACCGGCGGAUCUCGGGUAGGGGGUCCCGUGUAGGGGAACGCAGCAGAAAACAAAAAAUUUCCAACCUACGCACCAGCCCAGGACCACUAUGGAGACUGCAUACAUGGUUUGAUCCUUUUUGUUUCCACUCGUAGCACAGCGGGAAGUAGAGUCGAUGACGAACGGCGGUGCAGAUCCCCGCAGCUAGGAUUUACAACCUCCCAACCGCAAGGAUGUAUACCCUCAUCUUCUCCUUAGACAGCCCUCCGGGAGGCGGUCGAACAGCCCCUCGGACGGUGUCGCGGACAGCCCUUCGGGAGGACCUUCGAAACUCGAACGGUCACUCGGACAGCCCUUCGGGAGGACCUUCAAAACUUGGACGGUCACACGGACAGCCCUUCGGGAGGCACUCACGAACUAAGACCGAAACUACGAUCUCUCUACAGAGUUGCACACAUACGGUGUCAUCUAUUCGGCAGGGCUUCGCCGUCCAGAACUAGUUCCUGCCGGAACCCAGACAGCCUUGCGGCUCUACGAAACUCUUUUCAUGGGAGGGAGAGAAGAAGCCAGAUCAUGCAUGGCACUUGUAUGUGAGAAGGGAUGAUCCUUUAGGCAGCCCCCUCCACCCCUAUUUAUAGGACAAGCCCAAGGGAGGCUUCUCCAAGAAGCCAAGGGGAUAAUACCAAAAGGCCCUCAAGGUGGCUUCUCCAAGAAGCCAAGCAAAAAGCACUUUCACUAUUCAUGACGACAUUUUUAGCGUCCGUUCGAACUGUAAAUAUUUAUGUGGGAUCAGAACAUUUCCAUUACCCACUAAAAAUAAUUUUCAACACGUUCCAAAACAAUUUCGGUUUAGUGAUUUUCAUCUGCGCAAAGCAAACAAGAAUGCGUUUUUACUAUUCAUGAAGACAAUUUUUCGCGUCCAUUAAAUCCGAAAAUAUUUCUGUGGGUCUUAGAAUAAUUCCAGUACCCAGUAAAAUGAUUUUGGAUUUGUUCUGAAACAAUUUCAGAUUAGUGAAUUUCAUUUGCGAAAAACAUCUGAAGUGGUUCCGGCAGCCCCGGAGCAUAUCCGGUUAUUAUCCCGGAAAAUUCCAGAAAGCUUCCAGAAUGAUUCUGUCACCCUCCAAGAAUUAUUAGGCAUGUGCCAAAACCAAUUUGACUUAACGGUAUCCCCUGAAACAACUUUUCAGUUUCACCGAAACUCAUCCGAUGACCUCUCUCUGCGGUACGAUUCCGCUGUCCGAAACCAUUCCGGUGUCCGAAACUUUUUUCGGUGAUUUUCUCUCAGACUCCCUGUCUAGUAUUCAGAAGAUAGAUGACCCUUAAGCAUGUGACCCUAUAGGUUCGGUGAAGUAUAGACAUGACCCGGAACCCCUUCCGAUCAAUGAUCAACAUCGGAGCCGUGGACACCCAUAUUGACCCCUAUACCCACACGAAUGAAUAUUCGAGUGAACCUCCAGUUGCUGUGUGCUAUUCCUGUUGCUUCGUGAUAUGUUACAAAUACCCGAGGUGAGACAUGUUGGCAUUCCCAUGGAUCAACAACUUGUCCACUAUGCCAGUUACCUCGUUAUCAGUAUUGUUCUCUUUACUCGUUACCGUGUUCCGGCAUCCCCGUGAUCAAAUCACAAAGUGUCUAGCCAGACGAUGAUAGAUACCGUAACACCGAGAGGGCCCAGAGAUAUCUCUCCAUCAUUGGAGGAGCAAAUCCCAAUCUUGAGCUAUUAAGUUACUUGACAGACUUUUCCAUGAACCCGUAAGCCGCUGUAAUAGCCACCCAUUUACGGAUGACGUUUAACAAACCCCAAAGUUCAUGAAGCAAGCAUGAAGAAACUCGAUACUCUCAUGGUCUAAGGAAUCAUGCAAACGUUAACCAUAUCUGUGUUAUUUACCAUUAACUUCUGACGAAUGUAUCUCAUAGCAUAACAUCAAUUCGGGUCGAUUCAACACAAAUGUUCUCUUAACAUUGUGCCCUCAAAGUUGCUGGCAUAGACAUGCCCAUGAUCAGGAAAACGGAACCAUCAUGCAACCCUUGAGCUAGUCUUCGAGGCCAAACUAGGAAAACUUCUUACCGUUUAUUAUUCCACACGUGCAUAUGAGUCUUCCUCCGAGCCUCGUGGAUAUUGUAGACUCGAGAAUCAUUGCAGUUAUAGCAUGGAACAUAAACAUAAUUAUGAACUCGGAGAUAAAUAAUAUCAUUUAUUAUUGCCUCUAGGGCAUAUCUCCUACAGACUCCCACUUGCACUAGAGUCAAUAAUCUAGUUUAAUGCUAAUGCACUUCACACCUAUGGCACAUCGGUGUAAAUAUGCUUCGCUUGUGGUAUAGCCUGAUGUCCAUCAGAUCUGACAACUUCAGCUCCGUGUCUAUCUCUGCAUAUCCUCGCGUUUUCACACUUUCACAAAAUUCAUAUUUUGUGCGGACUUGGCUUUGUAUAAAUGUGAAUCACAGGUUGAACCUGGAUUCCUCAGACUGAGUUAUGGAGAAACUACCUGCAGUAGUGUCCCAUUGACAAAGGCCAUCUUAGAACCAUACUAAGUUCAUGAAUGAACUAUAUGAUUCAACAUCUUGUUUGUCGCUUCUAAAGUGUCAACAUACUUAGUCAUUUGUUAUAGAAUUCUCCACAGUAUCCUGUUGGGAACAAUUUCCAACUACCGUGCCACCAUAUUGUGUAUUACACAAAACCCUUAACUUAAAUCAAAAAUUGCAUGGAGAAAAGAUGAAGAUUGUAUCGAUGUAACAUUUUACAACGAACUCUUCAUGAUCUCCGCUUGCGAGAAAACAUAUCAUCAGUACUUACUCUAGUACUCAAUGACAUCUUUCAUUGUUGUCCCAUGAUUAGUACUUUGAUCACUUUAGUAUCCAUACUAGCAACACCUUGGGAGUAUCGGACAUAUCUGGUUGUUUUACAUACCAUGGAAUACAUGAUUAAUCCAAACACAAAAGUGUGUGGAAUCUGCAUCAUUUAUUUUGCUCAUCAGUGUUUUGGGACACCGAGUCUUGCAAAAAACACUUCCAUGUGACUCCGGCAAGAAUCACUCCUUGGCAGUUUUAAAUGGUAAAAGGUUUUAGCACCUUGUCAAUAUGUAUUCAUUGCCUAGCCCUAUUAGGUAAAUCUAUCUCCAUAGAUCAUUAUGCCUAAUAUUGAGGCUAUUUAGCCUAAGCACUUCAUCAAAAAACUAUUUUCAAAUGAAGUCCUAAUUUGUGUCAAGAAAUUUAUUUCCAAUUAACAAUGUGUCAAGCACACAAGGUUUUUAGAAAUAUUAUUAAGCUCCCACUUAAUUUCUUGAAUUACAAGCAUCUUCAUUACCCAUUGAUGAAGUCAAACCCCUUUGACCAUUUCAUCAAAGCACGAAGAUUCCAACUCCAUUUUGUUGUCUUCUGUCCAUCGCUGGAACUCUGAAGUUUGCACCCUUACUAGCAUCCUCUGGAUAGACAAAAUGCCUUGGACUGUAACACAUGCAUGUCCUUGGUUUCGUUUCCAUCAGAUAGAAAUCCUAUUGUCAUCCAUGUUUCAUAUCUCAUGAUUGAAAUAUGUAUUAAUUGCUAGUUCAACCCGAACUGACUUUAAGCAUCGCUACAAUGAAAACAACCUCAUCGUAGUCAACUCUUGAACUUGUUAUUUCAACAAGUCGAGCUUUAUGGAUAAAACAUUUUUAUCCGUAUCAGUUUUAAGUUCCAUAAAUAUUUGAUAGACUCUAAGUCUUCCGAAAGGUGUAUCAAGGUUUUAAUCUUGAAUUACUUAUAUGGAAACUAACUCAGGUUGUAUUGGCAUUUAGCCAAUUCCGGAGUCAGGGCCCAUCAACGCUUCCUUGUGUAUCGUAGGUAUAAUGUUGUCUAACAACAAUAUCUCGUUUGCGCACCUGAGAGGUUUGCACGAGCCUUGCCUAUGUGGUUCAGCUGCAAGUUCGACCGAAGUUCAUACAUUUUAUUGUAGAGACUUCCGUAUCAGUCGUAGUAGGAAACUAUGGAAUUACUUCCAAGGUCUCUUUCCUUUGAUCUGAUGAUGAAGAUACUGUUUAUCUCAUCAAGUUGCACUAUUCUCCCACUCACCUUUUUGAAAGAACCAUUCUCUUUAAAAGCACACUGUUUCACGCCAAAACUAUUUGCCUCGGUAUGGUGAGGGAGGAAUACCCAACAUUUUGGUAUAACCUACAAAGUAGCACUUGUCUGAUUUGGGAUAGGUUUGUAACUUUUUACACAAGCCCCAUAUUCCAAAUGUUAAGAAAAGAUAUAACAUGGUUGGGCGUACCAUACCAUGGCUUCAUUUCAACAGACCCGAUGUAGCUCUUUUCAGUGUAAAAGCUGCAGUCUCUAAAGCAUCACUUUAAAAAGGGACAAUGGCAAAUUUAUUUAUGUCAUCUUUGAUCUUACCAUGUCAUAAAUGGUUAGAUUACAUCUUCACAGACAUUCCACUCAUAGUGGUGUUCCGGGAGGUGUAAGUUAUGAAACUCUUUUCACAACUCAUCGGACAUUCGCUAAACUUGUAACUCAAAUAUUCCUUUCUGCAAUCAAAUUGUAGAAACGUAAUUUCCUUGUUACAAUAACUUCUACUUCAUUUUUGAAAACCUUUCGAAUGAUUUCAAAAGACCCAGACUUACGUCUCAUCAAGUAAAUAUCCAUAUAUCUACUUGAGUCAUUUCUGAAGAUAAAUAAAUCCACCACUAACAACACUUAUCGGACUACACACAUCAAAUGUAUGAUCACUAAUAAGUUUGUUGUUCGUUCCUUAUGGCCUGUGAACGGUAUUUUAGUCACUUCACUUCUCGGAGGAAAGUUGCAAGUGUCAGAUGAUUCAAAAUCAAAAAGACUUCAAAAUCCAUCAUAAUGGAAUUUUCCAUGCGGGUUUCUCCAAUAUGACCAAAUGUAGUGCCACACUUGUGUGGUAUUCUUUUAGUCUUGCGACAUUUACCGUCAGUGUUAUGGAUGUAUCAUAUUACCAUCAAUAUUCAUAACAUACAUCCCAUCUUGGAUGGAAGCAUGGCCCUUCAUGUUAUUCAUAAUACUUAACAACAAUUGUUGUUUUUAUGAACAACUCUUUUGCAUCAAACAUUGUGCAAUGGGCUAGUGUGUAUGAAACUCUAAAAUGAAUUAUGAAAGUAAACCCAGAGGUAUUGUAUUAUUAUCAAUACUCAUAACAUACAUCUCAUUCAUAAUGAAAGUAUGGCCCUUGUGUUAUUCAUAACAUCGAACAUAAAAAGUUCUCUUAUGAACAACCUUCUUGCAAGAUACCUUAUGCAAUGGGCUAGAAUUUGUAAAACUCUAAAUGAAUUAUGAAAAUAAAUACAGACGGCCAUACACUAAUGGAAGGUAUAGUAACAUUUACUAUGUUCCCUGUGUAUACCUUAACCUCAUUUCUGGCUAGCCUUUUUGGCCAUAGUAGCUCUUAGAUUGAUUCGUAACAGAAUGCAAUCGAGCGGGUAUCUUUGAGAUUAACUCACAAUACCCAAGAAUUAGUGAUUAACAUGUUUAACCAUAAUUCCCAAGAACUAUAUCUUUGACCAGCCUACUAUACAUCAAAAACUUGUAUGACAUUCAUACAUGAGCUGGAUAUUCCAGUCAUCUUUCUUUCUGCCUUUAUACUUCUAAUAGUUUAACUUUUAGUAUUUCUCCUACUCGCAAAAGAAGCACCCAACAUAAGAGUGGCGUUAGCCCCGGACUUCCUAGGCGUGUAAGUCAUACUAACACCCUUUGGACACUUCCUUUCUCUUUAAGUUGUUGUUUUAUUCACCUUUCAUUAUAUGACAGGCGUUCUUCUGGAUCCCUUUCCCAACAGUCAAAUGCAUAGUAAACACUUUUACUAAUACUUGCAAACAAACAUUACUUUGUUUGUAUCUGAAAAUAAUUUUCAGUUCCAUGAAUAUCAUAUAACUAUCCCAACUUUCGAAGUUUGCGUUUCAUGGAAGCAAACAUAUUCCACUUGACCGUAAUAGAAUUCUAGCUUUUGGAUCGAAGGACGGGAGUCUCAUCAUAGAUAGCAAUUAGCGGGAGUAUACGGAAAGCAUGCAAUAGGACAAAGUCCUUCUCGGCACUUUUGAGGACAAUCCUCAUAUUACGUUACCAAUCGUAAAGUUUUAACCAGAUAUUUAACAGCUAUUCAAUUUUAACAGGGAAAGAGGAAACGCGAGCCAUUAUUCUACAACUAUGUUGCAAGAAACACUUAGACAGUGUUCAUAAUUAAUUGCACUAAGAAAUAAACAAGUUAAUUCUACAGUGCGCUCCCACUCAAAUCAAUAUCUCUCAUAAUUGAUUGUGAGUGAUACAAGAUCCACAUUUCAAUUCAACGCCAUUGGUGUGGACAUCACUGAUGACGAGAAUUUCAAUUGGUGGGCAAACAUGCCGAUCACAUCUCUAUGUGACUCCUGUUCAUCUUUCGAUGGGUGUGUUCCGAGCUCAGGACGAUCAAGCCAGAACGUCAAGACAACCAAGUGAUCUUGCUGCGAGGUCUGACCUCACCCGCCUCACACUUCUCUAAUCGUUCGUACCCAUGUGGACAUGGCGCACCCCGAAAAGUUAGGUGCCGUGACGGUGCUACACUUGGGAGAACACUAACUACUUCAUAUUUUUGUGAGAGAUCACCCUAAUAAAAAGCGACUACCGCGCAAUCAAGAAGGGUGAAUCAAAGGGAUAAACAUUUCAUGCAAUUCAUAAUAACAUGAUAUGGUAUAGCCCUUUCUGACGGAGAAGUCUUGUAUUUCUUCGUCUUCGGCAUUCGCAUCGGUGUUCACCUUAGCAAAGAUUGCCACCACCUUGUCGGUGCAGCAGAUAAUAUCGCUAUCUCCAUAGCGGAUAAAAUAAAUGCAUUACUUAAGGUUGACACGCAGGUCAUUAAAGUGCAAUCAUAUGGCUCCAGCCAUCAUGCCGAAUCAUGACACGCAGGUCAUGUUAAUUACAUUAUAUAGUCAUCUCAUACAUAAUCAAAUUAUUAUGAGCACUGCUAUACCACAUCACAUGCAAACCAUCCUGCAAAACCAAGUUAGACGCCUCUAAUCGGUUCAUACAAAAAAAGUUUUACGUGGCUUCUAAGGUUUCGACUUAAACUGCAGCUACCAACGUUUUAUCAUCAAGUAUGAUUAUUCAAGUUCCUAGAUUAACAUCUCGGGAUGUAUGAUGCACGAGAACAUAAAAUCUCGAACCCCAUACUAAACUUCGUCAUACGCAUGACCCCCGUGCAGAUCAUAUCUGCAAUGCCCUUUCAUCUGCGAAUUUCAUCUUUCUUUUGACUAUGGCAGAACCCAAAGAACUGAUAGCACUUCCGUGAUCAAUCAGGAUCACGGAUUGCCAGAACUUUGUCAAAUUCCACCAUGCUGUCUCGAGAUUGAGCAAACGCAAAUUCUAGGGAAGCAACAAGAACGUCGGGUAACAUAUUUCAUCUGUUACCCGCAUAAAUAAGUUUCAGCAAUAGAUCUCAUCUACUCCAAAAUUAUAUUAUGCAAUACCCAUACAUCUCCAUGUAUUCUAGAUCACAACCUGCAUCUAAGCAUAGCACGGCUCAUGAUGCCACUGUAUGGGAACACAGCAGAAAACAAAAAAUUUCCAACCUACGCACCAGCCCAGGACCACUAUGGAGACUGCAUACAUGGUUUGAUCCUUUUCGUUUCCGACUCGUAGCGCAGCGAGAAGUAGAGUCGAUGACGAACGGCGGUGCAGAUCCCCGCAGCUAGGAUUUACAACCUCCCAACCGCGAGGAUGUAUACCCUCAGCUGCUCUUCAGACAGCCCUCCGGGAGGCGGUCGAACAGCCCCCCGGACGGUGUCGCGGACAGCCCUUCGAGAGGACCUUUGAAACUCGAACGGUCACUCGGACAGCCCUUCGCACGGACAACCCUUUGGGAGGCACUCACGAACUAAGACCGAAACUACGGUAUCUCUACAGAGUUGCAUACAUACGGUGUCAUCUAUCCGGCAGGGCUUCGCCGUCCAGAACUAGUUCCUGCCGGAACCCAGACAGCAUUGCGGCUCUACGAAACUCUUUUCGUGGGAGGGAGAGAAGAAGCCAGAUCAUGCAUGUCACUUGUAUGUGAGAAGGGAUGAUCCUUUAGGCAGCCCCCUCCACCCCUAUUUAUAGGCCAAGCCCAAGGGUGGCUUCUCUAAGAAGCCAAGGGGAUAAUACCAAAAGGCCCUCAAGGUGGCUUCUCCAAGAAGCCAACAAAAAGCACUUUCACUAUUCAUGACGACAUUUUUCAGCGUCCGUUCGAACUGAAAAUAUUUAUGUGGGCUCAGAACAUUUCUAUUACCCACUAAAUAUAAUUUUCAACACAUUCCGAAACAAUUUCGGUUUAGUGAUUUUCAUCUGCGCAAAGCAAACAAGAAUGCGUUUUUACUAUUCAUGAAGACAAUUUUUCGCGUCCAUUAAAUCCGAAAAUAUUUCUGUGGGUCUUAGAAUAAUUCUAGUACCCAGUAAAAUGAUUUUGGAUUUGUUCUGAAACAAUUUCAUAUUAGUGAAUUUCAUCUGCGAAAAACAUCUGAAGUGGUUCCGGCAGCCCCGGAGCAUAUCCGGUUAUUAUCCCGGAAAAUUCCAGAAAGCUUCCAGAAUGAUUCUGGCACCCUCCAAGAAUUAUCAGGCAUGUGCCGAAACCAAUUUGACUUAACGGUAUCCCCUGAAAGAACUUUUUAGUUUCACCGAAACUCAUCCGAUGACCUCUCUCUGCGGUACGAUUCCGCUGUCCGAAACCAUUCCGGUGUCCGAAACUUUUUACGGUGAUUUUCUCUCAGACUCCCUGUCUAGUAUUCAGCAGAUAGAUGACCCUUAAGCGUGUGACCCUAUAGGUUCGGUGAAGUAUAGACAUGACCCGGAACCCCUUCCGAUCAAUGAUCAACAUCGAAGCCGUGGACACCCAUAUUGACCCCUAUACCCACACGAAUGAAUAUUCGAGUGAACCUCCAGUUGCUGUGUGCUAUUCCUGUUGCUUCGCGAUAUGUUACAAAUACCCGAGGUGAGACAUGUUGGCAUUCCCAUGGAUCAACAACUUGUCCACUAUGCCAGUUACCUCGUUACCAAUAUUCUUCUCUUUACUCGUUACCGUGUUCCGGCAUCCCCGUGAUCAAAUCACAAAGUGUCUGGCCAGGCGAUGAUAGAUACCGUAACACCGAGAGGGCCCAGAGAUAUCUCUCCAUCGUUGGAGGAGCAAAUCCCAAUCUUGAGCUAUUAAGUUGCUUGACAUACUUUUCCAUGAACCCGUAAGCCGCCGUAAUAGCCACCCAUUUACGGAUGACGUUUAACAAACCCCAAAGUUCAUGAAGCAAGCAUGAAGAAACUCGAUACUCUCAUGGUCUAAGGAAUCAUGCAAACGUUAACCAUCUUUGUGUUAUUUACCAUUAACUUCUGACGAAUGUAUCUCAUAGCAUAACAUCAAUUCGGGUGGAUUCAACACAAAUGUUCUCUUAACAUUGUGCCCUCAAAGUUGCUGGCAUAGACAUGCCCAUGAUCAGGAAAACGGAACCCUCAUGCAACACUUGAGCUAGUCUUCAAGGCCAAACUACGAAUACUUCUUACCGUUUAUUAUUCCACACGUGCAUAUGAGUCUUCCUCCGAGCCUUGUGGAUAUUGUAGACUCGAGAAUCAUUGCAGUUAUAGCAUGGAACAUAAACAUAAUUAUGAACUCGGAGAUAAAUAAUAUCAUUUAUUGUUGCCUCUAGGGUAUCGCCAAGCUUGCCUUCCACGCCAAGGAAAGUCCAUAUCUGGACACGGGACGGAGUCUUCAAUCUUGUAUCAUCAUAGUCCGGGAGUCCGGCCAAAGGUCAUAGUCCGGUCAUCCGGAAACCCCCUAAUCUAGGACUCCCUCAAGGCCGAAAGGCACAAAGGGGCGCAAAUUGGCCCAACACUUAAAUGGGUCGCUAAAAGGCCAAAACUCAGGUCCGACUACAAAUGGCGCAACUGAUUUAUGGGCCGUCAAUAGGCUGAAAGUGACACCGGGCCGGAAAUUGGCCCAACACUUAAAUGGGCCGCUAAAAUGCCGAAACUCAGGUCCGACUACAAAUGGCCCAUCAGAUUUAUGGGUCGUCAAUAGGCUGAAAGACACACCGGGCCGGAAAUUAGCCUAACAUUUAAAUGGGUCGCUAAAAGGCCAAAAGAUGUACAUCCUGAAAAUUGGCCCAUCCAUUGAAUGGCCCGUUAACAGGCCGAAAUCUCAUCGGGCCGAUAUUGAGCCCAAAUAUAUAGCGGGCUGUUAACGGGCUCGAACUGACGAUGGGCUGCAAUGGUGUCAAAUCUUUAACGGGCUGUUGACGGGCCGAAUUUGCACAUCUCGUAUGGGCCGUGGGCUUAAAUGGGCCGGCCUGCUAAUUUUUACUAGGCCGGCCAUUUUCACUGGAAUGGGCCACUGUUGGGCCGUGCCACGUGUUGACCUAUCAUAGGCACCUCCAGUCCAAUGAGUGGAUGACAUCUGUCCCAACGGUGAGGCAACACGUGUUUCCUGCGGCCAGUGAUUAUUUUACACGUGGAAAAUCCCCAUUAGUUCGGGCUGUUAACGGGUUAUCGGAUCCAAAACCGGAGCCGAUAGCUGUUGGGGAACGUAGUAAUUUCAAAAUUUUCCUACGCACACGCAAGGAUCAUGGUUAGAACAACGCGGUUGAUGUAGUCGUAUGUCUUCACGAUCCGACCGAUCCAGGUACCGAACAUACGGCACCUCCGAGUUCAGCACACGUUCAGCUCGAUGACGAUCCCCGGACUCCGAUCCAGCAGGGUGUCGGGGAUGAGUUCCGUCAGCACGACGACGUGGUGACGAUGAUGAUGUUCUACCAACGCAGGGCUUCGCCUAAGCACCGCAACAAUAUGACCGAGGUGGAAUAUGGUGGAGGGGGGCACCGCACACGGCUAACGAACGAUCACGAAGAUCAACUUGUGUGUCUAGAGGUGCCCCCUGCCCCCGUAUAUAAAGUAGCCAAGGGGGAGGGGCAACCGGCCAAGGAGGGCGCGCCAAGGGGGAGUCCUACUCCCACCGGGAGUAGGACUCCCUUCUUUCCUAGUUGGAGAAGGAGAAGGGGGGAAGGAGGAGGAAGAGGGGAAGGAAAGGGGGGGGAGGGCGCCGCCCCCUCUCCUUGUCCUAUUCAGACUAGGGAGGGGAGGGGGCGCAGCCCACCUCUUGCCUCCUCUCUUCCUCUCCACUAGGGCCCAUGUAGGCCCAUUAAGCCCCCGGGGGGUUCCGGUAACCUCCCGGUACUCCGCUAAAAUCCCGAUUUCACCCGGAACACUUCCGAUAUCCAAAUAUAGGCUUUGAAUAUAUCAAUCUUUAUUUCUCGACCAUUUCGAGACUCCUCGUCAUGUCCAUAAUCUCAUUCGGGACUCCGAACAAACUUCGGUACAGCAAAACAUAUAAAAUCAUAAUAUAACUGUCAUUGUAACGUUAAGCGUGCGGACCCUACGGGUUCGAGAACUAUGUAGACAUGACCUAGAACUGUUUCCGGUCAAUAACCAAUAGCGGAACCUGGAUGCUCAUAUUGGCUCCUACAUAUUCUACGAAGAUCUUUAUCGGUCAAACCGCAUAACAACAUACGUUGUUCCCUUUGUCAUCGGUAUGUUACUUGCCCGAGAUUCGAUCGUCGGUAUCUCAAUACCUAGUUCAAUCUCAUUACCAGCAAGUCUCUUUACUCGUUACGUAAUGCAUCAUUUCGUAACCAACUCAUUGGCCACAUUGCUUGCAAGGCUUAUAGUGAUGUGCAUUACCGAGAGGGCCCAGAGAUACCUCUCCGACAAUCGGAGUGAGAAAACCUAAUCUCGAAAUACGCCAACUCAAGAUGUACCUUUGGAGACACCUGUAGAGCUCCUUUAUAAUCAGCCAGUUAUGUUGUGACGUUUGGUAGCACACAAAGUGUUCCUCCGAUAAACGGGAGUUGCAUAAUCUCAUAGUUAUAGGAACUUUGUAUAAGUCAUGAAGAAAGCAAUAGCAACAUACUAAACGAUCAAGUGCUAAGCUAACGGAAUUGGUCAAGUCAAUCACAUCAUUCUCCUAAUGAUGUGAUCCUGUUAAUCAAAUGACAACACAUGUCUAUGGCUAGGAAACAUAACCAUCUUUGAUUAAUGAGCUAGUCAAGUAGAGGCAUACUAGUGACAUUAAGUUUGUCUAUGUAUUCACACAUGUAUCAUGUUUCCGGUUAAUACAAUUCUAGCAUGAAUAAUAAACAUUUAUCAUGAUAUGAGGAAAUAAAUAAUAACUUUAUUAUUGCCUCUAGGGCAUAUUUCCUUCAGUCUCCACUUGCACUAGAGUCAAUAAUCUAGAUUACACAGUAAUGAUUCUAACACCCAUGGAGUCUUGGUGCUGAUCAUGUUUUGCUCGUGGAAGAGGCUUAGUCAACGGGUCUGUAACAUUCAGAUCCGUAUGUAUCUUGCAAAUCUCUAUGUCUCCCACCUGGACUUGGUCCCAGAUGGAAUUGAAGCAUCUCUUGAUGUGCUUGGUCCUCUUGUGAAAUCUGGAUUCCUUUGCCAAGGCAAUUGCACCAGUAUUGUCACAGAAGAUCUUCAUUGGUCCCGAUGCACUAGGUAUCACACCUAGAUCGGAAAUGAACUCCUUCAUCCAGACUCCUUCAUUUGCUGCUUCUGAAGUAGCUAUGUACUCCGCUUCGCAUGUAGAUCCCGCCACGACGCUUUGUUUAGAACUGCACCAACUUACAGCUCCACCGUUUAAUAAAAACACGUAUCCGGUUUGCGAUUUAGAAUCGUCCGGAUCAGUGUCAAAGCUUGCAUCGACGUAACCAUUUAUGACUAGCUCUUUGUCACCUCCAUAAAUGAGAAACAUAUCCUUAGUCCUUUUCAGGUAUUUCAGGAUGUUCUUGAUUGCUGUCCAGUGAUCCACUCCUGGAUUACUUUGGUACCUACCUGCCAAGCUUAUUACUAAGCAUAAGUCAGGUCUGGUACACAGCAUUGCAUACAUGAUAGAGCCUAUGGCUGAAGCAUAGGGAACAUCUUUCAUUUUCUCUUUAUCUUCUGCUAUGGUCAGGCAUUGGGUCUGACUCAACUUCACACCUUGUAAUACAGGCAAGAACCCUUUCUUUGCCUGAUCCAUUUUGAACUUUUUCAAAAACUUUAUCAAGGUAUGUGCUUUAUGAAAGUCCAAUUAAGUGUCUUGAUCUAUCUCUAUAGAUCUUGAUGCCCAAUAUGUAAGCAGCUUCACCGAGGUCUUUCAUUGAAAAACUUUUAUUCAAGUAUCCCUUUAUGCUAUCCAGAAAUUCUAUAUCAUUUCCAAUUAACAAUAUGUCAUCUACAUAUAAUAUCAAAAAUGCUACAGAGCUCCCACUCACUUUCUUGUAAAUACAAGCUUCUCCAAAAGUCUGUAUAAAACCAUAUGCUUUGAUCACACUAUCAAAGCGUUUAUUCCAACUCCGAGAUGCUUGCACUAGUCCAUAAAUGGAUUGCUGAAGCUUGCACACUUUGUUAGCACCUUUUGGAUCGACAAACCCUUCUGGUUGCAUCAUAUACAACUCUUCUUCCAGAAAUCCAUUCAGGAAUGCAGUUUUGACAUCCAUUUGCCAAAUUUCAUAAUCAUAAAAUGCGGCAAUUGCUAACAUGAUUCAGACAGACUUAAGCAUCGCUACGGGUGAGAAAGUCUCAUCGUAGUCAACCCCUUGAACUUGUCGAAAACCUUUCACAACAAGUCGAGCAUUGUAGACAGUUACAUUACCAUCAGCGUCAGUCUUCUUCUUGACGAUCCAUUUAUUCUCGAUGGCUUGCCGAUCAUCGGGCAAGUCAACCAAAGUCCAUACUUUGUUCUCAUACAUGGAUCCCAUCUCAGAUUUCAUGGCUUCAAGGCAUUUUGCGGAAUCUGGGAUCAUCAUCGCUUCCUCAUAGUUCGUAGGUUCGCCAUGGUCAAGUAACAUGACUUCCAGAAUAGGAUUACCGUACCACUCUGGUGCGGAUCUUACUCUGGUAGACCUACGAGGUUCAGUAGUAACUUGAUCUGAAAUUUCAUGAUCAAUAUCAUUAGCUUCCUCACUGAUUGGUGCAGUUGUCACAGGAACCGGUUCUUGUGAUGAACUACUUUCCAAGAAGGGAGCAGGUACAGUUACCUCAUCAAGUUCUACUUUCCUCCCACUCACUUCUUUCGAGAGAAACUCCUGCUCUAGAAAGGAUCCGAAUUUAGCAACGGAAAUCUUGCCUUCAGAUCUGUGAUAGAAGGUGUACCCAAUAGUCUCUUUUGGGUAUCCUAUGAAGACACAUUUCUCCGAUUUGGGUUCGAGCUUAUCUGGUUAAAGUUUCUUCACAUAAGCAUCGCAGCCCCAAACUUUAAGAAACGAAAACUUUGGUUUCUUGCCAAACCACAGUUUAUAAGGCGUCGUCUCAACGGAUUUGAUGGUGCCCUAUUUAACGUGAAUGCGGCCGUCUCUAAAGCAUAACCCCAAAACAAUAGCGGUAAAUCAGUAAGAGACAUCAUAGAUCGCACCAUAUCUAGUAAAGUACGAUUACGACGUUCGGACACACCAUUUCAUUGUGGUGUUCUGGGUGGCGUGAGUUGCGAAACUAUUCCGCAUUAUUUCAAAUGUAGACCAAACUCGUAACUCCAAUAUUCUCCUCUUCGAUCAGAUCAUAGAAAUUUUAUUUUCUUGUUACGAUGAUUUUCCUCUUCACUCUGAAAUUCUUUGAACUUUUCAAAUGUUUCAGACUUGUGUUUCAUCAAGUAGAUAUACCCAUAUCUGCUCAACUCAUCUGUGAUGGUGAGAAAAUAACGAUACCCGCCGCGAGCUUCAACAUUCAUUGGACCACAUACAUCAGUAUGUAUGAUUUCCAAUAAAUCAGUUGCUCGCUCCAUAGUUCCGGAGAACGGUGUUUUAGUCAUCUAGCCCAUGAGGCGCGGUUCGCAAGUACCAAGUGAUUAAUAAUCAAGUGAUUCCAGAAGUCCAUCAGUAUGGAGUUUCUUCAUGCGCUUUACACCGAUAUGACCUAAACGGUAGUGCCACAAAUAAGUUGCACUAUCAUUAUCAACUCUGCAUCUUUUGGUUUCAACAUUAUGAAUAUGUAUAUCACUACUAUCGAGAUUCAAUAAAAAUAGACCACUCUUCAAGGGUGCAUGACCAUAAAAGAUAUUACUCAUAUAAAUAGAACAACCAUUAUUCUCUGAUUUAAAUGAAUAACCGUCUCGCAUCAAACAAGAUCCAGAUAUAAUGUUCAUGCUCAACGCUGGCACCAAAUAACAAUUAAUUAGGUCUAAAACUAAUCCCGAUGGUAGAUGUAGAGGUAGCGUGCCGACCGCGAUCACAUCGACUUUGGAACCAUUUCCCACGCGCAUCGUCACCUCGUCCUUAGCCAAUAUUUGCUUAAUCCAUAGUCCCUGUUUCGAGUUGCAAAUAUUAGCAACAGAACCAGUAUCAAAUACCCAGGUACUACUGCGAGCAUUAGUAAGGUACACAUCAAUAACAUGUAUAUCACAUAUACCUUUGUUCACUUUGCCAUCCUUCUUAUCCGCCAAAUACUUGGGGCAGUUCCGCUUCCAGUGUCCAGGCUGCCUACGGUAGAAGCACUUAGUCUCAGUCUUAGGUCCAGACUUGGGUUUCUUCUCUUGAGCAGCAACUUGUUUGCUAUUCUUCUUGAAGUUCCCCUUCUUCUUCCCUUUGCCCUUUUUCUAGAAACUGGUGGUCUUAUUGACCAUCAACACUUGAUGCUCCUUCUUAAUUUCUAGCUCCGCAGCCUUUAGCAUUGCGAAGAGCUUGGGAAUAGUCUUGUCCAUCCCUUGCAUAUUAUAGUUCAUCACGAAGCUCUUGUAGCUUGGUGGCAGUGAUUGAAGAAUUCUGUCAAUGACACUAUCAUCAGGAAGAUUAACUCCCAGUUGAAUCAAGUGAUUAUUAUACCCAGACAUUUUGAGUAUGUGUUCACUGACAGAACUAUUCUCCUCCAUAUUACAGUUAUAGAACUUAUUGGAGACUUCAUAUCUCUCAAUCCGGGCAUUGCUUGAAAUAUUAACUUCAACUUGAGGAACAUCUCAUAUGCUCCAUGACGUUCAAAACAUCAUUGAAGACCCGGUUCCAAGCCGUAAAGCAUGGCACACUGAACUAUCGAGUAGUCAUCAGCUUUGCUCUGUCAGACGUUGUCAGUUGCAUCUGCAGCAGGCCUGGCACCCAACGGUGCUUCCAGGACGUAAUUCUUCUGUGCAGCAAUGAUGAUAAUCCCCAGGUUACGGGCCCAGUCCGUGUAAUUGCUACCAUCAUCUUUCAACUUAGCUUUCCCAAGGAACACAUUAAAAUUCAACGGAACAACAGCACGAGCCAUCUAUCUACAACAAACAUAGACAAGCAGAAUACUAUCAGGUACUAAUUUCAUGAUAAACUUAAGUUCAAUUAAUCAUAUUACUUAAGAAAUCCCACUUAGACAGACAUCUCUCUAGUCAUCUAAGUGAUCACGUGAUCCAAAUCAACUAAACCAUGUCCAAUCAUCACGUGAGAUGGAGUACUUUCAAUGGUGAACAUCACUAUGUUGAUCAUAUCUACUAUAUGAUUCACGUUCGACCUUUCGGUCUCCGUGUUUCGAGGCCAUAUCUGUAUAUGCUAGGCUCGUCAAGUUUAACCUGAGUAUUCCGUGUGUGCAACUAUUUUGCACCCGUUGUAUUUGAACGUAGAGCCUAUCACACCCGAUCAUCACGUGGUGUCUCAGCACGAAGAACUUUCGCAACGGUGCAUAGUCAGGGAGAACACUUCUUGAUAAUUUAGUUAGAGAUCAUCUUAAAAUUCUACCAUCAAUCAAAGCAAGAUAAGAUGCAUAAAGGAUAAACAUCACAUGCAAUCAAUAUAAGUGAUAUGAUAUGGCCAUCAUCAUCUUGUGCUUGUGAUCUCCAUCUCUGAAGCACCAUCGAAUUCACCAUCGUCACGGGCGCGACACCUUGAUCUCAAUCGUAGCAUCGUUAUCGUUUAUGCCAUCAAUUGCUUCUACGACUAUCGCUAUCGCUUAGUGUUAAAGUAAAGCAAUUACAUGGCGUUUGCAUUUCAUACAAUAAAGCGACAACCAUAUGGCUCCUGCCAGUUGCCGAUAACUUCGGUUACAAAACAUGAUCAUCUAAUACAAUAAAACAUAGCAUCACGUCUUGACCAUAUCACAUCACAAUAUGCCCUGCAAAAAGAAGUUAGACGUCCUCUACUUUGUUGUUGCAAAUUUUACGUGGCUGCUACGGGCUGAGCAAGAACCGUUCUUACCUACGCAUCAAAACCACAAUGAUAGUUCGUCAAGUUAGUGCUGAUUUAACCUUCGCAAGGACCGGGCGUAGCCACACUCGGUUCAACUAAAGUGAGAGAGACAGACACCCGCCAGUCACCUUUAAGCACGAGUGCUCGUAACGGUGAAACCAGUCUCGUGUAAGCGUACGCGUAAUGUCGGUCCCGGCCGCUUCAUCUCACAAUACCGCUGAACCAAAGUAUGACAUGCUAGUAAGCAGUAUGACUUGUAUCGCCCACAACUCACUUGUGUUCUACUCGUGCAUAUGACAUCUACGCAUAAAACCUGGCUCGGAUGCCACUGUUGGGGAAUGUAGUAAUUUCAAAAUUUUCCUACGCACACGCAAGGAUCAUGGUGAUGCAUAGCAAUGAGAGGGGAGAGUGUUGUCCACGUACCCUCGUAGACCGAAAGCGGAAGCGUUAGAACAAUGCGGUUGAUGUAGUCGUACGUCUUCACGAUCCGACCGAUCCAAGUAGCGAACGUACGACACCUCCGAGUACAGCACACGUUCAGCUCGAUGACGAUCCCCGGACUCCGAUCCAGCAAGGUGUCAGGGAUGAGUUCCAUCAGCACGACGGUGCGGUGAUGAUGAUGAUGUUCUACCUACGCAGGGCUUCGCCUAAGCACCACAACGAUAUGACCGAGGUGGAAUAUGGUGGAGGGGGGCACCGCACACGGCUAAGGAACGAUCACGAAGAUCAACUUGUGUGUCUAGAGGUGCCCCCUGGCCCCGUAUAUAAAGGAGCCAAGGGGGAGGGGGCGGCCGACCAAGGAGGGCGCGCCAAGGGGGGGAGGAGGAGGAAGAGGGGAAGGAAAGGGGGGGUGCCGCCCUCCUCUCCUUCUCCUAUUCGGACUAGGGAGGGGAGGGGGCACAACCCACCUCUUGCCUCCUCUCUUCCUCCCCAGUAGGGCCCAUGUAGGCCCAUUAAGCCCCCGGGGGUUCCGGUAACCUCCCGGUACUCCGGUAAAAUCCCGAUUUCACCCGGAACACUUCCGAUAUCCAAAUAUAGGCUUCCAGUAUAUCAAUCUUUAUGUCUCGACCAUUUUGAGACUCCUCGUCAUGUUCGUAAUAUCAUUCGGGACUCCGAACAAACUUCGGUACAUCAAAAUAUAUAAACUCAUAAUAUAACUGUCAUCGUAACGUUAAGUGUGCGGACCCUACGGGUUUGAGAACUAUGUAGACAUGACCUAGAACUGUUUCUGGUCAAUAACCAAUAGUGGAACCUGGAUGCUCAUAUUGGCUCCUACAUAUUCUACGAAGAGAUUUAUCGGUCAAACCGCAUAACAAAUACGUUGUUCCCUUUGUCAUCGGUAUGUUACUUGCCCGAGAUUCGAUCGUCGAUAUCUCAAUACCUAGUUCAAUCUCGUUACCGGCAAGUCUCUUUACUCGUUACGUAAUGCAUCAUUUCGUAACCAACUCAUUGGCCACAUUGCUUGCAAGGCUUAUAGUGAUGUGCAUUACCGAGAGGGCCCAGAGAUACCUCUCCGACAAUCGGAGUGACAAAACCUAAUCUCGAAAUACGCCAACUCAACAUGUACCUUUGGAGACACCUGUAGAGCUCCUUUAUAAUCAGCCAGUUAUGUUGUGACGUUUGGUAGCACACAAAGUGUUCCUCCGGUAAACGGGAGUUGCAUAAUCUCAUAGUUAUAGGAACUUUGUAUAAGUCAUGAGGAAAGCAAUAGCAACAUACUAAACGAUCAAGUGCUAAGCUAAUGGAAUGGGUCAAGUCAAUCACAUCAUUCUCCUAAUGAUGUGAUCCCGUUAAUCAAAUGACAACACAUGUCUAUGGCUAGGAAACAUAACCAUCUUUGAUUAAUGAGCUAGUCAAGUAGGGGCAUACUAGUGACAUUAAGUUUGUCUAUGUAUUCACACAUGUAUCAUGUUUAUGGUUAAUACAAUUCUAGCAUGAAUAAUAAACAUUUAUCAUGAUAUGAGGAAAUAAAUAAUAACUUUAUUAUUGCCUCUAGGGCAUAUUUCCUUCAGAUUUUACACGUGGAAAAUCCCCAUUAGUCUGGGCUGUUAACGGGUUAUCGGAUCCAAAACCGGACCCGGUAGCUUAACGACGUUCCGUUACGGUGGAUGCCACGUGUCGGUCACCCUUGACGAAAGCACUUAUGUGACGCGCGAUUUAUCGUCAUGGAAGUGGACACUUCCAUGAUGAUAAUUUUGGUUAUGUCAAGGAACACUUCUAUGACAGCACAGGCAUGACUAUCUUGAUUCUGUCAUAAAAUCGUCAUGGAUGUACAUGCAUGACAAAAAACGCGACCUACUGUGACAAAAACGUAUCAUCACGGAAGUGUAUCUUUUUUGUAGUGUCUUCAGUUGUCUUUCAUGUGGUCUCUGUCCUGCUGCUAUGAAUGCUCAAGUCCCUCCCUUGUUGGAUGUUGUGAUGAGGCGACCUUCGGGCUCUUGGUGUCGUCUCAGCUCAUCUUUGCUCAAUGAUGACACAAUGACGCCUCCCCAACUUGCUAAUCAUCUUGAACUUUCAUGGUGGAGCUCUCAGUCAAGGUUCGUGUUAACUUUCGGCACUCGUUGAUUGUGGAUGCCCCUCUGUUGUGCUGUGGAGUAUGAAACGCACGCUAGUGCGGUGCCUUAGGCUGCUUGUAGAGUCUCGGUAUUGUGAUACCUCGACGUACCCCUCAUCUACUUGGUCCUGUUAGUCUGCUAGUUAGGUCAUGACUUUUGUUCGGCAUCCCUGUUCUUCUCUUCUUCUUGCCACACUUGUUGCUUCUAUGGUUUUCGGCCCAGUUUUCCUUAUAAAUGGGGUCUAUUUGAUAAGGUUUUCGAUCCGGUUUUCCUUAUAAACUGGAUCAGACUCCUGGCAUUAUGGCCACUUUGAGUAAUAUAUUCAGGUGGAGGAACUCCUCCCCCGAUGAUUCUCAAAAAAAAAAUGUUCCUAACAGAAAUGCUAUUACAAAAAUUUAUGAACAGAAAAUGUGUGUAAAAUUUACAAAAAUGUUCACAAUUUUUUGAAACUUUAAAGCUGGCUUCUGAUUUAUUUUUUCAAAAUUUUGAGCUCCAUGGAGCUCGGUAUCCAAACAUCCACUCUCUACCAACUAUGUGCAUAUAUCUUGUAGCAAGCCAUAAGCUGAGGGUUGCUACAUGAUCAAUUGCUGAGUGGGCAGUGUGUUUUCUUCAUUUUGGGCAGAUCACAAGUGUUUGACAUCUCUCUCUACAUUGGGUAUCCUUUUCUACUUGAAUUUUAAGAUGCGUAGAAUGUGCUUUCCUUGUUGUUGCCUCGUCAUUCCAGCAUGGAAUCAAAGCCAAACUGAUAUUACUGCCCUUAAAAAUUGUCUCGCUAUCUAUGUCCAUAACAUGCCCAUUGGACUGCAUGGCGGAAAUGAAGGUGUUCGUCUAGCUGGCCGAGCAGACGCACUUGUCUGUGACCUCUGAUCUAAGAAUGACAUGUACUUUGUUGUGAGCCCAUGGUGCAUGUGGGUUGAAACGCUGCUUAGCAAAUCUAGACUUAUCUUGCAGGCAAGCCAAGAUGAGAUCUGUAGGCCCAUGUGAAUUCCAUCAAAAUCACGGUCAGUUCAACUCUGGUUCGAAUCCUAAUAAAAAAUAGAUCAGUGGUCCUGGAUGGAUAUGUCCAUCGCUAAAAAGUGCAGUUGUUGAAAGAGUCGAUAUGACUUGUAGCUAGAGGACGCCGACACCCCUCACUUCUUCUACACACACUAAACACACCCUAUCUUAUCCAACUCAAUUUGCUUUAAGGUUUGUGAGUGAAAGAAGUAGUGUUAAAACCAAACACCACACUCUUCAACCUAAGAAAUCAAUAGUAAAUUUACCUAUGGAUAUUAAAUCUAUAUACAUCAUACUUGAUUUAUCAAAUUGAUAAUACUUACUAUACAUAUUUUAAAUUACAAUAUUUGGUGCUUCACAGCCUGUUAUGAAAUUAUUGUUCACCCAUCCAAUGUAAUAAAAAGUAUGUGAAUGAUGUUAACGCACGCGUGUGAGAGAGAGAGAGAGAGAGUGGAGUACAUUUUGUCCUGAUGUCCAUCAUAGUUCCACGAUCAGUACACCUAGGAGGAGAUAAUCAAAAUAGGGACAGAAAAUAAAUAUUUAAUAUAUAAAUGGUUGGUAACAAAUCCAACCACAAAAUUGUGCAAGCAACCCACAAGCUAGUUUUAUUGAAUAUUAAAAUAACAUAGUUGAUUUCUAAAACAUACAAAAUUUAUUAUCUCAUCAACACAUAAUUAUUUUGAUAACCAUAAGGUUGAGAUUUAUCCACCCAAAAUAGGGGAGAUAACAAAACUAUUGUGUUGUUGUUGCUGGUGUGCAAUUAAUCUUGCAGGGACAGUUGAUGAAGCAUUCUCCAAGGUCUGGCCAGCACAA